rnacentral:lncRNA from 1 species
AAAAUCCCACCGGGAAGCCCAAUCCCAUGCUUGUGAAGAACCACAAUGUUUCCCACCCAUCGUCAUGAUCUUCCUUCUCAUCUUCCUCAUCUUUGUGAUCUUCAUUAGGAGUGGAGCACUGGGUUGACAAUGGAAGCCCACAAAGUGCCAGGUUACCCUCAUACAUGGAUGGAUCAUUGAAUGUAGGGAAUUGGUUGGUUGUUGGAAUGGGUCCUGACAGGAGGUUAUGCGACAAGUUCAAAUCGCUCAAUGAGGUUAUAGAAGCCAUGCUCAGAGGAAUUGGGCCUGAAAGGCGGUUGCUCGAGAGGUCCAGAGUUUCUAACCCUUGCAUGGCUCCAAUGUCCUCGGGUAUCUUUCCAGUCAAUUGGUUCCGGGACAAAUUCAAGGUACCCAAGGUUGAGAGAUUUUUAAUCCCAUGUGGAAUCUCUCCCCAUAAGUUAUUCCUAGAAAGGUCUAUCAACUUCACAAUUGAAAGUAUCCUCUCAAAUUCCAUUUCUUUUCCCUUCACAACUAGCUCCAUUCCCUCCGUGUAGUAAUAAUCAGUAUAUAGGUAAUCUGGAGAAGGAUCUAAUAAGGUCACAUGAUUCAUAGCACUCAAAUGGCCUAAGCAUGGAGGGAUGGAUCCUGAUAGAUUAUUAAGUGCAAGGUCCAAAAUGCGGAGAUCAGAAAGCCCACAUAGUUGCUCAGGAAUAUUUCCGGUCAGCAUGUUGCCUCGUAAGCGUAGCUGCUUCAGUGAUGACAUUCUUUCUCCGAUCCAUUUGGGUAUCUCACCUGAAAACCUGUUAUUUCCAAGAUCAAGGGAGUACAGACUGCAGUUUUGUAAGCUUGGAGAGAGUUCCCCAGAAAGAUGGUUGUCGCCCAGUUUCAACAAGUAAAUUACAUGGAUUGAACAUAUGGAACUUGGAAUCUCGCCAUACAGUCUGUUCUUGGAUAGAUCAAUGAUGCCAAGCAUUUCCAUAUCUUUCCAAUGAUUGGGAAUCUUUCCAGAUAAAUGGUUAUUUGAGAGAUCAAUAAUCCUCAAAUACUUCAGGUUAGUUAAUGAUGAUGGGAUGGUCCCAUUCAACAAGUUCCCCGAAAUAGUCAGGACUCUCAAACUUGAUAAUUCCCCAAUAUUGGACGGAACUGGACCUGAAAAUAAAUUGUUCCCCAAAACAAGAUAUGUCAAAUUAUACCAAAGUGGGAGUGGACCCUCUAAGCGGUUGAAACUUAAAUCUGCCAUACUCCAUCCAUGCGAUGUGCUGAAGGAUAAGGGACUGGGAGGCUUUCCCCUCAAUUGGUUCCUGGAAAGAUCUAACCACCCAAGCUGUGGAGACAACUUCCAAAGCCAUUCUGGUAUAGUGUCUGAAAUCCCAACAUUAUGGAGGAUUAUUUGGUAAAGUUCCUUCUGAGUUCCGAGCCAGGCAGGGAAUGUUUGAGACAGUAUGCAGUUGCCGAUUCUGAUAACCUUGAGACUGAAAGGAGGAAUCCAGUCACUUGUAAUAUCGAAAACCAGAGAGUUGUUUGUAGCCGGUGAUAAGUAUGAGGAGAAAUAUUCCAGUUUUAUAAGACCCAUGAAGUGAAUUUCGGAUACCCUCCCCUUCCAAGGAUUCCAAUCAAAUGUUAAGGUAAGGAGCUCUUUAAGUUGUCCUAUACUUUCUGGGAUGGUCCCAUUCAUUCCGUUGUGAGAGAGGUCCAAUUCCUCCAACAACAACAGCCUUCCAAUGGAUGCUGGAAUUGAACCCGAGAUUGAGUUGUCACUAAGAUCAAGAUAUCUUAAGUUGUCAAGGUUUCCUAUUGAAUCAGGGAUCAGGCCGCUCAAUUCAUUUUUAGACAAAUCCAGGUAAUUCAAAUAUUUCAAGUCAAGCAAGGAAUCACUUAUCUGGCCAAUUAAACGAGACAAGGGAAAUGCUGCUUCAUCGGAUUGAUAAGGGUUUUUGAGGUCUAGCUUUAUAACAUGUCCUGUCCCAUUAUUGCAAUCCACGCCUUGCCAUUUGCAACAAUCUCCACCAACCCAAGAAGAAAGCCGACCUGAAGGGUCUUCCAGACCACCUUUGAAUUUAAGAAGGGCUUUCCGCUCCAUCUCAAUGCAAACUACGUCCCUAUCACCAUCAGUGGAAUUGAUCACAAGGGCUUCAAGUAAGAAAAAUUUUAGAAAUAAAGGAACCAAAAGAAGGAUAAGAAAUAUGAUGAAGGUUUUCCUGGUCGCCAUUGCUAAUGCUCUACAAAGAUAGAUCACAGCAAAGACAGUAUUUCUUUAUAGGUAGAUACCAUUAGUCUUUUGUUGGAUUUAUUUAAUAGUAAGUCUUCAUAUAAACCAGCUCAAAAAAUUUAAGGAGCAAAGACCUUUCGGCCAUAUAUGGGCCAACCUCGUCUACCGCAUUCAACUAACAUUGCAAGAAAAAUAAUAAUGAAAACACUAGGAAAAUGUGAUUGCUUGUUUGACUCAAAAGCAGAUAGUAAAGUAUCUUGUGCUUCAUCAAGUUAACAGACAAGACUUUAGAUUUAUCGAAGUUUUUGAAUGGAUAGACAUGCUGCAAGUUCAAAUCAUAGCUGGCCCAAUUCAUAAUUAAUUAUACUAAUUACCAAAGCCUUCCAAGUUAAGUUAUUGUCAAAAUAAAAUAAAAUUGUGUAAGAGACUUUUUACUGUAACAUAUGUCAACUACCAAAUCUUUAAAGUUUUAAGUCAUUGUCCAAGGGAGAAAAAAAUCUAAGGAAAAAGUCUUCAUCUUUUUUCUUGUCCACAUGUCAUGGACGAUUUGUUUAAACGAAGAAUCCAGAUGUAUUAUAUAAUAUAUGUAUUAUCAUUAUUUUAUUUUAAUUUGAGAGAUACUUGAGGCAAGUGUAUUAAGAUACUUUCAAACUCAAGUCUUUCCAUGUGUGUGCUUUUACACUUGGUUCGGUGGUCCAAUUAAUGGUCCAAACAAUACUAAUAGACUAACUUCUUCUUUUGUUAUAUCAUUGAUUUACAAUACUAACAAGAAGAUGGAUAUUUAAAAUAAAUAUACAUUCAUGCAUAAGAUAAUAAAUAUGAAAAUAAUAUAGGUAAAAAAUACACUAAGAUAAUAAUUCGAUCAAUAUAAUAAAUAGCCAUUGGAAGCAUAUAAAAUUAACCAAUAAAAUUUUAUUUUUUCAUAUGUAACAUAUUUUUUAAUAAUUAAAUAAUAUAAUAUAAUUAUUUAAUAAAAUUAGAAAUAUUAAAAUCUAUAUAAAUAUAUUAUGAUUUUCUAAUUUUAUUUAUACAAAUAUCACAAGUUAAUUAUAAUUGAACCAUCGUAUUGAUUUUAACAUUUCAUAUUUAUUCAUUUGUUCAUUUUAAAAAUAUUAAUAUAAAUCAUUAAUAUAUAUUUAAUAAUAAUUUGACUUUUGUAACCUAAUCCAAAUAUUUAACAGUAAUUUGACUUUUGUGGAGUAAUCAAAUUUAUUUUGUUAAAAGAAAAUGAUUAAAUCUGAAAUUUAUUUACUUAAUGGUCUAAAGUUAAUUAACCCUUUGAAUUUUCUUUUUUUCUUUUUUUUCUUGUUAAGACAAGCGAAUUGUUUAUUUCUUAGAAAAUUAAAGAGAAAAUGUAAAUAAAAAAUAAAAAAAUUUUAAAAAAAUAAAAAAUUUAAAAUUUAAAAAAAAAUAAAAAAUACUAGAAUCAAUGUAUUAUAUUAUUUUUAUAUUCCUCUUUAUUAAUGAAAAAAAAUUUAUUAAAAUAUGCUGAGGUUAAUUGUUUUUAGUUCCUUUAUUUUAAAUUUUUUACUUUAUUUUCCUUCAAUGUUAUCUUUCCUAGUAAUAUAAAUGUGGAUUUGGGAAGUACAUAUGUCUAUAUAUGCCUAUCUUGUGUAUUUCAAAUUUAGAGCCGAAAUCUAGUCAAAGAGAAACAAUAACCCGAAAUUCAACCCGGUUGGCCAGCCACUGAUGAAAGGUCUCUAAAGAUUGGUGUCUUCUUCGCUUCACAGCGAUGAAACGCAUAGCCGGGGACGAAAUCACCGGCUAUCUAGUUCGGCUUUCAAAUCUCUAGUUUCGGUUCUCAUGCUAGCCAUGUUCGCCACCAUGACAUCGAUUUACGUCAUCUGCUGGUGAGUUCUCACAUUGUUUCGUAUUGUGAAAUGAUUUUCGUUUCUUAGCUGUAAUAUUGCUUCUGGUGUGGUUAAUUUUGUUAAUUUAGGUUUUUGAUUAUAAUUGGUCUAUUUUGUUCAAAAAUAAAUAAAUAAAUAAAUUGUUUUUAUGGAAAUAUGCUAUUAGUAGGCUAUGGCUGGAUUAUGAGAAUAGGGUUUAUUUGAUUAGAGAGCUUGAUAUUGUUAUUCAAUUUUAGCUUCAAAUUUUCUUCCCCACAAUUUUGUUAAUGCAUUUUUUGGGAUUAUUUUGUUAUCAAGAUUAAAUUAUAGAAUUAUAAUGAUACAAAGGGGGUCUUGACAUUGUAUGGAACUGGAAUCAGUCCAUCAUGGUUUAGAUUAAUUAUAUGUUCUAUAGCAUUACAUUGCAAUGCUAAAUAAACUAGUGAUUUGCAUGAGCUCAUGUUUUUUUCUUUUUUUCUUUCUGUUUUCGUCUUUUUUAUUUUUCUUUUAUUGAAACAAUUGGAGUUGAUACUAGCCUAUUUUCAUUUUUUGAAAUUAAUCAUUCAGAGUAAUUGACUAGAUAAUGGGUUUUUCCAUUUUAAUAGUUUUCAGGUGCAAUGAGCCAAUGACACACUGCAAAUUAUAGCAUGCAGGUAAAUAAAUUAUAGCUAUCCUUCCUUUAUGUGGGGUUUUUUUUGGGGCUUUUGUUAUAAUAGACAAAAUAUAAUCUAGAGGUCAUGGUGAUGUUUCUUCAAUUUUAUAGGAACAACAGAAGAAGUUAGCAGCCCUUGAGAUGGAGCUAGUUGUAGCACAACAGGAAGAUUUUAUCUCAAAGAACUUGUCAGAAAAUAAGGAGACUCCUCCUAAGAAAAAGCUUUGUUGUAGGAAUUAUGACAAAGUUUGGCCACAAGAACAAUAGAGAUGCAAUCCGUAGGGGAUGGAUGCCAACUGGUAGAAUACCCUUCUUUUUGUAAGUUUCGCUUUUUAUUCUUUGUAUGAUUUACAUAGAGAAUGACCCAGUUGCCACUUAACACAUUGACAUUUCUGUUAUAAGCAUAUAAGGGAUAAAAACAGGAGGCUUGUAGGCUGAACUCUUAUUAACAUGGAAACUUUUAGUGGACUUCCAUUUCUCUUCUAUUCUUUUUUCAUUGUUUUGUAUAUUUUCUUAGUUUGCAAUAGUCAUCUUUCAAUAGUUUGCAAACUCCAUCAACCAAUUUGAAAAGCCUUGGAGCUAAUAGGGGCAAAUUAUGAGAAGCUAAAAUCUUCUUUCUCUAGGAUUUUUCUGAAGUUGCUCAAUUGAAUGGAGAGCAAAAAACCAUCAAGUGCCCCUGCCCCUGCCCCUGCCCUGCACGUACCCUCUAUACCCCUAUUUACAGAAAUUUUGAGUUUGUCUUUAACGUAAUAAGGGAGACAAUAGUUUGUAUAAUAAUGAAACAGGAAGUAAUAUUGUGAUUCACUGCUGCAAAAAUUAAUAUUGACAUAACUUAUGUGCUAAACUGCACUUAUAUGCUUAGCACAAAAGUAUGUCAUUCUUCAUUUGAGAGCAUUACUUUAAACCUUAUAUGUUAACAUCACUUUUGCCAUAACUAAUCUUUCUUUCUUUCCCUUUAUCCAAGACAAUGCAUAUCAAGUGAUUGAUACUUAAGUUAAUAGCCUUAGCGCACACAUGGGGUGAAGUUUGAAUCCAGAAUUUCCCAAUAGUCUUAAUACGCUUCCUCAGGUGUGUUUCAAACUUAAGACGUCAAUGUUAAACCACCACUUUACCAAAAACUUUUAAGUUACUAAGUAAUAGGCCAGCAAUGGGAUAUUAAGGCAACUAACAGGUAGGUUAAUAGCCUGAGCAAUCAUCUUAUAAUGUUUAAUGGUUCAAAUAUUGACAAUAAAAACACUUACAAAAGCAUGAUGACUUACCCAUCGUUUUCAUACAGAUACUCUGGAAGCAACUCUUGCUACUCAUUUGAAUAAGCCUCGAGUUUAUAUUGGGUGUAUGAAAUCAAGCGAAGUUUUCUCAAAGUUGUGAGUAUAAUCAAAGUUUUUUUUUUCUUCUUCUAAUGAUGAGAAAAUGAGUUGUUUAUGAUAUUCUACUUUCAUAUAUUGUAUUAUCUUUCCGUAUUGUCUGAAUUAUGCAGGAUCCACAAGUAGUAAGAACCAGACUGGUAGAAACUUGGUGAUGGAAAAUCGUGAGUAAUUCUGUAUUGAUUUCAUCUUGUCUCUUAUAUUAAGAUAAGUAACUAUUACUUUCUAGUUCUGUUAACUAGUUAGGAAGUCUCUUAGUAUCUUAGAAUUCAUCUAAUAGGUGAUAGAAGUCCCAAUGAACAACUAGGGCAUUGUCCCAUAGGAGGCUUGCUUGAUAAAGAAUCAAAGUACCGUUUCUGAAGUUUUUUGGGCAUUUAAACAAUUUAUCAUUCCAUCAUAUUCUUGACAUCUGUUACACUUAAUUUGCCUACCCCAUGCACCCAUAUUUAAACCAUCUCAACUCUGACUUGUGUCGAGGUAUCCUGGAGUUGGUAGAGGGACGCCUUCUCGGGAAGUCAGGCUUACAUUGGCUGAAGAUACAUUUAGCAAAUUUAUUUGCUAGUGGAAUGGACAAGUUAUCGUAUGAGGGUUGGGUAGCAUUUACUGAGAAUCAUUUGGAAGAUAUCUUUGAUUCUGUAGACGUACCUUUGGAAGGAAGACGUUGGUGGUUGUCUGCCUAGGAUCCUCUCCAAUGUUCAUGUAUUAAUCUCUCAAAAGCAUUAAGAAGCUCCCUUCCAAAAACUACUAUUUCACACAUGCUUGUCCACCAGGUACUUCAUUCUUAGCAUGAUCAUAUUCAAACUGAGAAAUGUUUACCGAGUGAAAUCAAAUUAAUCCCACCUCCUUCCUACUCCACCCAACCCCACAAUAAAAAGGAAAUCUCAAAACUAGCUUUUAUUGGAAUUCUGUUCUAUGCAUAGGCAUAUCAUUUGUUAUCCUGUGUAUUUUGUAUGAACUCCUCCAAGUAACUAUAUAGCUCUUCUGCAUUUACACAUGGAAAAUGACAGUCACAUGAUUAUACAUACCCUUUAGAGUACCCCAUUUGUUACCCCAUCAUUAGGAGCAGAAAUAAUGGAUCUGCCACUUCUUUCACAGCCCUGUCUUAUGUUUGCGCUAUCCUACUAUAGUACGCUUGAGAGGAUAACAGACAUUUCCUUGAAUUUACUUUUGUUUUCAUAUUAAAUGCUUAGAUUCAGGUCAUUUGUUUGUCCAAAACUUAAUUUAAGAUUGUAUUGUUCUAUCUUUUUCAAGGAUGGCUCAUGCAAUGGCUUACGACACUAUGUUGCCCUUGGAAGGGACAAGGUAUUGGAAUUUUAUGUUUUUGGUUGAUUGUUGUGGAGUUCUGAUUAUGUGAUAUGGAAGCAUGGUUUUUGAUUAGUUAGACAUAGUUUUUCGCUCUUUUUCUGCUUUGAGGCUAAAUUUGUCUCAGCUUUGAUCUUCUCUCUUUUUGAUAGAAAGAAGGAACUUUGUUAAGGAAAGAUGGUAAAAGGAUAAGGAGUUGGAAAUUGAAACCCAAGAAAGAAACCAAACUUUGUUUGAGUUUAGUGCAAUUUAUUUAAUUUGACUUUUCAAGUAAUUUCAAAGUUUGGUUGUUUCAAGAAAGGGGAUUAUCAUUGGUAUUUGGCAAGUUCAAAGGCUAGGGCAGCAGAUCAGUCUCUGAAGACUGAAUUUUAGUUAGAACUUAGUAUUGGAGGAGAUAAUUUUUCUUGUUUAUUGAAGUUUCCUUAUCCUUUGACAGCAGAACUUUGAAUUGGGGAUCAUUAAUUGAUUAUGCAGUUCGGAUACAUAUAUAUAUAUAUAUAUAUAUUUGGAUUAUGCAAUAUUAGAAAUUAAAAUUUUGUUCUGAAAAAUGUAGCAGGACCUCUUCAAUAUUGAAAUGAGAAUUUUAAUCAAAAUAUUUGAAAAAAUAUAUAUUCAAGACUUCAGCUGUGUCCACAUAAUAACCUAUGGCACCGGGCAAGGAAAAGUGGCAUGCAUAUGAAGCCCUAUAGUUGCAAUUGACAAAAGGUCAUGUAUAUAAGUACUAUAUAGUAUUAAAUUUUGUAGAUAUCACACCUUUAUAGCAGCAACUAUCAGCUGUCCCAGCCACAUAUAGAGCUUUUAGUUGAGAAAAAAACAUGAUCGCGGGGAUAGCUUCACAACUUCUACUUGUAUUUUUUUACCAGUGGCUGCAAGUAUAGGAUUUAUUCUGCAUCCCUAUGGCCUUCGCCGCUAUAAACUUACAACACUUGCAACACUUGUAUUGCACAACUCUUUGUCAAUGGUUGUAAAAAAUAGUUUUCUAUUUUUUGAGAAUUGAAAAUAAGAAAAUCUUGUUUGACAAUAAGAAAAUAGUUUUUGUUCUUAAAAAAAAAAAAUGUGUUUUCAAUUGUUUUUUAUGAUUAUUUUUAAAAAAAUAAUAAGAUAAAUAUAAAGAAUAAUUAAAAAUAAAAUGUUACAUACAAAACUUAUUUUUUUGAAAAAUAUUUGAAAGCAAAAAAUACGUUAAAAAUAUUUCAAAUUCUUAAACAAAUUUUUAUCAUAUAAAUAUUAGAGAAUUGUUUUUUAAAACCAUUCUUAAAAACUUUUUUUUUUUUUUAGAACAAUUUUCAAAAUCAUUUCCAAGCUGACUUAUAACCCAUUUGACAGUGAUUUUAGAAAAUAUUUCUAAUAUUUUUAAUACUUAAAAAAUUUUAUCAUUCAAAUGUUAAAAAAAUUAGAAAUAUUUUCUAAACUUACUGUCAAAGACAUUUUUAAAGUAUGUUUGACAAUGCUUUUAAGAAGUGUUUCUAAUCUUUUUAAUACUUGAAAGAUAAAAAAUUUUAAGUGUUAAAACUUAAAAUUAUUAGAAGUCCUUCCUAAAAUCACCACCCAAUAAACUCUAAUUCUCAUUACCAGAGGCUUGUAGGGGCUUUUAUAAUUUACCUCCCAAUCAUGUUAAAUAUGUGGUAACCAUGUUAAGAGAUUUUAGGUUAGCAUUGGCUAGUUUGUGCUUAUAUGUACUUAAUUUUUGUUUUUAAAAAUAGAAAAUGAAGGUAACUUCAAUAUAAAAUAUUAAAACUUUUGGAGACUUAUUAAAAAAAUUUAUAGUGAUUUUUAAAGAUAUAAGAUGAGUUUAUACUUUUGGUAUAAAAUUUUCUAUUUUUAAUAUAAAAAUUAUUAUUACUUUUUGUGAUUAAAAAUAUGUAUAAAAAAAAAGGUCAGUAUAUAAAUAAUAAAAGUUGAAAGAACAUUUUCAAAUGUGGGCUAAGUCUAAUACUUAAUAUUAAAUCAUCUCUCAUUCAAAUAAUAGUCUUUAUAAAUAAUAGAAUAUCCUAAAGAAAUAUGGUUAUGGACAAAUAUUUCAAACAAAUUUCUCAAACACUAGUAUGAAAAGAAACUUUCAUUAACCAUGACGAGCUCCCUGUUUCAAUCUAAAACAUGUAAAUAAGUAUAAUUUACUUUAAUUUAAGCAAGAUUUAGAUUUAUAUUAUGGACCAUAUAGUAAACCUAAGAGAUGAUCACAAGUUUCUUAGUCCAUGACUUCAAUUAAUAGAAAAAAUAUUUAAAAGCUCAAUUUUGUUGGAAUUUUGUUCAAUUCAUUCUAGUUUGAGACUUUUUAUAAUUUCCCAUAACUUACACCCCAUUAAAGAUAUAAGAAUAUUUAGAGUUAACUAGAUAUUAGAUAGCAUAAGUAUAAAGAGUUAUGAAAAGGAUAAUAACUUUUAAUUGAAAAAGAUUUUGGAGAUCGAGUGCUCAAGCACUUGAAUCUAGCUUUCAAGGCUUGGAGCACUCAAAAGUGGGGUUUCCAAAACAUAAGUUUGCAUACAACCCUCAUUAAAAAUAAAAAAAUGAUUGCAUAUAUAUAUAUAUAUAUAUAUCCAUGGUUUAAAUAAAACAUUCCUUAUAUUUACAAUAAGUUUAUUUUAGAGUGUUGUUUUUAUAUUAUAACAAUGUUGUUAGGCCAUAUUUUGCUAAACAAAAUGAAGAGAAAACACAUUAUUUGGAAAAUAUUCUACAACUAGAGGUGAUGAGGUUUACCAUAUUUUUCAAUAAUGUACAAUUAGCUCAAGCACUUGAAGCUUAUACCAAAAAUAUAUUUCAAUCAAUAAUGGACAAAAUUUUUGAAUGGUACUUAGUGAUAAUCAACUACCAAAUUAACAUAAACAUAAAAGUUGAAAGGACAAUUUUAAGGCAUAGAUGACUCAAAAAUAUCAAAAGUAGGUUGAGUAUCCAACCUAAUAUUACAACUUUUCUCACUUAAAUGACAAUUCAUAAAUAACAAACCUACCUGAAGAAAAAUAAUUGUUUGCCAACAUUUCAAAGAUAGAGUUCUCAAAUACUACUAGUACCAAAAGCAAUCUUUAUUACCACCGAGAAUUCAUCAUUGUAUUCAAUCUGAAACAAGUAAAUACACAUGAUUAGCUCCAAUUUAAGCAACAUUUAGAUUUUCAUCAAAGAAUAUAAACAACAUGUUCAAUAUUAUUAUUAUUAUUAUUAUUACUCCAAUUUAAGCAACAUUUAGAUUUUCAUCAAAGAAUAUAAACAACAUGUUCAAUAUUAACAAACUUGGUUAUUGAGACUGUUUAAAUUCCUAUAGUUUUCAUACUUGUGGUAUUAACCAUACUCAAGUGAGUAUAUUUGUCAAUAAAUUUAGAGUUUCAACUAAUAACCUAUAACAAUCUAUAAUCUUAGUUGCUUGCUUGUAUAUUUUUUGGAGUUGAAUCUUAGAAAAAAUUACACAUAUCUUAACCUUCCCUAUGAAAAUCACAUUCUGCAACUUCAAAGAGUUGAACCCAAUUAUAAACUUCCUCAAUCCUCUUUCUAAUGACUCAAACUAGGAGAUUGAUUACCCUAUGCAUUGUAUUUAGGAACUUAAUUGUAGUAAGGGAAGAGAAACAACUUAUAUUCAUAUGCAUAGUUGAAGGGUCUACAAAUAUGUCGCUUACUAUAACAUGAUUCAAACAUUUAAAUGAAUAUACUUUUAACAAAAUCCGAGUCCAACAAGACAACAAUUCAAUUUCUUUUGUUAAUUUAAAACAUUAUUUCCAAUUCAAGAAUUUAAGAAAUCAUAUAAUAAAAUAUAAGUAUAAAAAGAUUAAUAGCUAACAAAUAUGUACCUAAACGGAGAUGGCCUUACACUACAUUGUAAUGAAAUUCAUCUUACCUUCUUUUUGUAUGAUGUUUGUUAUUUUGAAACCUUAUCACCCUCUGCAAAAGAGCUGAAUUCAUUGUGAUGAUAAUCAUAACACACCAAAAAUACAAUGAAAUUAAAAAACAAACAAGGAAGAAAAAAAAAAGGAAAAAGAAUGGGAAGUGAUGUAAGAUAUUUCACCUUUUUAGCCAUGAACUCCAUUUGCUUCCAUCUUCCUUUUCAGACGAGCCACAUUCACUGCAGUGAAGACAUAUAGCCUAUCUCUGGUUUCAUCAAUGAACCGGAAAUAUGCCUGCCUCCAAGACUUCUUUAGAACCAAACUGCCACAUACAGCCCAAAAUCCCACCGGAAAGCCCAAUCCCAUGCUUAUGAAGAACCAUGACAUGUCCCAUUCAUCUUCAUCUUCCUCCUCAUCUUUGUGAUCUUGAUCAUUUAAAGUGGAGCAGUUGGUGGAGCAGUUGGUUGACAAUGGAGGCCCAUAAAGUCCCAGGUUCGCCUCAUAAAUGGAUGGAUCGUUGAAUGUCGAGAACUGGUUGGUUGUUGGAAUUGGUCCUGACAGGCGGUUAUGCGAUAGGUUCAAAUGGUUCAAUGAGGUUAUAGAAGACAUGCUCGGAGGAAUUGGGCCUGACAGGCAAUUGCAUGAGAGGUCAAGAGUUUCUAGCCCUUGCAUGGCUCCAAUCUUCUCAGGUAUCUUUCCAGUCAACUGGUUUCGGGACAAAUUCAAGGUACCCAGGGUCGAGAGAUUUGUGAUCUCUUUUGGGAUCUCUCCCCAAAUGUUAUUACUAGAAAGAUCAAUCAAAUUCACAAUUCGCAGUAUGCUAUCAAAUUCCAUAUCUUGUCCCUUCACAACUAGCUCCAUGCGCUCUGAAUAGGAGACAUGCCCCCUGGUCAUGUCAUCAAAUUCUAUGCCUAAUAAGGUCACAGAACUUAAAGCAGUCAAAUUGCCUAAGCAUUGUGGGAUGGAUCCUGAUAAAUUAUUAAGUGCAAGAUCCAAAAUAUGGAGAUAAGAAAGCCGACACAGUUGUUCAGGAAUAUCUCCUGUCAACAUGUUGCCUCGUAAACGAAGUUGCCCCAAUGAUGACAUUCUUUCUCCAAUCCAUUUGGGUAUCUCGCCCGAAAACCUGUUAUUUCCAAGAUCAAGGGAGUACAACCUUGUGCAGUUUUGUAUGCUUGGAGAGAGUUCCCCAGAAAGAUUGUUGUCACCCAAUUUCAACAAGCUAAGUGAAGAUAUUGAACACAUCGAACUUGGAAUCCCACUUGACAGUUUGUUCUUGGAUAGAUCUAUGGUCCAAAGCUGGUGGAAAUUAUUCCAAUUCAUUGGAAUCUUUCCAGAUAAAUGAUUGUUUGAGAGAUCAAUUACUCCCAAAUCCUUCAGUUUACUAAUUGAUAAAGGAAUGCUGCCAUUUAACAAGUUACCAGAAACAUCAAGGACUUCCAAACUCGAUAAUUCCCCGAUGUUCAAGGGAAUUGGACCUGAAAAUAAAUUGUUUCCCAGAAAGAGCCAUGUCACAUUAAACCAAAGUGGCAAUCGGCCCACCAAGCGGUUGAAGCUUAAAUCCACCACGAAUGCUUCUGGGCUAAAAGAUAAUGAGUUGGGAAGCUUUCCAUACAAUUGGUUUCUAGAAAGAUCUAACCAAAAAAAAUCUAGUUUCCAAAGCCAUUCUGGUAUUGUAUCUGAAAUCCCCACAUUUUUUAGAACUAUUGUGUCAAGUCUCUUUUGAGUUCUAAGCCAGUUGGGGAACUUGGGAGAAACAUAGCAGUUGGAAAUAUCGAUAUUCCAGAGGCUGAAGGGAGGAAUCCAUUCAGGUCUCACGUGAAAACGGAGAGACUGGUUUUUGGGUGAUAAGUGUGAAGAGAAAUAUUCCAGUUUUGUAAGAUUACUGAAAUGAAUUUCAGAUAUUACCCCUUCCCAAGAAUUCCAACCAAGAAACAACUCAGUCAGCUCUCUAAGUUGUCCGAUACUUUCUGGAAUCGUCCCAUUCAUUAGAUUGAAUGACAAGUCAAGUCUCUUCAUGCGCAGCAAGUUUCCAAUCCAUGUUGGAAUUGGACCUGAGAUGGAGUUUUUACUCAGAUAAAGACUCUCUAAGUUGGUAAGGUGUUGAAUUGAAUUGGGGAAGGGACCAACAAAACUAUUAUAGCUCAAGUGUAGGGAUUUUAAAUUCUUAAAGAGCCCUAAUGAAUCUGGCAACUGACCACUGACUUGAUUAUCGCCCAAGUUUAACUCUUCCAAGGAACUAUUAGCGCAUGCUGAUAAACCAUUCACCAAUUCAAUUCCUUCACUUCCAAUAUGAUUGUACGAGAGAUCUAAGGUUACCAAGUUGUGAAGGCUUAGCAAGUUAACAUGGGGAAUCGGACCUUUAAUUGUAGCACCAUUUAAAUAAAGAUCCAUAAGGGUACUGAUGUUAAACAACCAGCCAGGCAAAGUAGUGUUGAAAUUGUUGUAGGAGAGAUCAAUGACCAAAAUAGAAGUCAAAUUAACAAACGGAUUGGAGUACUGAGGGAAAUGACUGAGUUCACAAUUGGACAAAUGUAAUUCUAACAAAAAUGGAAGCAUGUUUGCAGCUUGCAUCCAAUUUGUGGUUGCUUUACUAAGGUUCACAUGCCCCAUAUCAAGGUAUUUUAAAGAAGAAAGACCAGAAAGCCAAUUCAAAUUAUGAACCCUCAUUAAUGGAGCAGAAAAGUUGUAGUAGUAAUCUCCUCCACUAAGGUUAAGAUAACAUAACUGUGAUAAAUUUCCAAGAUGAGGAGGAAUCAUUCCACCAAAUGCUGCAUAGGAGAGAUCAAGGUAUCUCAAUCUUUCAAAUGAGCCCAAGAAAUUUGGAAUUGGAAUUCCUUGAAAAUCAUUAAAACUUAGGUCCAAGUAAUUUAAAUGUUUCAAGUCAAGUAAGGAAUCACUUAUCUCACCACCCAAACGUGAGAAGUCACCACCAGAUUUUAGGUCAACCUUGACAACAUGCCCUGUUUGGUUGUUGCAAUCCACACCUUUCCACUUGCAGCAAUCUGCACCAACCCAGGAAGAAAGCCUACCUGAAGGAUCUUUCAGUCCAUUUUUGAAUUCAAGAAGCGCUUUCCGCUCUACCUCAAUGCAGCCCUUGUUCAUACCACCAUCAAUGGAAUUGAUAAUAGUAGCUUCAGCUAGGAGACGCUCGAGAAACAGAGAAAGGAGAAAAAGAGUAAGAAGUAGAAGGGUGGUUUUCCAACUUGCCAUUUGAUGAAUGCAAAGUUGCAAAGUUAUUAGUGGGUGCUAUAUAAAUAAUUUAGUCAACUAUUUUAAGUCUUUUGGCCGCCAUAAAUAUAGAAGAAAUUAUCAAGUUCAAUCACAAUCGGAUCACAUAUCUCUUCUAUCCCUGAGUAAAUUAAUUCAAGACAUUAAUUACCAAGUGUUUGGUCCAAAGAAAAAAAGAAUUUUUUUUAUUCCUAAUUUACACUCAUCUAAUUAUUAACUAGAAUAAAAAAUUUCAAUUAAUUAAAAAAUUAAAAUUUAGAUUUUAAUAUUUUUCCCAAAUUCAAAAUUCAAAAAUUAAUAAAUUAAUCUCAACUAUGUUAUUCAUAAAUCCCAAGAUAGGUUACAUAAAAAUAAGUUUUAACUAAGAAAAUUUCUAACAUUUUAUUAACUACCAAGUAUAAUUAGAAAUCCUAAUUAUUAUCUAAUUAUCAAUUUUCUACUAAUUAUAUAAUUAAUUAUUAUGCAAUUUUAUUAUGCUAAUAAAUUAUGAUAUUUUGGUAUAUUUUAAAAUAUAUUAAAUUACCAUUUUUAAAUUAUUAAUUUUAAAAUCAAAAUAAAAAAUAUAAUAACUAUUUUUUAGAUAUUUUUAACAUGUAAACAUAAAUAAAUAUAACAUUCCAAACAUUAAUAAAAACAAGCAGUUUAACACUUGACAAUAUUUAUAUAAUAAUAAGAAAUAAGCAACUUAAACACUUAAUCAGUCUACUAUAUUUAAGUCAAAGUUAUGCCUAUUCAAAUUUCAAACAAAAAAUAAUUAAAUACCACCUUACACUUAUUAUGCAUUACUCAAGCCAUUUAUAUAUGUAAUAAAGAAUUUCAAUAUAUAUAAAUUUUCAUGAUAUUUUAUUUUCGUUUGGAGGAGAAAGUUUCAAAUAGCUUUCUUCAAUUAUUUAAAGUUAGUGACCGUCAAUACAAGAAAAUUUUGACACAAAUCUAAAAAGAAAAACAAUUUCCACACAAGUCUAAAAAUGUCUUUUAGGGAAAGUAUUAAAACAUUUUUUGAAUUUCUCCACCUCUUGAUUGUUUUCUUAGACAGUGACUCCAAGGACUUUUGUGACAUGUUGACUGUUGACUGAAACAAAGUCCUUGUCUAUUUGGUGUGAGUUAGGAAAAAAAAAAAAGGGAAGUUGCAUUUUUUUUUAAUGAAAAAAUUUAUUUUUUCUAAAUAAAAAAAUUCUUUUUUUUUUUAAAAUAAAAAAUUUCCUUAUCUAACCAAACCAAUUUUAACCAAUUCAUUGUAGCCUAAUUAGUUCAGUUUUUCAUUUAAAGACGUUUGGUUUAGCUUGCAAAAAAAAAAAAAAAAAAACAAAAACAAAAAACAAAACAAAAAACAAAAACAUGGUUAAAUAAGUGGUAUUUAGUUUUUCUCUAAAAUCUGAAUGGAAUAUUAUUAAGUAUUUAGGUCAUUUUUUUUUAUUAAUGCUAAAUAUUUUUAAGUGUUAAAUUGCUUGUUUUUAGUAAUGUAUAAAGGCUUAAAUUUAUUUAUUUUUACACAUUAAAAAUAACUAUAAAAUUAGUUAUUAUUAUUAUUAUUUUAAAAUUAAUAAUUUAAGAAAUAGUAAUUUAAUAUAUUUACAACUAUCUCAAAAUAUUAUAAUUCAUUACCAUAAAAAUAUAUAUAUAUAAUAAUUAAUUAUGUUAUUUAUAGAAAUUUAAUAAUUAGAUAAUUAUUAGGAUUUUUAGUUAUGCUUGGUUGUUAAGAAAAUGUUAAAAAAUUUCUAAGUUAAAAUUUAUUUUUAUAUAAUAUAUUUUCAGAUUUAUGAAUAUUGUCGAGAUUAAUUAUUAAUUUUUUUCUUUUAAAUUUGGGAAAAAUAAGAAAGACUAAAAUUUUAGUUUUCAAAAUUAAUUGGAUUUUUUUUUAUUUUAAUGAAUAAUUAGAUAAGUGUAAAUUCAAGGACAUGAACGACCCCAAUUUUUUUAUAAUGACUAAUUAUGCAAAGUGUAGAAAAAUAAUAAUUAGAUAAUUAUUAGGAUUUCUAAUUAUGCUUGGUUGUUAAAAAAUUUAUAUGCUAAAACUUAUUUUUAUAUAACUAUCUUCAAAUUUGUGAAUAUUGUUGAAAUUAAUUUAUUAAUUUUUAUUUUUAAUUUGGGAAAAAUGUAAAAAUCUAAAUUUUAUUUUUAAAAUUAAUUGGAUUUUUUUAUUCUAGUUAAUUAUUAAAUGAGGGUAAAUUAGAAAUCUAAGUUCAAGGACAUUAGUGAACCAAACUGACUUCAAACCUAACCAAUCCAAUCUUAUUACUUUUUAUUUCCAUUUAAAGAUGUUUGUUUCUAUUUUUAAAAAAAAAAAUGAUUACAUUGGUUUAGUGUUCAUGAACCAAUCAAAGCUAAACCAACCGAAUUUAUCUAUUAUUUAUCAAAAAAAUAAAAAUAAAAAUAAAAACAAUUACAUUGGUUCAGUAUUCAUUUCAAAACAACGAAUCAAUAGAAACCGAUCUAAUCAAAUCUAUCUAUUAUAUAUUCGACUUAAAAGGUGCAAAAUUUGAAGUUAUUUUUCGACUUCAUAUUUUGCUUCUCAUAAUUUACUAUAAAUUUAUGAAGUUAUUUUUUAGUUGUCAUAUUUUUUAAAAAUAUUUUAUUUUUUCAAAAUAAAUUCACUAAAUAUUAUCUCACAUGCAUUUGUGGUUCACUAAAUUUUUAAUAAUCAAAUUAAUAAAUUUGUAAAAGGAAAAUAUUAUAUUUUCUCCAUUUUGUUCACUUGAUAAACAUAUCUACAAAAAUGUCAAGCGGAUGUUUGAAAUUUACCUCUUUUUUUUAUUGUGUAAUAUUUGGUUGAUUGUAUUUAUAAAGCAUUAUAAAUCUCAAGAAAGUACACAGAGUCCUAAAUUAUUAUGAAUAAAAUAAAAUUAUUAAUUUAAAUUUAGUCUUUAUAUUGAAAAGUUAAAAUAAGUGAAAUGAGUUUGAAGUAGUUUAUAAAAAUAAUUUAUUAACUUUAAAUCUAUGUUAUAUUUUUUUUCUUUUUUUUUUCAUCCAAUUUUUUUUUUUUUUUUUUUUGAUAUUUUUUCCCUUGUAUUUCCCCCAAAUUUUGUCCAAACCAAACAUAAACUUGGAAAAUAUGUCAAACCAAUACUAGUAUUUGAGACUUAGAAAUUUUUUUUAAAGGAUUGGAUCAAGAUUCAAUCACGAUUAGACCACACAUGGCCCUUUUGCCCAUAAUUAAAUUAAUUUAAGAUAUUUUAUUUAUUAAGAUAAUUAUCAAGCUUUUGAAAUAUGAAGUUGUUGUCCAUCCAAAGAAAAAGAAAAAAUAUUUUAUUUAUUUAUUUUGCCUAACACACAUAUAGACUAAGAACUUUUCUUCGAUUAAAAGUCAAGAUGCCACAAAAGUCCUUGAAGUCAUUAUGAACAAUUACCUAGAAAAGAAAUUCAAAUAAUGCUUUAAUGAAUGGUGUAUAUAUUUUCUUUAAAAUGCAUUUUUAGACUCCUACUACAAGUUUUUCUCAUGGGCAAAAACAAAAAAUAAAAAAUAAAGCUUCAUUUUUUUGCCUAACUCACACGCAAUAGAGUAAGGACUUUGUUUCAGUCAAGAGUCAACAUGUCACAAAAGUCGGUGAAGUCAUUGUCUAAAGAAAAUAAUUAUAAAAUAAUAAAUAAUACUUUAAUGUGUGAUGUACAUAUUUUCUCCAAAAGGCAUUUAUAGACUCAUACAAUUUUCUCCUAUGGACCAUUUACCAACUUCAAUUAAUUGAAGAAAGUUACGGGAAUUUAAGUGAUAUGGCCUAUAAAGGAAAAUAAAAUGUCAUGAAAAUUAUUUAAAAUUUUAUAGAUAUUCAAUUUUUUAUUAUUAUUAUAAAGGGUUGGAAAACUGCAUAACAAGUCUAUGCCUUUUGGAAAAAUGUUUAUUAUUAUUACAAAAUAAACAUUUUGUGACGAUUGAUUAUGUAAUAGGUUAACAUUUAUUUUUAUGUAAUGUAUCUUUUGAUUUAUUAAUUUUUAAUUGAAAUUUAUUUUUGUAACGUAUCUUUUGAUUUAUGAAUUUGUAAUUGAAAUUUAAUUUUUAUAUCUGGUGGCAAUGCCAGUCACAAAACAAAAAGGUGAUGAAGACCUUUCGGCUCUUCAUGGGCCAUGUAUCACAAGCGUAUGAGCCAAUCAUGGACCCCAUCGUGUCCUCAACUUUAACCGUGGCUAUAAAUCUAAAUACUGAUGUAGAACCCUAUCUCAAAAUGGUCCAUUCGAUAGGCAUUAGGCACCUACCACAAGAAAAUUAAUGAAAACAAAAAAUGAAGUUUCAUUUUUUUUGCUUAACUCACACGCAAUAGACUAGUGACCUUGUUUUAGUCAAGAGUCAACGUGUCGGAAAAGUCUUUAAAGUCAUUGUCUAAGGAAAAUAAUCACAAAAUAAUAAAUAAUAUUUUAAUAUAAGAUGUAUAUAUUUUCUUCAAAAGGCAUUUCUACACUUCUACAAUUUUCUCGGACCACUUAACAACUUCAAUUAAUUGAAGAAAGUAUUAUUAUUAUUAUUAUUAUUAUUAUUAUUAUAAAGGGUUGAAAAAAUGCAUAACAAGUCUAUGUGGUAUUUAUUUAUUUUUGUCUAAAAUCUAAAUAAACCUAAAUUAUUAUUUUUUUUAUUUUAAUUCUAAAAUUAAUAAUUUAAGAAAUAGUAAUUUAAUAUAUUUACAAAUAUAUCAAAAUUCUUAAUUUAUUACCGUAAUAAAAAAUUUCUAACAAUUAAUUAUGUAAUUAGUAGAAAAUUUAUAAUUAGAUAAUGAUUAGGAUUUUUAUUUAUAUUUGUGUGGACCCCGUAUUUUGGCUCAUAAGCUUCCACUCGAUGGCGAGCUCGGUUUUUACUUGAAAAUGAUUUUAUUUAUUAAGAAAAAUGACUUGGAGUUGCCACUUAUUUUUGUUUUAUUUUUAUAGGGUAAACAAAAUAAAAAAGAAAACUCUAAGUGUAACUUUUUAUUUUCAGAAAAUGUGGUCUGUGAAAAACCGGAUCGGGAGUCAAGUUACUUAUCGGGAAGGUACGGAAAAGACCGUAGCACCCCUCUAAGUUCCUAAAGAUGGAUCUCUAUUAAUGAAAUGAAGCUGACAUGACAAUUGAUAAGAAAAUUGAUGGAUACCUAAAAUGAUCAUGCACAUGCGUAGAGAAUGACCAGAGUGAACGUGGGUGCGUACCUGAGCAACGAUCCACAAUGUGCUAUCAAGAAAGGGGGUUAGUGUACAAUAAUGAUCAUAAAAUAUGGUUCACAUGUCACUAAACAAAAUAUGAAAUCAUCAUAUAUCACAAUUCAAUCAAGUUGAUUUUCAAAAGGAAACAUCCAAUAAUGUUGGGCUCCCACCAAAGCCCGCUUUAUUCUUGCAUGAAUUUAUUCCGUAAAUUCCAUUAUUCGGAAUCACGGGAUUUAAUUCCUACUUAUUUUAAAACAUUUUGAGAAUCAAAGAAAAUUCGAAGAUGGCUUGCCGGAAGGAAAAAUGGCGGCCAAAUUUUAUUGAAAAUGAGAUCUUGGUAACUAAAAAAAAAAAACUAAGAAUAAAAGAAAAAGUGGAGGAGUUGGGAUUAUUUGAAAAACUGAAUUUGAAAAAAUAUUUACAUAAACGAGAUAUGGGGCAAUGAUUUUAAAAUCAAAGAUGAUGAAAAAUAAUAAUAAAAAAGAGGGCACGUGGUCUAAGGCCCAUGUCUAAGGUAACCAUGCAAAAAUACAUAAAUAGGAGAGUUGAUAAGGAAUAACCAUGCGGGAAUGGGUCUUUAGAGUGCUGCUGCAACUGCUACACCAGUAGCUCAUCACCUUCUCGAAAACUCCACCAAUGAUAACAAGAAGUAUAGUCCUAGGAAUCUUUUGAUAAUUGAAGAAAGAACGUGAAUGGCACAGGCUCUGAUUGCUUGCUCAAAACCUAGAAUAAUUGCAACUAUGUGUCAAUUCUUAGCUGCUUCGUUCCCGAACUAACGGAACCUUGCUAUCUCCAAAUGAUGUGAGAGAACAAUCAAAGCCUUAAACUCUUCCUCCAUUUGCACUCAUUUUGGAAUUACAAAGAGACAAAGGCUGAAAUCUGGAGCUGGCAUUGCCAUGAAGGGUCUUUGCCAAAAUCUGAAUAGCGAUUUGGGUACUCAUGCGCUCUGACUCAAGUUGGUAGAGGCGGCGAGGGCAGAGAUUUACAUCCAAGGCAUACAUUUGUGGAGACGCCACUAUUGAGAUAUUAGGAAUGCUUUCCUUAUAUCAUUCUUUCCUUAUAUCAUUUAGUGUUGAGAUAUUAGGAAUGUUUAGAUAUUAGGAAAGUUGAGAUAUUAUGAAUAUUGAGAUAUUAGGAAUAUUGAGAUAUUAGGAAAGUUGAGAUAUUAGGAUAUUAGUUGUUAUUUCCUUAUAUCAUUCUUUCCUUGUAUCAUUCUUUCCCAUUCUUAGAAUGGUGAUUACCCUCUAUAUAUACUCUGUACAUGAACGAAUGAAAGAAUGAAUGAAAAAACUAUCAUUUAUCAAUUUGAAGAUGGUAUUAGAGCCAUGGAACUGAAAUCCUGGAUAUUUUGUCGCUAUGGUAGUCCGACAGCGAUCAACCAUCCUAAGACAAGCCCUAAUAUUGAUAAGUCAACCUUCAAAUGCACUCACUGCAAUAAGACUGGUCCCACUAGUCUGGAUAUCCCACAAUUUCAAAGCAACGACUCUUGGUAUGACCAGGAAAACAAUGAGGAACCGAGGGUUUGAACCAUGGACCUUUAGAUCAUGUUUAGGCUAUCAACACUUUGUUAUUAGUGAUAAUAAUCGUGAUCAACGGAAGAAGGAUUCCAAGAAAACCUCGACUGCAACUAUUGCCGAAAUAAAAACAUAGGCUAAUGUUGCUGAGAAAGCUUCUGCAUUGGUAGCCGCUACUGAUCAUAGUGGUAAGUUUUUAAAUACUUUUACACCUGUUAUUAAUAGUGCAUGGAUAAUUGAUUCUGGUGCUACAGAUCAUAUGACUUUUGAUUUUAGACAAGUUUCACCCCUUAGACCUUCCUCACAAAAAAUUGUUUCCACAACUAAUGGUAACACAACCCCAGUCAUUGGGGAAGGAUCCUUAACUCUUACUGAUACUUUGAAUUUGGAUUCUGUUUUAGUUGUUCCAUAUUUAGAUUACAAUCUUUUGUCAGUUUCUCAAAUCACUGCAGUCUUAUCUUGUAUUGUCAUUUUUUGGUUUGAAUUUUGUGUGAUUAAGGACAUCCAAACAAGACAGACGAUUGGUUGUGGUAUUAAGCGGGGAAAACUCUAUUACUUGGACUUGCAGUCAAAGGAUUCAAAUAAGUUGCAACAAGCUUUAAUGGCAGAUGGAUUUGAGGGGGAGAAGAAAAAGUCUGAAAUUUGGUUGUGGCAUCAACGUCUGGGACAUGCUUCCUUUGGUUAUUUAAAAAAAUUGUUUCCUAAUUUGUUUGCAAAGAGUGAUAUUUCUGGUUUCCGUUGUGAUAUUUGUGAAUUGGCUAAAAGCCAUCGUGCUUCAUUUCCGUUAAUUUUGAAUAAAAGUCCGUUUCAUUUUAUGGUUAUACAUUAUGAUGUUUGGGGCCCAUCCAAAGUCCUAACUUUGAGUGGCUCAUGUUGGUUUGUUACUUUUAUUGAUGAUUGUACCAGAAUGACAUGGUUAUGUGAUUACUACUCAAAAAAUGCUCUUUGAUAGCUUGUAAUAAACUCUUUUAAACACUUUUGAGUAGUAGUUAUUGCAUUUUAAUCCAAUUAACAUGUUAAGGACCCUUGCAAUCAAUUCUAAUCAAAUUAUGUUAAGUUUUGGUGUUUUGAUAGCCUUUUGAUCACCAAAGCAAUCCGAGAUUGAGGAGAGUUAUAUGGAAUCUUGGGAAAAGCAAUUGGAAGCUCAGAAACAUGAAGAACCGAAGCUUUGAAGUCCUUUGCCAUAAGUAAAUCCGGAAUGCAAGGAGAAGAAGUAAAGAGAAUCUGCCAUGAAGCAUAUUCUUGAUGACAGUCGUGUCAGCCACUUUUGGAGCACUUUCUAAAGUCCAAUUGAUGCAUGCUAUAUGUCAUUUCAAAGCUCAGGAAGUCAACAAUCCAAUGCUUCAAAUGAUACACAAUUUGGAGUUGAAACGAAGAAGUUACAGCCACUGCAAGUCAAUCACUCUAAGCUGAAGAAAGCAUUUUGCAAAAGUGUUGCGAAAUCACCCUUUUGUUGCGAAGUGAUUUCGCAGCCUUUUUGUACAGUGUGGUGGAUUUCCUCCUGAAGUUGCCCGAUAUGUGCGACAAGUUGGAAGCUGAGAACCUCAAGAUGAAAGCCAACUUCGCAGCCCUGCGAGAAUAACCUUUUGCUGCGAAGUGAUUUCGCAGCCCUUUUUGUAUUUCUGCGAAAUCUCGCAGACAUCAUUUUCUCUUGCGAAAUGGUCCUUAGUGCGUCCCGAUAUUUGCUACCGACAUUGGGAGAUAUUUUCCAUCAGAUUUUUGUUGUCUAAAUCCCAAAAUUCUCCUUGUAAGCCACCAAUUACAAGAUUCCUUAGCUUUUAAGUUAGUAAAAAGAGUAAAUAUCCAUGUAAUAAUUAGUUUUGUAUUAUGUUCAUAUAUAAAUACCCCUCGAGAGCCUGUUCUCAGGGAGGAGACCUUUUGUAAAGUUUUGGAAAAGCAAGUAAAGUUCAGGUCCUUUGUUUUGCCUUAACUUCUCACUUUGUAUUUUUUUUAUUUCUUACUAAGUUAUGCACUCUCUAAGGAAUUUUUCCCAGAGAAUGAGUAACUAAACCUUUAGUUUCUUAGAGCUAAGGUUGCCGGUGAAGGUUCCAAGUGCAAGAAUGCAAAGCUCUGUGGUUUCAGCCAUGAAUGAAGAGGAAGUGAAAUCCUUUAGUGAUUUCUAUGUUUUUAGUUAACUUAAAACACCUUAGCGUCACCUAGGCCAACACUUGGUAAGGCAAGUGAUCUCCAACCAUGGAGAUGCACUAGUUUACCCCUUGCGAGCCUCUGGGAGGUGACUUUAAGGUAGGAUUUUCUGGAAUUGCCAACACUUGGUAAGCUUUUGGACUCCAAGGAGACAUCCAUUAGUUAUCUCUUGCGAGCCUGAGAAGGGAAGUCCAAGGUUAAAGAUCACCUUGAAUGGUUAAGGCUUAGUGAGAGGUUUGAACCAUUGCAAGUUGCAUCAGUGAGAUAAUUAAAGUUGAAAUCUAAUUAAAGGAUGUAUCUGUACAACACCGAUUAGAGAAUUGACUAUAUGUUGAAUCUCUAACGCGAGGAAAUGAACCAUCUGACCGGAGCUAUGUCUUUUGCAUGAGGAACCACCCCAAUGAACCUGACCCUCUAAGGAAUGUUUUUCUUCCUAAGUUAUUCCCAUUACUUGUUUUGUGAGUUAGUUUGAAUCUAAAUCUUUUCCAAUCAAGGUUUGAGUUUUCUUUCUUAAGCUAACCUUGAAAUGAAACACUACCAAUUCACUUUGAAUUAAUAUCAUUUGUAAUUUGGAAACCCUUCCCAGUGAACGAUCCUAGAGCCGUUAUACUAUAAUAGCUUUUUCUUUGCUACCCUAGUAUAUGGUGUAAUAGGUUAUAAAUUUUGUUGAUUACUCCCUCAAUCAAGGAGCACCAGCUGGACAUGAAUCAGCUGAGACACCAAUUGGGCACGAAUCAUUAUGCUUGAUGAAGACCAAAGAUGAAGUGAACUUGUUGUUUUAAAAUUUUCAUAAAAUGAUUGAAACUCAGUACAAUGCAAAGGUUCGGGUUCUGCGUAGUGAUAAUGGUGGAGAAUAUCAAAGUUCUGAUCUUCAAAAGUAUUUGGAAGGACAUGGCAUCAUUCAUCAGACUACUUGUUCCAAUACACCCCAGCAAAAUGGAGUCACUGAACGAAAAAAUCGGCACUUGUUAAAGGCUGUUCGUGCUUCCUUGAUAGCAGCAAAAACACCGAUAUCUUAUUGGGGAGAAGCAAUCACAUCUGCCGCAUACUUGAUCAAUCGGGUACCUUCUAGCUCAAUUAACUUUCAAACACCUCUCCAAGCUCUUACUAAUGUCGUAGUUGCCCUAACCAUCCCAAAUCUACCUCCUCGUGUUUUUGGUUGCGUGGCAUUUGUGCAUCUACACAAGCACCAACGCACCAAGUUAACUUCCCAUGCAUUGCAAUGUGUGUUUGUUGGAUAUGCAUUGCACAAAAAGGGAUAUCGAUGUUACCAUCCUCCAACUCGACAAAUGUAUAUUACAAUGGAUGUAGUGUUUCAUGAAGAUUCAAUGUAUUUUUCAUCUGAGUCUGAACUUCAGGGGGAGUACCAUAAGGAAAUUCAGACUCUCGAUUAUGAUUAUCAUAUCUCUGAGGAAGAUGAAUCUAGACAAUCUGAACUAGUGAACUAGGAAGCGGGUAAGUUGGAUAUGAGUGGUCAAGUAUUUGGGUCCGAAGAUGUCUUCACUGAAAUACCAAACCAAACGUCGUCUGUUGAGGGUGUUCUUAAUUUGGAACCUGAUCCAUUCAUGAAAUGGUUACUACACCGUCAUAAUAGAGGUAUUCUUAAACCCACAUAUGAACCUGAAUUGUCUACCAAAGUCAAAUAUCCCAUGAGCAACUAUGUGUCUAACCAUCGUUUGUCUGAAUCAAAUAAGUCAUUUGUAAAUCAAUUAUCUACUGUAGCUAUUCCUAACAGUGUGCAUGAAGCCUUAGCUGAUCCAAGGUGGAAAGCAACCAUGAAUGAAGAGAUGAAAUCAUUGCAGAAGAAUGAAACAUGGGAACUCGUAGAAUGUCCACCAGGAAAAAAGCCAGUUGGGUGUCGUUGGAUCUAUACUGUGAAGUACAAGGCAGAUGGUAGUAUUGAACUAUUUAAAGCAAGACUGGUAGUAAAAGGGUACACUCAAACUUAUGGAAUUGACUACACAGAGACAUUUGCACCUGUAACUAAGAUCAACACAGUUCGAGUAUUACUGUCUUUAGCUGCAAACCUAGAUUGGCCAUUACAACAAUUUGAUGUGAAAAAUGCCUUUCUACAUGGUGAGUUAUCUGAAGAAGUAUAUAUGGAUCUUCCACCAGGAUGCAUGGUGUCAGAAAAGCAAUGUCAGAAGGUGUGCAAAUUGAAGAAGUCAUUGUAUGGGUUGAAGCAAUCCCUGAGAGCAUGGUUUGGAAGGUUCACAAAGUCAAUGAGAGCUUUUGGCUAUCGUCAAAGUAAUUCAGAUCACACUUUGUUCCUGAAAAAGCAACAUGGUAAGAUUACGACACUCAUCAUAUAUGUGGAUGACAUGGUAGUUACAGGAAAUGAUCCUGAAGAAAUAAAAGCUCUACAAAAUUAUCUAUCUAUAGAAUUCGAAAUGAAAGAUCUAGGUCAUCUGAAAUACUUUCUUAGGAUUGAAGUUUCUUGAUCAAGUGAAGGAAUUUUUCUGUCUCAAAGAAAGUAUGCUUUAGAUCUUUUACAGGAGACUGGAAUGUCGGGAUGUCAACCUGUUAAUACACCAAUAGAAGAAGGUCUGAAAUUGUGUGUUGAGCCUAAUCAAGUAUCAACCGAUAAGGGAAGAUACUAGAGACUUGUGGGGAGAUUAAUGUACUUAGCUCAUACAAGACCAGAUCUUGCUUAUACAUUGAGUGUAGUGAGUCAAUACAUGCAUAAUCCUGGAGAGCAACAUAUGAAUGCAGUCAUGCGUAUUUUGAGGUAUUUGAAGAAUGCUCCUAGGAAGGGAAUUUUGUUCGCUAAAAAUGUUGAUCAUCAGAGUAUAGAAGUAUAUACUGAUGCUGAUUGGCCGGUGCAGUGGAUGAUAGACGAUCUACAUCUGGUUACUUUACCUUUGUAGGUGAUAAUCUUGUGACAUGGAAAAGUAAGAAGCAGAAUGUCGUCGCUCGUUCAAGUGCAGAAGCGGAAUUUAAAGGUAUGGCUCUAGGACUUUGUGAGGCAUUAUGGCUAAGACUCCUCUUACAGGAUUUAGGUUACCUAUCUAGCCAACCAAUUCGAUUGUUUUGUGACAAUAAAGCCGCAUGUGACAUUGCUCAUAAUCCAGUACAACAUGAUCGUACAAAGCAUGUCGAGGUGGAUAGAUUCUUCAUUAAGGAAAAGUUGGAUGAUAAGAUUAUGGAAUUGCUUAAGAUUUGAUCAGAAGAUCAAUUGGUCGAUAUCCUUACCAAAGCUGUCUCAAGUCAAGUGUUCUCAAAAUUUUUAGACAAGUUGAGCAUGUGUGACAUCUAUGCACCAACUUGAGGGGGAGUGUUGAGAUAUUAGGAAUGCUUUCCUUAUAUCAUUUAGUGUUGAAAUAUUAGGAAUGUUUAGAUAUUUGGAAAGUUGAGAUAUUAUGAAUAUUGAGAUAUUAGGAAUAUUGAGAUAUUAGGAAAGUUGAGAUAUUAGGAUAUUAAUUGUUAUUUCCUUAUAUCAUUCUUUCCUUGUAUCAUUCUUUCCCAUUCUUAGAAUGGUGAUUACCCUCUAUAUAUAUUCUGUACAUGAACGAAUGAAAGAAUGAAUGAAAAAACUACCAUUUAUCAAUUUGAAGAGCCACUUCCUGAAUUGCAUUUACAGCGGACAUAUUGGAUGAAUUGUCUUUAAAAAGAAAAGUAUUUAGGACUGCCACUCUCUUUCAUACAAAAAAUCAUGCGUCCCACAAUAUCAGUGUUUGACACUCCUUCUGUGCACUUGAUCUGCUUGUAGUGACCAGCCCACAUCCUAAAAAAAUCUAGGUAAUCUCUCCAACGAGCUCCGGUGUCAACGAUUUGACAUGUCUCUUCAUGUAAAUGGCUAACUGAUUCUUGUCCAAUACUGAUUGCACUUGAAGCUUAAAUGUAUCAACGAUAUCAGCCACUUCGAUGACUUGAUGCAACCUAGAAGUCCUUCAAGUCAUAACUCACAAACUUGGACAGUUUCUCAUGAAAACAGUCACCUUGUAGCCAACACGAAACUCAAAACACAGUCUCACAAGAACAACUUCAACCAUCGCAUCCAUUCUCUCAUACGGAGAUCCCAAGAGGAAUUUAAAAACGUGCAUCUGUUGGAAUACAUUUGAAGGAAGUAUAUUUCUCGGGGCAUCAAGAGUUGUUACAAAUCUCAUCAUUAAAAUGACUGGAACCUUGACCACCCAUUCACUCAACAUGAGAAUGAAAUCUGAUAACACGGACCCACAACAUCGCUUCAUAUCAUCUAUUAUCACAACCACCGGCUUGUUGUAGCUGCCCGAAUCACUACACCAUGAUGCUAAAAUGGAUACAUCAGCUGCGUCCAAAGCAACCAUUAGAAACUGUCUCAACAAACCUCUGAGACAGCCGCCAAUGCCAUUAUUAGCCAAAAAAUUAAUGUAUGAUAAGUUAGCCACAUGACAUCCAUGAGAUUUUAGAUGCAGACCGAACUCUUCCCAACGUCAUCAAAUCAUCAAUGUAACCCCAUAUUCUAGGUGAAAACCAAACCAGUGAAUAGUUGCCUUAAGAUGGAUGUUCCUCAAAACAUCCUUAAUAGUGGACUCAAUAUUUGGCCAAACAAAAUUGAAGGCUUCCAUUCGUAAGUGCUCAUGGUGAUGAUCAUCCCGUUCUUUAUCCGUGCCAAUUUCCAUUUUCUCGGCAUUUUUGACUGAGAUUGGAGAUGAGUCAAUCUUCUUCCUGAAAUCUAGCUUUGAUCCAACAAGUCUCGAAGUUCAAAGCAAACGCAAAUGCUCAAUUUUUCUCAUUAAAUGCACUCGACGGUGUUCUUAUAACCCAAGUCCCGUAUGCAUGAAUAAUAAGAGCGGAUAGAUAUGAAAGAUAGGGGAUGUAGCCAACGGGAUGGGUGAUGAAGAAAAGUGGGAUAGAUGGGUUAGGUCAAUAAGAGAGAUAAAAAGUUAGGUGUGAUCACGGGUAUGAGAGAAAUGGUAAGCUCAUAUGGGAUGAACUGUGGGUGUCAAUUAUGAUGGGUAUGAACGACAUGUAAUGGCAUGUAAGCGGUUGGAGAAAUGUGUGAUGGACGUUAAUGAGGCCACGUAUGGCCAUGCAACAAUGGAGGGAAUAGGUUUGAGGUGCACUUGGAAAAUGGGUAUGUAAUGUGGUAAAGAGAGAGAAAGUGAAUUCGGUGGUAGUGGGCAUGAGAGGUUCGGUGGAUGUGAGUGAAAGUGUCCAUAGGGGGUGGCCAUGCAUGCAUGAUUCCAAUGCAUGUAGGUAGGUGACUUUGGGAUUCCAAUGGAGAUGAGCACGACACGGGUAUGGUGGUUAUGACGGAGGAUGGUGAGUAAGGGAAUGAGCAUGGAGAUGGAUGUGGUGUAUGAAGGUUAGUGAGAAGUGGGUUAGCGACGGAAACAUGAUUCUAGUGCGUGCAUGAGAGGGAAAUGGGUAUGGUGGAGGAUGCUUGAUUCCUGCAAGCGUGAGUGAAUGAUGGGUAUGGCUAGCACGAAGGACAGAAAGAUGGUGAAACGGAGCGGGUUUGAUGGGUCUCGGGAUGGAUAUGAUAGAUGGUGGAGAAAAUGGGUUAGUGGGGGUGUGAAUUGAUUCGUGCCCAAUUGGUGUCUCAGCUGAUUCGUGUUCAGCUGGUGCUCCUUGAUUGAGAGAGUAAUCAACAAAAUUUAUAACCUAUUACACCAUUUACUAGGGUAGCAAAGACAAAGCUACUAUAGCAUAGUGGCUCUAGGAUCGUUCACUGGGAUGGGUUUUCACUUUGCAAAUGAUAUUAAUUCAAAGCUGAAUUGGUGUCUUUUCAUUUCAAGGUUAGCUUUAAAAGAAAACAUAAAGAUGUUUGAAUGAAAAAGGUUUGGUUUUAAACUAACCAAAAAUAGUAACUGAUUUUACUUACAAAGAAAAAUGUUUCUUGGAGUUUCAGAUCACUAGGCUCAGAUUCCUCAUACAAAAAGGGAGUUUCGGUCACUUGUUUCUUUUCCUCGCAUUAGAUAAUUAACAUAUAGUUCCUUCUCCAACCGGUGUUGUACAGAAACUUCCCAUUAAUGGGUUCAAACACUAAAUCUCUCUCACUGAUGCACCUUGCAAUGACUUGUGCCUCUCACCUAGCAUUUGCCAUUCAAGGUGAUCUUUAACCUUGGACUUUCCUUCAAAAGCUCGCAAUAGAUAACUAAUGGAUGUCUCCUUAGAGUCCAAAAGCUUACCAAGUGUUGGCUAUUCUAGAAAAUCCUACCUUCAAACCACCUACCAAAGGCUCGCAAGGGGUAAACUAGUGAAUCUCCAUGGACGGAGAUCACUUGCCUUACCAAGUGUUGGCCCAGGUGAUUUAAAAGCGUUUUAAGUUAACUAAAAAGAUAGAAAUCAUUAACGAGUCACACUUUCUCUUCAUUAAUAACUAAAACAACAAAACUUCCAAAUUAUGCAUGUGGAAACUUACCCGGAUUUCCUCACUCCAAGAGACGAAGAGCCUAGCCUCUCAUCCUCUGAGGAAAAAUCCUCAGAGUUUGUUUGGCUAGCAAGAAAAUGAAAAUGAAAGAGAAGGAAAAACAGAGCAAGGCUCUGUAUAUUCUAUAUAUUUAUAUAUCUAUCUAUAUGAUGGAUCUCCUGGAACAAGCUCCUCCGAGAGUCCUCCAAGAGUCCCAUUUUUUAGUGUUUACAAGAGAGUUUAUAUAGGAAGGUAAUUUACCCUUCCUUGGAUACUUCUUAGCUAAGGAAUUACAUAAGUGGUUGAAUACAAGGAGAAAAUGGAAAUUUAGACACAAAAAUCUGAAGAAAAAUAUCUCAAAGUUUCGGUCGCAAAUAUCGGGAAGCACUAAGGACCAUUUCGCAGGUGAAAACGAGGUCUGCGAAAUUUCGCAGACGCACAAAAAGGGCUGCGAAAUCACUUCGCAACAAAAGGCUGAUUUCGCAGCGCUACGAAGUUGGCUUUCAACUUGCGGUGUUCGGCUUCCAAUGUGUUGCAACUAUCGGGAAACUUUAGGGGGAAUUCCACAGCACUGUACAAAAAGGCUGCGAAAUCAUCUUGCAACAAAAGGGUGAUUUCGCAACGCUGUGCAAAAUUCUUCCUUCAGCUUAGAGUGAUCGGCUUGCAAUGGCUGUAACUCCUUCAUUUCAACUCUGAAUUGUGUACCGUUUGAAGCAUUGGAUUCUUGACUUCCUGAGCUUUGAAAUGGUAUAUAGAAUGUAGAAAAUGGACUUCAGGAAGUGCUCCAAAAGUGCGAAAGAAGGCUGCAGCUGCUGUCCUCUGUUUUCUUCACUCUAUUUUCCUCUCUCCAGUGCUCUUUCCUUGCAUACUUUGAACGACUAAGGCAAAGGACUAUGAGGCUCCAAAGCUUGGUUCUUCAUGAAUUUGAGCUUCCAAAAGCUUUGCCAUGAACUAUAUACAACUCUCCCUCAUUCUUAAAUUGCUUUGGUGAGCAAAAAGCUAUCAAAAACACCAAAACUUAACACAAUUUGAUUAGAAACGAUUGCAAGGGUCCUUAACAUGUUAAUUGGGUUAAAAAGCAAUAACUACUACUCAAAAGUGUUUAAAAGAGUUAAUUACAAGGUAUGAAAUAGCACUUUUUGAGUAGUAAUCAUGAAUGAAAGGCGCAUGAGGAUACAGUGAGUGCAUAGGAUCAAUGAUAUUAAGCGAUGUGGGUUAGCGAGAAAUGGGUAUGGAGAAGGUAGUGGCUCUCAUGCACGUGGGUGGAUGGAUUUGGGAUGCUAGCAGAUUAGAGGAAGCUUGGGGGGGGGGGGGGGGGGGGGGGNNNNNNNNNNNNNNNNNNNNNNNNNNNNNNNNNNNNNNNNNNNNNNNNNNNNNNNNNNNNNNNNNNNNNNNNNNNNNNNNNNNNNNNNNNNNNNNNNNNNGGGGGGGGGGGGGGCGCAUAUAUGGCGUACUAAAGAUGAGACAAAGGGUCGGCGGAUCUUAUGUGAACCGGAGCAAAGGGGUGCACCCAUGAUUCUGUGGAACCUGGUAGCGGCUAAAACACCGACAGGCUCACCAGCAGGGAAGGGAUGCUCGGAGUUAGUUCUAGUCUUCACUCCAUACUCAAAUUGGAUAGUUGAAUUGCUACAAACAUUCCUCACUGUACCAUCAUAACAGAUAACAACAUCUCGAAGAGUGGCCAUUAAGUUUUUAAACAAAGUUCCUAGUCCAGACAAGCCCCUUGAUGAUCGUACAAUUAUUUCUCGUGGAAAUUGAAUGAACCAUUUCCUCAUAAGGAUCUAAGCCAUGGGAGAAACAGUUUCAUGAAAAGGAUACUUGCUUUUGAAUUAGAUAAGCCAUGCCCUCAACCCAGAUCCUGGAAUAGAACUUACCCUUUUCUGAAGGUUGUAGUCCUAGGAACCCCAUUUGUUGAACUACCUUGUUAAUAGCCGAAUCACUCUUAGAAUCAUUUAAAUUACCCAGUGCAGAUGAAUUCAAAAUUAAAUUAGCAACAAGAACCUUGGUAUGUCUCAAGUGAUUCUCUGCCUGCAACUCUAGCAAUUCAUUAUACUUCGACCUUAAGUUAUACAACAACGAUGAAAUGUCCUCAACCUUUUUUUGGAUAUUCUGUAUGACCUCCCUGGGAUCGGAAGAAUCCUCCAAGCUGACACUGAAACCCUCUGAAAAUAAAUUUUCCAUGAACAAAGGCGGUAAUGAAUCAAAGAACUUCAAGACCUCAUUGGGACCUUCCUCAGAGAAAAUGGAUGUGACAAUUUCAUUUACCAAAGAUUGCAACACAUCUCUAUUAUAAUCAACUUUCAAUAUAACACUUUUGCUAAUCGAGUGCCUCUUUCCAAUACAAUCAAAAUGAGGAGGUAAGGCAGUUUGCAUCUAUGGAAUGGACUUGAGUUUUUCCGUAAGCACCUCGACCCAGAUGACCAGUAUGAAGUGCGACACUCAACAUUUCAAAAAAAAAACUUAAAAGAAAAAAACAUGAGAAGAAAACAGAGCAUGUACACAUAUAUAUAUAAAAAGAAGGCUGCUAAGUCUCGCCCCAUUCCACAGAUGUCAAUGGGAGGGGUUUAGGUGGAACCAAAAGGAAACGUGGUCAUGAUCUCCAAAAAUCAAAUGCAGUGAUGAAUCUACACCCAGAACACUCCAAAACAAAAAAAUAAAAAUAAAAAUGCACAAGUAGUCUUCAAGUGUCAAAGGAAUCCACAAAUGAAAAGAAACAUAGGAGCAUGUACGAAGUGCGACACUCAACAUUUCAAAAAAAAAACUUAAAAGAAAAAAACAUGAGAAGAAAACAGAGCAUGUACACAUAUAUAUAUAAAAAGAAGGCUGCUAAGUCUUGCCCCAUUCCACAGAUGUCAAUGGGAGGGGUUUAGGUGGAACCAAAAGGAAACGUGGGCAUGAUCUCCAAAAAUCAAAUGCAGUGAUGAAUCUACACUCAGAACACUCCAAAACAAAAAAAUAAAAAUAAAAAUGCACAAGUAGUCUUCAAGUGUCAAAGGAAUCCACAAAUGAAAAGAAACAUAGGAGAACUGUUCAAAACGGGAGAAAUAAAACAGACUGAAUCCUCUUUGGCUUGCUCUCCUCUCCUCUCCGUCUCCUUCCCUCCCAGCUAUCCAACUCCACCCCCCCCCCCNNNNNNNNNNNNNNNNNNNNNNNNNNNNNNNNNNNNNNNNNNNNNNNNNNNNNNNNNNNNNNNNNNNNNNNNNNNNNNNNNNNNNNNNNNNNNNNNNNNNUUUAAAGGGGGGGGGUUUGGGGGGAACCAAAAGAAAAGGGGGGGCGGUCCCCCAAAAAAAAAAGGGGGGGGGAAAUCCCCCCCCGGACCCCCCCAAAAAAAAAAAAAAAAAAAAAAAAACCCCAAGGUUUUUUAAAGGGUCAAAGGAACCCCCAAAAAAAAAAAAAAAAAGGGGAAACUUUUAAAAAGGGGAAAAAAAAAAAAGGAGAAAUCCUUUUGGGGUUGUUUUCCUUCCCUUCCCGUUCCCUUCCCCCCCAAUUUUCAAACCCCCCCCCCCCCCCCCCCCCCCCCCCCAAAUAUCUCUCAAAACCCCUGUUUUUGUCUUCCCCAGCAAGCCAUACUACCCACUCCACUAUGCAUUGCUUAGGGAGGAUGUCAUCCUCAACCACCACCAUGGUCGCCUUUGCCACACGUCCAUACAGCUAGUUUCUUCUCCAGAAAGAGGUCCCUUCCACUUCAAAAAAAGAAAAAAGGAAAAAAUUUCUCUCCCGAGUGGUCCCAAAACGAAUGAAAAACCCCUGGUCUUUGAAGAGGUCUACAGUUUGAUUGUUAAGAAACUAUUAGAAGUUUUCUAAGCUAAAACUUAUUUUUAUGUAAUGUAUUUUAUGAUUUAUGAACAUUGUUGAGAUUAAUUUGUUAACUUUUUAUUUUUAAUUUGGGAAAAAAAUAAAUAUUAAUUUUGGAAAUUAAACAAUGGAUAAUAUAAUGAUAGAAUAAUAUUUUUUCCAUUAUGUUUGUUUAAUAGGUAGAUUCACAAAAUAUUUCAGACUUGUAUUUGAGAUUUACCAAUUUUUUCAAAUGAUUGGAUUAAGGUUCAGUCAUGAUUGGAUCAUAUAUAUUAUAUACUAUUCUAUUCAUGAGUAAAUCAAAUGAAUGAUGUAAAUUACCAAGUUCUGCAAACUUCAAGCAUUGCCAAAAGAAAAAAAAAACCAUUUUUUUUAUACGACAUAGACUAAGGACUUUGUAUAAGUCAAUAAUUAAGAUGUCAUCAAAGUCCUUCAAGAAAUGUCCAAGGAAAUUUUAAAAAUCAUGAAAAAAAAAAAGUUAUAAAUGGUGUUUUAAUGUAUUAUAUACAUAUUCUCUUCAAAAGGUAUUUUUAAACUCCUCUUAGAAUUUGCUAUUCCGACAUUCUUUUUUCUUUUUCUUAUCUCAAUUUAAAUAGACUUUAAUUUAACUUAAAUUUAAAUAGUAUGAAAUAUUAAGUGAUUUGUUUUCAAUUUUUUUUUCUUUGACUUAAUUCUUAAAAAAUAUUGUUUUAAUAUUUAAGUCAUUUUAAAGAUCGUUUAUUUGUUUAAUUUAUUAUUUUUUAAGACAAUUUUAUCUUAAUAGAAAAACUAAUUCAUUGUUUUUCUUUUAUCUUAAAUUUUAAAUUAACUUGUUUUAAGACUUAAGUUAGAAUUAAAAUUUUAAAUUUUAAAAAAACAAUAAACCCUUAAACUAUAUUUGUUUAUGAAAUUAAACUAAGAAAAAUAAUUUUUUAAUUAAUGGUUUCAUUGUGGAAAUACAAAUAUAUAUAUAAUAAAAAUAAAUUAAAAUUUUAUACAUUUUAAAAUUAUUUAAUUUAUAUUUAAUAAAAUAAAUAAAUAAAAUAAAUUAAAAAAACAUAUUAACUUCAAUUUUUUUUCCUUCACUUUUUUCUUCCCAUCUAUUUUUGUUCAUUUCUUUCCCUCACUUCUCCCCUCAAAAUUUUAAAUUUAUUUAACCAUUUUAAGUCUUCGUGCCAAUGCUAGUCAUAAACAAACAAUUGAUGAAGACCUUUCAGCCCUUUGUGGAGCAAGUAUCACAAGAAUAUUGAGCCAAUCAUGAACACCAUCCUGUCCUCAACUUCAUCUGUUGCUAUAAAUCUAAAUACUGAUGUAGACCUGUGGACCCCGCAUUUCGGCUCAUGCGUUUCCCACUCGAUGGCGAGCUCGAUUUUGAUUUCGAAAAAUUGAUUUUAUAUUGAUUAAGAAAAAUGACUUGGAGUCGCCACUUAUUUUUGUUUUAUUUUUAAAGGGUAAACAAAAUAAGAAAGAAAAACCCUAAGUGCGACUCCUUGUUUUGGAAAAGGUGGUCUGUGAAAAAUCGGAUUGGGUUCGGGGGUCAGGUUACUCAUCGGGAAGGUACGGUAAAGACCGUAGCACCCCUCUAAGCCCCUAAAGUCGGGUCUCGACUAUUAAAAUGAAACUGACGUGGCAACUGAUGAGUAAAUCAAUGAAUAUCCUGAAUGAGCAUGCACACAUAAGAAUCGAGACAUGCAUAGACAACGGUUAGAGGGAAAAUGGGUACAUACCUGGGCCACGAGCCACCAUGCGCUAUCAUUAGAGAGGGUUAGUACACCAUAUAGAGCACAAAACAUAUCACAUGCAUCACUGAACAGGGAUUAAAAUUGUUCGAAAGAACACUUGAUUUUUGAAAUUCAUUUGAGAAUCGGAAUCUUAGAGAUCAUUUGAAAAUUGGAUUCUUAGGAAUUAGAUGUAAUGAAAUUUUUAAGAGAAGUAAAUGGGUAAGUAUGGAAUAAUGUUACUAAUUAAUCAAAACGAUAUUUGGACGGAUGAAUAGUGAAUAGUGGGAUUUUGAAAAUUAAGUUUGAAAGUCGGAUCUCUGAAUAAUUGGACUCUAAUUAUUGGAAUUUUUAGAAGGAAGAAAUAAGUAAACGUGGAAUUUAUAACAAUGAUAACAAAGGCGACAUUUGGAUGAAUAAAAGAGAAUGGUGGAAUUUUUUAGUCUCAAGGUUAAAUUUGGAGGUCCGGCUUUGAAGAAUUGAAUGUUAAUGAUCGAAAUAAAUAAGUAAAUAAGUAUGGAGUAAUGAUACUGAUGAACCAAAAUAAUGUUUAAACGAAUAAAAAAAAGAGGAUAGUGGAAUUUUUCUAAUUGAGAAUUUGAAUUAGGGCGUUGGAUUUUUUAAGGGACAUGACUUUGACUAAAUAGGUAGGUAUGUGAUUAUAAUACUAAUUAACGAGAAUAACAUUUCGGUGAAUAAAGAUGGAUAGUAGAAUUUUUGGGAUUAAAGUUUUGAUUAAGGCAUGGGGUUUUCGGAAGAUUAGACUUUGAAUGGAUAUGGGAAUAAUGUUUCUAAUUGAUGAAGAUAAAAUUUAGAUGAACUGUAGAAUUUAUAAGAUUGAAAAAUAAGAUUGAAAAAUUGAAUUAAGACAAGAGAUUUUUGAAGAACUAGGUUUUAAAUAAAUAGACGAAUACGUUAUAAUAAUCCUAAUUGAUGGAAAUAAGAUUUAAACGAAUUACUGAGAAACUAAAUUAAGACAGGGGAUUUUGAAGGAUUAGAUUUUAAAUAACUAAAUAAAUGCGGGAUAAUAAUUCGAUUUAUGAAAAUAUGAUUUAAACAAGAAUUAAAUUAAAACUUAGGAUUUUUGAAAGAUUGACAUAGAUAGAUAGGAGAAUAUAGGAUAGUAGUUCUAAUUGAUAAAUAUGAGAUUUAAAAGAGUUUUUGGGGAAUUAAAUUAAAACAUGUGACCUUUUUUAUAGAUUGGGCUUUGAAUAAAUAAUAAAUAAGGGAUAAUGAUUUGAUUUAUGAAAACAUGAUUCAGACAAGAAUUAAAUUAAGACUUAGGAUUUUUGAAGGAUUGACAUAAAUAGAUAGGAGAAUAUAGGAUAGUAGUUCUAAUUGAUGAAUAUGAGAUUUAAAAGAGUAUUUGAGGAAUUAAAUUAAAACAUGGGAUUUUCUUAAUGGAUUAGACUUUAAAUUAAUAAAUGAAUAUAGGAUAUUAAUUCAAAUUAAAGAAAAUAACGUUUAGACAAAUAGUGGGAUUUUAGGAUCGAGAAUUGAAUUAUGACAUUGGAUCCUUUUUUUUUUAAGGGUUGAAUUUUGAAUAAAUAAACUAAUAUAGGAUGAUAAUACUAAUUAACGAAAAUAAUCAGUUAAAACGGGAUAACAAGGACAGUGGAAUUUUUAGGAGUUUGAAAAUUAAGCUAGGACAUUGGAUUUACGAAGGGUUGGAUUUUAAAUUAGUAUAUAAAUAUGGGAUACUAACUCUAAUGGGUGAUAAUGAGAUUUGAACUAAUUAUUGAAGAAUUAAAUUAAGACACAUGAUUUAUUUGGAAGCCUUAGACUUUAAAUAGCUAGACAUAUAUGGUGAUAAUUCUUAAUUGAUGAAAAUGGGAUUUAAAUAGAUUAUUGAAAGAUUAGAUUAGGAUAUGGGGUUUUUCAAGGAUUAGAAUUUAACUUUGAUGACUGAGAUUUUCAAAAGAUGAUAAAUAGAUGCGUACGAAGUAAUAAUAAUAAUUAACAAUCAUAAUGUUUAAACUAGUUAAAUUAGAUGAAAUAAGCUCCAAGAUAAAAAUAUAAUUAACAAUAGUAAUUUGUUCUUUAAUUGCCUUUAAGAUGAGUUAACUAAAUGGGUAAAAAUAAGGUAACAAAUAAAAGGAAAUGAUUUGAUUAAUUAAUUAUGGAAAUUAGAGGCUUUGUUUUAUUUUUAAAAAAAUGAUUAUUUAGGAAUUGGGCAGCCUGGAGGGCUUACUUGUUCACAAACUUGGGCUUGGUGCUCCAACCCAAAUCCAAAGCUACCAUGGGCGGGCUCAAAAACCCAUCCCAAACCCAAGCCCGAAACUCCAUCUUCUUCCUAGCUUACCCCCCUCUAAACGCACACCAUCCUCAGAGGAAGCCUUCAUGGCCAGCAGCAAGGUGGAGAGAGGAGCCGUGGCAGCGGUUCGACGGUAUCCAGAAAGUGUCGUCGUCAUGGUGGCUGAUGCGAGUGCUCACCUAGCCGGAGCGGGUGAUGGCGGUUGGUGAGGCGAGCCAGCGCCUCGCCGACGUGGUGCGCACAGCAAGAAGACGCAGGGAGGGAAGGCCGGCGUGCAUGGAAAGUUGCGAAGCUCUCCGGGCCUCUGGCAGACGUGCCGCCGAUGGAGACGGCGAGGGCGAUGGCGAAUAAUGAGGAGGGAGAUGGCGGAGGCAGCUUGCCUGCUUGGAUCCCACGCGUGCAGAAGAGUGGCUUUGGGAGCCCUUGCGGAAAUGGGUAUGGCGACUAGAGGAAGAAAAGGUGAUGGGGAAGAAAGGUGAGGGUAACGGCCAUGCCGGGAACAUGGGUGCACGGCUAUGGGGCUGCUGAACAAAAGGGACUGUUGGGGAUAUGCAUGGCAGCAGCCUUUCGAGUGCCAGUGACGUCCGCUUGAAGGGCAGGGUUCAAGUAUGGAUCCUUCAAGGCACUCUCGACUUCGGGGUUGGUAUUCUCUCCGACAACGAAAUGUCUGGGCAACUGAUUCCUCAAGUUUGAUGGGUCCAGAACCCUUUUAUCGAUUUAAAUCCAUUGCCUGGCUCCCCUUAGAUGGACAUCAGAAACAGGGGAAGGAGAGGAAACUACAAGAAAAUAAAAAGGAGGGCACCAGCUGACCAAACAACUAAGGCAAACAAACCUAUGUUUCGCGCUUGGAUCCAUGGGCUUCGCUGUAGGUGGGUGGAUCCGGAUGCAUUCCACGGGAGCGAGGACAAAAACAAAACUCUCCCAUGAAGUAUAGUGCAACAGAAACAGAGCCGAGUUGCUCUCAAAUCAUCCCGAGGAAAAUAAACGAGCUAGCCACAAUGAAUUCAUAGACCAAAUGGCGACCAUAAAACUGAACGUAUAACCAAAAAAUCCGUAAACACUAUCCAGAAAAAAGAGGAAUAGGAAUAUGUACCGAUAAAAUGAGUUCAAUGAUUCAUGGAAGACAUACCUUUCCUUUCUUCUCUCUCGGCGGAUCCUCUUGCGGACGUCCUCUGCUGCCCAAAAGUCCUCCUUCCUCCCUUCCCUUUUCUUCUUUUCUCCUCUGUUUUUCUUCUGUUCCUGUCUUCCUCAGCAAGCCAGUCGUAUCCCGUCCAAUCUGCCCCCCGAGAGCCGCCCACUUGAGUCCCCUCUCUGCCCCAAAAACCAGCUCCUGACCAUCAUGUCGAGCCCCGGGAAAAAGGUAGGAAAAGGAAAAGAAAUAAAAUAAAUCCAAAUAAAAAAAUCUCUGCCUCCAGGGGGGUCUACAAGACCCUAUCUGAAAAUGGUCCACUGGAUAGGUACCUCCCACAAGAAAAUUAAUGAAAGCUAGAAAAAUGAAAAAAAUAAAAUAAAAAUUAAAGCUUCAUUUUUAUUUUUUUUUUCCCAACUCACAUGGAAUAUAGACUAAGACUUUGUUUCAGUCAAGAGUCAACAUGUCACAAAAUUCCUGAAGUCAUUGUCUAAGGAAAAUAAUAAAUAAUACUUUAAUGUAUGAUGUAUAUAUUUUCUACAAAAGGCAUUUCUAGACUUCUACAAUUUUCUCCUAUGGACCACUGACCAACUUCAAUUAAUUGAGAAAGUUACGUGAAUGAAGGGACUUCCUACUCCAUGUUAAGUGAUAUGACAUAUAAAGGAAAAUAAAAUAUCAUGAAAAUUAUUAAAAUUUUUAUAUUUAUACAAUUCUUUAUUAUUAUUAUUAUUAUACAUAAAGGGUUGGAAAAAUGCAUAACAUGACUAAGUGGUAGUUUUUUUUUUUUUUUGUCUAAAAUGUAAAUAAAUCUAAAUUAUUAUUUUUUAUUCUAAUUCUAAAAUUAAUAAUUUAAGAAAUAGUAAUUUAAUAUAUUUACAAAUAUAUACAAAAAUUUAAUUUAUUACCAUAAUAAAUAUUUUCUGACAAUUAAUUAUGUAAUUAGUAGAAAAUUUAUAAUUAGAUAAUGAUUAGGAUUUUUAUUCAUGUUUGGUUGUUAAGAAACUAUUAGAAUUUUUCUAAGUUAAAACUUAUUUUUAUGAAAUGUAUUUUCCGAUUUAUGAAUAUUGUUGAGAUUAAUUUCAACAUUUUUUUAUUUUUUAUUUUUUACUCUUCAUAUGGAUAAUAGAAAGUGGAUUUGUGAUGCUUUCUUGGAUUUAUAGCAAUUAAAACUUAUUUCUUGAAUAUACAAUUUAAAAGUUCAAUUGUUAAAAUAAAGUCAUUUCUCAAAGAGAUUUCCUAUUUUACUUUAGUUAGUUUUGGAUUAGAAAUUAUACCUUUUAAUUUAUGCUCUCAUUAUUAUUCUAAAUCUAUUUGAGGUAAAUAUCAACUAGCUAGAUGUUGGAUUUGUUAGAUAAGGUCAUUCAUGUGUUCAGCUCUCAAGUUUGAUAUAUAAAAUCACCAUAGUACCCUUCACCUCUGUGUCAAGGUAUCGUAGUAUUAAACUUUUAAAAAACAUUAUAAACUUGAUGCAUUGGAACGGUAUGAUCAUUAUUGUUGAAUGAAUCUAUCAUUUUUUAUUGAGUGAAUAGCUUAAUUUAGAAUUUUUACGAUUUUUGUUUUAGUUAGAACUUUUAGACAAUAUUUGAUUCCUGAAAACUUGAAGGGAAAAUAUAAGGGAAUAAAAUAGAGAAGAAAAAUAUAAGGAAACAAAAGAUUUAAAAUCACUCAUUUUAACUCAUGUAAAUACUAAAUAAUUUUUAAGGGGUUGCUAUUCGCAACAUCUCUUUUGCUAAUGUAACACUUUUUUGUCAUAUUUUUUUUUUCAUAUAUACCCUUUUUAAUAAAGAACUCUCUCUAACCUCCUCUCAACAUAUUAAACCUAAAUUCUAGUUAAUUAAGGGUACGAAUCACAUACGAAAUACAAUGAAUAACGAAAUUCAAUCAUCUUAUGAUAAUUUUCAGGUAAGAUUUAUAACUUUUAUUUUUUUUAUAAAGAAGUAUAUUGUUUUGACAUUUUUUUAGGCUCUUGAUUACAUACUUUGUUUUAUGAGUCUUUACUUUGCAUACACAAAUAAUUAUUACAUUACUCAUAUUCUUAAUCAAUCUUUAGUUAUAUGCAAUAUUUUUGUUUGGGUUACAAAAAAAAUCAUAUCGAACACAAUAAAAAAAAAUAUUUUUUAAAAAACCAUUCCAAUUAAAUAUUGUUUAUUUUAAAAUUUUAAUAAUAAUAUUUAUUUUAAAAAAUUGAGUUAUGAAUUUCACAUUAAAACAUUGAAUAUAAUAAAAUCAUUUUACAUAAUAUACUUUUGGUGAAAAUAUAAUUUUAUAAUUUAUUAUUUAAAGAAAUUAUUUUGUUUUAAAAUAUAAGAAGAAUAUGAAAAACAAUUGAGUGUGAAAAAUAAAAUAAAUGAAAAGAAAAAAACACAAAGUUUACUUGGGGUGGGAGGUUGAGUAGGUAGAGAUGAAAAGAAAGAUAACAAUAAAAGAAAAAGAAUGCUAAAAUGUAGGGUGGGGGUUGGGAAAAAGAAAAGAAAAAUAAAAAAAGGGUGCAAUUGGGACAUGAGGUUGGGGAGGAGAGAGAGGAGAGGAGAGAGGAGAGAGAGGGGAAAGGAAUAAGGAAGGGUAGUUUAGGAAUGUAAAAUAUCAUAUUAGUAAAAAUGGUGUUGCGAAUAGCAAUUGAGAUUUUUAAAUGUAUAAAUUUUUAACUAAUUUUAAUUAUAUUUAAUUUUUAUUGAUAUUUUCGAUGAUAUAACAAUCCAUAACAUAAUCAUUUUUCCUAUUAUUAUUUUUUCUUUUCUUCGCACUUUCAAGGAAACAAAAAUAAACACCGAGUAAAAUUAUGAUUUUAAAGGUAGCUUGGUUAACAUUGUGUAUACUUUUUGUUGAACUCUUUUCGAAGUGGAAUUUUUGUUAUAAAUUUAUCUAAAUACCUAAAAAAUCUCGUAAGCAACAACAAUUAGGUUUGUGUUACAUCUCAUUUAACAAUUAUUGUAAAGCUAUAAUGACUAGAUGGGGUUAGAUAGUACACAAUUUGAACCUUUGGUUUCAAAAUUUAAUCAAAGAAAAUUCAGUAACCAAAUGUUUAAAAUUUAGGAAUGAUGAUGGACAGGUUUUGAAACUAUUUCAAAUUUUGAUACAACUAUAAAUCUAGAAGAAAUGAAGACCUUUUAGCAUAUAGAAGAAGUUUCACCAAACUAAUAAUUAACAUAUAAAUAAGUAGGAUGAGUGUUUGAGACACUUCUCUUUUUGUUGGAUUCGGUUCUAGUCUGACUCAAGGUUAAUAUAUUUUUAAUUUCCACUUUGUUCAUUUAUGCAUUGAUUCAAAAAAAUAUGUCAUGUACUAAUGUUAAUUCAAGAUACUAAUUACCAAGUUUUUGAAACAUGAAGUCAUGGUCCAAAGAAAACGAUACAAUAUUUUAUUUUUUGUUUCUAUUUCUCCAUUCUUUUGCUUAACUCACACGAAAUAGACUAAGGACUUUGUUUUAGUCAAGCAUCAAGAUGUCACAAUCACAAAGAAAAGAAAUUCAAACAAUGCUUUAAUGCAUGUUGUGUAUAUUUUCUCCAAAAAGCAUUUUAGACUCUUGUUAGAAUUUUCUCCUACGGAUUCUUUACUAACUUUAAUUAAUUGAAGAAAGCUAUACCAAAUUUCCUACUCCAUGUUAAAUAUUAUCGCCUAUAAAGGAAAUAAAAUAUCAUAAAAAUCAUUUAAAAAUUUAUAUAUAUUCAAAUUUUUUAUCAUAUAUAUAAAGGGUUGGAAAAAUGUAUAACAGGUUAAUGUGGUAUUUAUUUUUGAUCUAAAAUUUGAGUAGAUCUAAGUUUGACUUAAAUCUACUUAUAUUAUUAAGUGUUUAGGUUGCUUACUUUUUAUCAAUGUAUAAAUAUUGUUAAGUGUUAAAUUGCUUUCUUUUAUUAAUGUCUAAAGAGUUACACUUAUUUAUUUCUACAUGUUAAAAAUAUCUAUAAAAUUAAUUAUUAUAUUUUUUCUUAUUUUAAUUUUAAAAUUAACCAUUUAAGAGAUAUUAAUUUAAUAUAUUUAUAAAUGUACAAAAAUAUUAUAAUUUAUUAUCAUAAUAAACAUUUUAUAAUGACUAAUUAUGCAAAGUGUAGAAAAAUAACAAUUAGAUAAUUAUUAGGAUUUCUAAUUAUGCUUGGUUGUUAAAAAAUUUCUAUGUUAAAACUUAUUUUUAUGUAACUAUCUUCAAAUUUAUGAAUAUUGUUGAGAUUAAUUUAUUAAUUUUUAUUUUUAAUAUGGGAAAAAUGUAAAAAUCUAAAUUUUAUUUUUAAAAUUAAUUGGAUUUUUUUAUUCAAGCUAAUUACUAAAUGAGGGUAAAUUAGAAAUCUAAGAUCAAGGACAUUAGCCAACCAAACUGACCCAAACCUAACCAAUCCAAUCUUAUUCAUUUCAAAACAAUGAACCAAUAGAAACCGAUUCUAAUCAAACAUAUAUAUUAUAUAUUAGACUUAAAAUAUACAAAAUUUGAAUUUUCAAAAUUUGAAGUUAUUUUUUGAAGAGACUUCAUAUUUUGCUUCUCACAUUUUACUAUAAAUUUAUGAAAUUAUUUUUUAGUUGUCAUAUUUUAAAAAAAAAUAUUUUAUUUUUUCAAAAUAAAUUCACUAAAUAAUGUCUCACAUGUAUUUGUGGUUCACUAAAUUUUUAAUAAUCAAAUUAAUAAAUUUGUAAAAGAAAAAUAUUAUAUUUUCUCCAUUUUUUUCACUUGAUAAACAAAUCUACAAAAAUGUCAAGCGAAUGUUUGAAAUUUACCUCUUUUUUUUUGCUUUUUUUUUUUUUUUUGUAAUCUUUGGUUGAUUGUAUUUUUAAAAGCAUUAUAAAUCCCAAGAAAGAAAUAUUUUUUUCUUUACCAUUAUAGUUCCAUAGUGUUUGAACUUAUCUUUACCAUUUUUUUUUCUUGAUCUAACUACAAGCUUGACUACACAAACUUUGUCAACAAUGAGAAUAAAAGUGAGGAGGGUGAUGAAGUUCUCCCUAUACUCUCCUCCCCCUUUUUAACUUUCCACGUUUUAAUUGUAUAUCCCCCCUCAACAAUAUAGUUUUAAGGUAUGUACACUUUAAUCCUGAUGGACUAAAGGCCCAUAAUUCAUCUCAAUGGGUCAACUAAAAUAUUAUGAGGAAGGUGAAGCCAUGGGCCUCUGCACAAUACAUUAAAUUGAUUAUGGCCCAAAACAAUACCCAUGCACAACCAAAUAUAGUUUACAAUAUACGUAGUCCACAAAAAACAUUUGACAUUAAUAGGUGAAUUUAGGUGAUUAUGCUAGUCCAAGAAACAGUAAAAAAUUUUAUUUGAAAAUUUAUAUAUUUUCAAACUCUUAAUUCCUCUUUAUAAAUGUGGAUAAAGUUAGAGAAGUAAUGAUAAGAAUUAUUAAAAUUUAUUAAUCUUGAAGAGAAGUAUAGAAAAUGGGAAAUUAAUGAGAAUUUUAUUAUUAUCUUUUUUAGUUCCUUUAUUUUAAUUUUUUUUUCUUUAUUUUCCUUCAAUGUUGUCUUCCCUAGUAAUAUAAAUGUGGAUUUGGGAAGUACAUAUGCCGUUAUAUGACCCAAAAAUUAUUGGUUAUAGAAUACUAUAAAUUCCAUAAGAACAUAAUUCACAUACAUUUUGUCUCAAAGUUAAAAUAGUCUUACUAGUUGUUAUAUAUCUAUUGGUGCAGUAGAUUUUGAGCUUGUCUUAAAAGCUCUCGCCUAUUGAUGCCCUUAUCAACUACUUCGCAAACCAAUUUGCCAAACUUGCAACACAAGAUGGUUGGGUGGUCAUCCCGCACAUCUCCUAUGGUCAAGUAAGUGGAUAACAAGAAAAGGAAGUGUUGAGAGUAGAUGGAAAAAUAAAUAUGGGAAUAUGGGUGAGAGAAUAUGAUAGGUGAAGCUUAUUCUCUUUGUUAGAGCUUGAUCGUACCUUUAUAUUUCAUUACCCAAUGAUGUUAAGCUAACUAUUAUGAGGUAAGUAGUUACUGUCAACCCCUUAGCCACUUGACUCUACUAUGGAGGAAAAGACCUCAUAGGUAGGCCUUGCACCCAUGAGAGCCUAGGUGGAAAGCCUGGAGAUUUGGUGGUUCAAACUCCAGGGGCUAAGUGAGGAGGUCGCGGGCGAGCCAGACGCGUACCGCGAGCGGGUCAGAUGCGCAUCGCGAGCGCGCAUUGCGGGCGAGCCAGACAUGCACCACGUGCACACCAUAUGGGCAUCGCACGUGCACCAAACUUAGGUGGUGCAGAUGAAGGUUGAGGAACUUUUGAAAUUUUAAUUUAUAUUUAUUUAUUAUUCCAUUAUGUCUCCUCAGGCAUAUUGAUGUCUCCUCUAGAAACAAUGAAAAUGACCCGUAUUGCUCUUUAAGGGGGGAUAGGUGACUCAAAGGGGGGAGCACCAAGGGAAAGCCUUGACCGCACCAAGGGGCCACCAUGGCACGACCUUGGGCGUGCCUAGGACACAUGGACGGGACUCGAGCAUGCACACAUGGGCUCCACGACAUGUGUAGUAUGCACCCCGUGACCGCAACUGCACGGGGCCUGGUGCGGCCUACCUCCUCCGCGCGCAGGCACGAGGGCACCUAAACCUUGUGCGGUGAGCCAGUUGAGGAAACCAUGGGCACAAUGCCAUGGCUUGAUGAGGCACCAGACAACAACUAACUCACACCCAUGAUGCCUACGCACAGCACAGGGGCGUAAUGCCUUGUGAACCAAGAGGGAUCAGCCAUGAGCACAAUGCCAUGGCUCAUUGCUAUGGAGUUGGACCUGACAAUGGAAGUAAGCAACACGCCCAAGCCAUGGGCACCUAGACAUGGCAUGGGCUCACACAUCAGUGUGGGGAAGGCACACCGAUGCACUAGACACUUGGUCAGCUGGUUGGUGCACGUUGCCUGGUUCAGAAGGUCUUGAUCAAAGACACGCUGGUAGUCACCAAGUCACAAGAGGUACCUUGCGGGGAGGAAACAGCUUGCUAGGGGGACUCUCCAGCAGCUUGGUGAGAAAGGCUUGAGAAGAUGGCAAUACAGCUAGCUAGUGGCAGCUAGCUAGAACAGCAAGUGGCCAAGUCAAGUAGUCAACUACAAUUGACUUGCAAUUGGUUGAGGUGUUGAUGGUUGGUGCAAGUGGGUGGUUCACGAGCAGGCUAUUAUCUGGGUGGUGGGUGGUUAUGCAAGGUAGUUAUGGGCAGUUCUGGCCAGUUGCAUAACCACUAGGUUGGCUCCAACCUUUGAAUUUGGAAAAUUCAAAUAUGUAACUGCAGGCUGAGUCUUUUAAAAGGGUUCCUGCAUCCUUGAAACAGAGAGUCAGAGAUUGGGAUAGGGUUCUUCUCUUAAUGCUUGGGGUGUGAAGCAUUGUACUCUGACUCAGGGGACUAAUUUUAUCUUGUAGAGUGAAUUAAUACAAGUUGGGAAAGGUUUCCUGUAAAUCGUUGGUGUUCCUAUUACUGUGCUUUUACUUUGCUUUUACUCUGUUUUUCUAAAAGCUGGGAAGGAAGGUUGGCUAAGGAAGGGUCCUUAGCACCACACACUCGUGAAAAAUUUAGUGUGAUCUUCAGAGGUGUGACAAUUGGUAUCAGAGCUCACAUCAGAGAUGGUUGGUGGUAGUGCAAUGGACGCCCUGCGGGAAAUGAUGACUCGGAUGGAAGAAGGGUUGGGAGAAUGGCCACGUGAGGAUGACACUGUGGCUUCGUGGGCAGAACACACCGUGGGAGAAAUUCAAGUGCAAAGGAGUCUGUUGGAGACCCAUGACAAUUUCUUUGAGGAGAAACUUGCUGGGUUGAAAUCAGAGAUGCAGUCCCUAAUGGAUGACUUCAAGGGCGCCUUGCAGUCCUAUGGAGAGGACAUUGCAACCCUUAAGAAGGCUAUGUUGUAGGGGUCCUCGUCAGGUUCUGAAGCCCCUUCCAAAGUCUAGGUCCCAGAGCCUAAGGGCUUCAACGGUAACAUGAACGCGAAGGAGUUGGAGAACUUCUUGUGGGACAUGGAACAGUUCUUCAAAGUUGCUCACAUUCCUGAUGGCGAGAAGGUGUCCAUCACUAGUAUGUAUUUGACUGGUGAUGCCAAACUAUGGUGGCGAAACAGGAUGGAAGAUGAUGCAGAGUCUGGAAGGCCCUAAAUCACCACUUGGGAAACUCUGAAGAAAGAAUUGAAGGAUCAGUCUUUCCCACCAACACUGCUUGGGUGGCUAGGGAAACACUGAAAAGGCUCAGACACACCGAAUCUGUGAAGGACUACGUCAAGGAAUUCAGUUUCUUGAUGCUCGACAUAAAGAACAUGUCAUAGGAGGACAAAGUCUUCAAUUUCAUGUCUAGAUUGCAAGGGUGGGCUCAGAUGGAACCUAGGAGACAAGGGGUUCGUGAUCUCCCUGCUGCCAUGGCUAUAACAGAUUGUCUGGUAGACUACAAAAUGGGUGGCGCCAUCUCCACCAUGCAGAGACCCAAGUCAGAAGGCUAAGGCUGAGGGUAAGACUUCUAAGAAGUCUAGGUAGAAGAAACAGAACAAAAAGCCUACUACAGGGGGAAAACCAGUGGAAAAUACCAUAAAGUUUGUGCAACAGACCAUUUAGAUGGCAAGAUGCUUCAUCUGCAAUGGCCCUCAUCGAGCCAGAGACUGCUCUAAAAGAGAGAAACUCUCAACCCUUGUGACUGCAGACGACAAGUGAGAGUUUGACUUAGAGACCCCUCCUAGAGUCAACCCAUUGCAACUCCUGAACAGGAUUAAUGGUGAGACCCCAGUCCAAAAGUCCUUGAUGCAUGUCCAUGCAGUUGUAAAUGGUGUGCAGAUGAAGGCCUUGGUGGACAGUGGUGCCACUCACAACUUCGUGGCCACCAGAGAAGCAACCAGGUUGGGAUUGAAGUUGGAAAAGGAUACCAGUCAGAUCAAGGCAGUCAAUAGUAAAGCCCAGAAGAUCCAAGGUGUAGCCAAGAAUGUCCCCAUGCAAAUUGGUGACUGGAAGGGCACGUGCAACCUACUCUGUGUACCCUUAGAUGACUUUGACUUGAUCCUUGGUGUAGAUUUCCUCUUGAGGGUUAAGGUGGCCUUGAUCCCACAUCUUGGUCGACUGAUGGUGUUAGAAGAAAAGUAGCCUUGCUUCGUGAAGGCCUUAAGGGCAAAGGAUGGUGGCAAAGGUCAGCCUGAGAUGUUGUCUGCCAUCCAAUUGAAGAAGGGAUUGAAGAGGGGUCAGGAGACAUAUGUUACAGCCUUGAUCAAGAUCAAGGAGUGACAGUUUGUGGAAGUCCUUGAUUUAGUGGUCAAAAUCCUUAAGGAGUUCAGAGACGUGAUGUCUGCAGAACUUCCCAAGGAAUUGCCACCCCGACGGCCUAUUGACCACAAGAUUGAACUGCUGCCUGGAACAAAGGCCCCAGCUCAAGCCCCUUACAGGAUGUCUCCUACAGAGUUGUUGGAGUUACGUAAGCAAUUGAAGGAAUUGUUGGAUGCAGGCCUGAUCCAGCCCUCAAGGGCCCCAUAUGGUGCACCAGUGUUGUUCCAGAAUAAGCAUGAUGACUCUCUCUACAUGUAUGUGGAUUAUAGAGCUCUCAACAAGGUGACCAUCAAGAACAAGUACCCGAUCCCCUUGGCUGUUGAGCUGUUUGACAGACUGUCAAAAGCCUUUUACUUCACCAAGUGGACCUGAGAUCGGGCUACUGGCAAGUGCAAAUUGUAGAAAGAGAUGAGGGGAAGACCACCUGUGUAACUCGGUAUGGAUCAUACGAGUUUCUGGUAAUGCCCUUUGGACUGACUAAUGCCCCUACUACAUUCUGCAAUUUGAUGAAUGAUGUUUUGUUUGACUAUUUAGAUGCAUUUGUGGUAGUAUAUCUAGAUGAUAUUGUGGUUUACAAUAAAACCCUAACAGAACAUGAGAGACAUUUGAGAUUGGUGUUCCAGAGAUUGAGGGAGAAUAGGCUUUAUGUGAAGCCAGAGAAAUGUGAGUUUGCUCAGGAGGAGAUCACAUUUCUGGGACACAAGAUCAGUGCAGGCCUGAUCAGGAUGGAUAAAGGCAAGGUGCAAGCUAUUAUGGAGUGGCCAGUCCCUAGCAAAGUGACUGAGUUGCGGUCUUUCCUUAGCUUGGCCAAUUACUACAGAAGGUUCAUUAAGGGAUAUUCAAAGAGGGUGUCUCCCCUUACUGACCUAUUGAAGAAUGACAACCAAUGGGAUUGGAGCAUGCAGUGUCAGAUGGCUUUUGAAGGCUUGAAGGAAGCCAUCUCCACUGAGUCUGUGCUGUGGUUACCAGACUUGGACUUACCCUUUGAAGUCCAAAUAGAUGCCUCAGAUAGAGCUUUAGGUGGAGUCUUGGUGCAAGAAGGGCACCCUGUGGUGUUUGAAAGUAGGAAACUGAACAAUGCUGAGUAGAGGUACUCCACUCACGAGAAGGAGAUGACGACUGUGGUUCACUGCCUGCAAUAGUGGAGGCACUACUUAUUGGGAAGCAUUUUUACAGUGGUCACUGAUAAUGUGGCCAACACCUUCUUCAAAACUCAGAAGAAGCUGAGUCCCAGACAGGCACAAUGGCAGGAGUUCCUGGCCGACUUCAAAUUUGAAUGGCUGCAUCAACCAGGAAGACAUAACACUGUGGUUGAUGCCUUGAGUAGGAAAGAGGUGAUUGCCUACAUCAUGACCCUCUCAAAAGUCAUCUUUGACUUCAAUGAGAAAAUCAAGCAAGCUGUAGAGUAGAAUGCUGCAUAUAGUAGGCUGAAGCAAAAAGUUAAGGAGGGUGUGAUCAAGAGGUAUUGGCUAGAGGGAGACCUCCUUGUGGCAAAAGGAGGAAGAUGGUAUGUUCCUGCAGGCGGCCUAAGAAAGGAGUUAAUGCGGGAAACUCAUGAUGCGAAGUGGACAGGCCAUUUCGGUGAAGAGAGGACUCUGGCACUACUAGCUAGAUCCUACUACUGGCCUAAGAUGGGUGAGAAUGUUCAGGCAUGUGUGAAAUCCUGCCUGGUUUGUUAGAUGGACAAGACUGAGAGGAAGAAGGCUGUAGGGUUGCUGUAGCCCCUCCCCAUUCCAAAAAGACCUUGGGAGAGCAUUUCCAUGAAUUUUAUCACUGGAUUUCCGAAGGUUCGUGAUUUUAAGUCUAUCUUUGUUGUUGUAAAUAGAUUCUCUAAGUAUGUUGUGUUUAUACCUACCCCUGAUGCUUGCCCUGUGGAGGAAGCAGCUAAGUUGUUUUUCAGUAAUGUUGUCAAGCACUUUGGGUUGCCUAGGAACAUAGUCAUUGAUCGGGAUGCACGAUUCACAGGCCGAUUUUGGGUUGAGCUGUUCAAACUCUUGGGUUCAGAGUUGAAGUUUUCUACAACCAACCACUCUCAGACUGAUGGGAAGACCGAGAGGAUAAAUGCCUUGUUGGAAGAAUAUCUCAGGCAUUAUGUGAUAGCAACACAAAAGAAUUGGGUGGAUUUCUUAUAUAUUGCCCAGUUGUGCUAUAAUCUACAAAGGAGCUCAGCAACAAGGAUGAGUCCCUUUGAGCUGGCUAUUGGGGUGCAACCACGGAUGCCUUUGGAGGUGGCUAAGCAAAAAGCAGGAGAAAGUAGUCCUGCAGCUUACAAGAUGGUUUAGUUCCGACAGGAGAUGUUUGAUGAAGCCCGGGACAGUCUAGAGAAGGCAGCUAGACGAAUGAAGAAGUAUACGGAUUGUGAUCGUAGAUCCUUGGAAUUUCAGGUUAGGGACAAGGUCCUCCUGAAAUUGACUCCUCAGAUAUGGAAGAAAAUUAGCAGCAAGACAAGGUAGAGGGGUCUAAUUCCUAAGUAUGAUGGACCAUUCGAGGUGAUAAAACGGGUUGGGCAGGUGGCCUACAUGUUGACGUUGCCUGAGAGGCUCAAGCUUCACCCAACUUUCCAUGUUAGAUUUCUGAAGCCUUACCAUGAGGAUCUGGAUGCAGAGAUGGUGCAGACAAAGCGGGCCCCUCCCUUGGUCAUGAAGUAGUUUGAUCGAGAGAUAGAGAAGAUCUUGGAUCAUAGGACCAUGAGACAUAACAAAAAGAACCGGCGAACUGAUUUCUUGGUUCAGUGGAAAGGAACUUCAGAAGCAUAAGCUACUUGGGAGAGGGAUGUUACCUUGUGGCAAUUUGAGAUGGCGGUCUAGGCAUACUAGCAGACUAAGUCAACGAGGGCAUCGACUUCACAAGCGAGGGUAGGUUUGUCAGCUCCUUAGUCACUUGACUCUACCAUGGAGGAAAAGGCUUCAUGGGUAGGCCUUGCACCCAUGAGAGCCUAGGUAGAAAGCAAUGAAAGCCUGGAGAUUUGGUGGUUCAAACUCCAGGGGCUAAGUGAGGAGGCCGUGGGCGAGUCAAACGCGCACCACGAGCGGGCCAAACGUGCACCGUGCGCGCGCAUUGCGGGCGAGCCAGACAUGCACCGCGUACGCACCAGAUGGGCAUCGUGCGCGCAUUAGACUUAGGUGGUGUAGAUAAAGGCUGAGGGACUUUUGGAAUUUUAAUUUAUAUUUAUUUAUUAUUCCAUUAUGUCUCCUCAAACAUAUUGAUAUCUCUUCCAUAAACAAUGAAAACAGCCCGUAUUUGCCUUUAAGGGGGGGUAGGUGACUCAAAUGGGAGAGCACCAAGGGAAAGCCUUGAUCGCACCAAGGGGGCACCAUGGCACCAAGGUGACUCCUAGAGUCUUCAUAGGGAUGCCUUCUCGGGAAGUUAGGCUUACAUUAGUUGAAGAUACAUUUAGCAAAUUUAUAUGCUGGUGGAGUGGACAAGUUAUCAUAUGAGGGUUAGGUAGCAUUUAUUGAGAAUCAUUUGGAAGAUAUCUUUGAGUCCGCAGAUAAACCUCUGGAAGGAAGAUGUUGGUGAUUGUCUAUCGAGGAUCCUUUUCAAUGCUUGUCAAUGUGUAUUAAUCUAUCGGAUGCAUUAAGAAGCUCCCCUCCAAAGACUACCAUUUCACACAUGCCUGUCCACCAGGUACUUCAUUCUUAGCAUGGUCACAUUCAAACUGAGAAAUGUUUACCGAGUGAAAUCAAAUUAAUCCCACCUCCUCCCUAGUCCACCCAACCCCACAAUAAAAAAGAAAUCUCAAAACUAGCUUUUAUUGGAAUUGUGUUCUAUGCAUAGGCAUAUCAUUUGUUGCCCUGUGUAUUUUGUAUAAACUCCUCCAAGCAUAUAGCUCCUCUGCAUUUACACAUGGAAAAUGACAGUCACAUGAUUGUACAUAUCCUUCAGAGUACCCCAUUUGUUACUCCAUUAUUAGGAGCAAAAAUAAUGGAUUGACCACUUCUUUCAUAGCCCUGUCUUAUGUUUGUGCUAUCCUACUAUAGUACGCUUGAGAGGAUAACAGACAUUUCCCUGACUUUACUUUUGUUUUCAUAUUAAAUGCUUAGAUUCAGGUCAUUUGGUUAUCCAAAACUUAAUCUAUGAUUGUAUUGUUCCAUCUUUUUCAAGGAUGGCUCUUGCAAUGGCUUACAACACCAUGCUGCCCUUGGAAGGGACAAGGUAGUGGAAUUUUCUAUUUUUGGUUGAUUGUUGUGGAAUUCUGAUUAUGUGAUAUGGAAGCAUGGUUUUUGAUUAGUUAGACAGUUUUUCACUUUUUUUUUUGCUUUGAGGCUAAAUGUGUCUCAGCUUUGAUCUUCUCUCUUUUUGAUAGAAAAAAGGAACUUUGUUAAGGAAAUAUGGUAAAAGGAUAAGGAGUUGGAAAUUGAAACCCAAGAAAGAAACCAAACUUUGUUUGAGUUUAGUGCAGUUUAUUUAAUUUGAUUUUUCAAGUAAUUUCAAAGUUUGGUUGUUUCAAGAAAGGGGAUUAUCAUCUGUAUUUGGCGAGUUCAAAGGCUAGGGUAGCAAAUCUGUCUCUAAAGAGUGAAUUUUAGUUAGACCUUAGUAUUGGAGGAGAUAAAUUUUUAUUUAUUUAUUGAAGUUUCCUUGUUCUUUGGCAAUAGAACUUUGUAUUGGGGAUUAUUAUUUGAUUAUGCAGUUUGGAUACAUAUACAUAUUUGGAUUAUGCAAUAUUGGAAAUUCUAAUUUUGUUGCUUCAACUCCCUAUCAAAAAAAAUAAUUUUGUUGCUUCAACUAAAGUUUUAUAUAUGUAAUAGAAAAUAUAUACCGGAAAAAGUGGUACCUCUUCAAUUUUGAAAUGAGAAUUUUAAUUAAAAUAUUUGAAAAUAUAUAUAUUCAAGACUUCAGCUGUGGCGAAAUAUAAGUUGUGUCCACUUAAUCUAUGGCAGCGGAUAAGGAAAAGUGGCAUCCAUAUGAAGCCCUAUAAUUGCAGCUGACAAAAGGUCAUGUCUAUAAUACUAUGUAGUAUUAAAUUCUAUAGAUAUCACACCUUCAUAGCAGCAACUAUCAGCUCUCCCAACCACAUAUAGAGCUUUUAGUUGAGGAAAAAACAUGAGCACAGGGAUAGCUUCACAACUUCUUGUGUUUUUACUGGUGGCUUCAACUAUAGGAUUUAUUUGCAUUCCUAUGGCCUUCGCAGCUAUGAACUUAACUUCUUGUAGUGUGUAACACUCUCGCCUCGUGUAUGAUUGCAUGAACUUGCAACACAUGUGCUGCACAACUCUUUGUUAAUGGUUAUAAAAAAUAGUUUUAAUUUCUAUUUUUGAGAAUUGAAAAUAAGAAAAUCUUGUUUGACAAUAAGAAAAUAGUAAACAAUUUUUUUAUUUUUAAAAACAGAAAAGUUUUUGUUCUUAAAAAAAAUGUUUUAUGAGAACAUAUUUUAGUUGUUUUUAAUUGUUUUCUAGGAUUAUUUUAAAAAUAAUAAUAAUAAGAUUAAUAUGAAGAAUAAUUAAAAAUAAAAUGCUACAUACAAAACUUAUUUUUUUUGAAAAAUAUUUAAAUGUAAAAAAUAAGUUAAAAAUAUUUCAAAUUCUCAAACAAGCUUUAUUUUAUUUUUUUUAGAAUGGUUUUCAAAAUCAUUUUCUAACUAAUUUAAAGUAUACUUGAUAGUGAUUUUAUGAAGCGUUUUUUAAUUUUUUUUUAAUACUUGAAAGAUAAAAAAUUUUAAGUGUUAAAAAGAUUAGAAACCAUCCUAAAAUCACUACUAAAUAGACUCUAAUUCUCCAUUUUAGAGGCUUGUAAGGGCUUUUAUAAUUUGCUUACCAAUCAUGUUAGACAUGUGGUAACCAUGUUAUGAGAUUUUGGGUUAGCAUCGGCUAGUUUGUACUUGUAUGUACUUAAUUUUUGUUUUUAAAAAUAAAAAAUGAAACUAACGUCGAUAUAAAAUAUAAAAACUUUUAGAAACUUACGUUACUUCAAAUUUCAAAUUUUUUUAUAGUGAAUUUUAAAGAUAUAAGGUGAGUUUAUACUUUUGAUAUAAAAAUUUCUAUUUUUUAUAUAAAAAAAUAUUACUAUUUUUUGUUGUAAAAAAAAGUCAAUAUAUAAAUAAUGAAAGUUGAAAGAACAUUUUUAAUGCAUAGAUUAUCUCAAGGGUUCAAAUGUGGGCUAAGUCUAAAACUUAAUAUUAAAUCUUCUCUCAUUCAAAUAAUAGUAUUUAUAAAUAAUAGAAUAUCCUAAAUAAAUAUAGUUAUGGACAAAUAUUUCAAACAGGUUUCUCAAAUAUUAGUAUCAAAAGAAAAUUUCAUUAACCAUAACAAGCUCCCUGUUUCAAUCUAAAACAUGUAAAUAAACAUAAUUAAUUUUAAUUUAACAAGAUUUAGAUUUAUAUUAUGGACAAUAUAGUAAACCUAAAAGAUGAUCAUAAGUUUCUUAGUUCAUGACUUCAACUAAUAGAAAAAAUAUUUACAAGCUCAAUUUUGUUGGAAUUUUAUUCAAUUCAUUCUAGUUUGAGACUUUGUAUAUUUUCCUGUAACUUACCCUCCAUUAAAGAUACAAAAUUAUUUAGAGUUAACUAGAGAUCGGAUAGCACAAGUACAAAGAGUUAUGAAAAGAAUAAUAACUUUUAAUUGAAAAAGAUUUAGGAGAUCGAGUGCUCAAGCACUUGAAUCUAGCUUUCAUGGCUUAGAGCACUCAAGUAUUGCUAGGAAGUACCCAAUAGCAAGCAAUCAAGUGCACUUGCCUCGUGCUUGAGUACUCAAAAGUGGGGUUUCCAAAAAAUAAGUUUGCAUACAACACUCCUUGAGAAAAACAAUGAUCGCAUACAUGUAUAUGAUCCAUGGUUUAAGUAAAACAUUUCUUAUAUUUAUAAUAAAUUUAUUUUAGAAUGUUGUUAUUAUAUUUGUGAAACCAAGGUUUGGUUAAUCUUGAUUUUGAUGAUAACAAAACAAGGUUUAGAACUAAUGACUACAUUUUAAGUGUGAUUAGGCAAGAUGACUUCUAAAGUGGAAAUCCAAAGACAAAUCAAGUCAAGGAGAAAUCAUGAAGAAGAAGACCACCUCAAAGAGAAGAGUUUUUCAAGACCAAAGCUUCUUAAGUCUCUUUGUAAGGUUGUUGGUGCACUAGGAUUUCCAUGCAUUAUUUUCCUUACUUAUGCACCUAAAUCAUCCAAGAGUUAUUUUGUUUUAAAUAUUUUUAAAAUUGGAUGAUUUCAUGUUUUCAACUAAAACCUUGUGUUAAAUGUUGUUUCAAACUUGUUUAAAAGGUUAUAAAUUGGAAAAGUUGGUUGUUGAGCAAAAAACGGCUCAAUUGCCUAAAUCGGGUGAACCGUAUGAACAGUAACCGGUCGACCCCUAGCUCAACCGGUUGAGGGUAUGAACAGUAAUCGGUUGACCCAUGAACGGUACCCGGUCGACCGGUACAAAAUUUUCUCUCUCUUCCAGAAUGCUUGUUCAACCGGUUAAGGUUGAACCCUAACCGGUUGAGGUCCGGUCGAGGUCCGGUCGAGGCCUAACGGUCACCUGCCAACAUUAAAUGCUAACGGCUAGUCAACCAGUCGACCCAUAUCUCAACCGGUCGAACCUCCAACGGCUAGUUUAGCUUUUUUCUUCUAUAAAAAGGCUCCAAUCUUCAUUGUUUCAUGAGCUUAACCUUCCCAAAUCAUUCUUGAUUAUAUUUGAGCCUUGGAAGAGUGUUUUUGAGUGCACCAUUGUUUCAUAACUUGCAUAUCUUUAGUGCACCAUUCAAUCCUAGUUUUUCUUGUAUCAUUUGAGCUUAAAGCUAAUACUAGGAUUUUGUGAGAUCAAUCAUUUGUAAACCUUGAGAGGAAGUUUCAAGAAAGGGAUAUCUCUUGAGAAUUGUAAAGGGUGUUUGGAAGCCAAAAGUCCAAGAGGGUGAAUUGGAACCAUAAUCCAAUUGUAAAGAGAUUGAAACCUUGGUUGAAGCUUCAAGAUAGUGGAACCCUCACUCGGUUAGGAGGUUGAGGAGAGUGGACGUAGGCAAGGAAGUGUCGAACCACUAUAAACUCUCGUGUUUGCACUCUCUCUUCCCUAACUCUUUUAAUUUAUAUGCAAUUGUCUUUAUUUUGCUUAUCAUAUACUUGCAUAUAAAUUGUCUCUUAUUUUUACUUAGUUUAAAUUUGAAAAAGAGACCAUCACCCUAUUCACCCCCCCUCUAGGGUGACUACCAUAGGUUGGAUUAGCCUCAAAUUCCUAACAAUAUUAUACCAAUGUUGUUAGGUCAUAUUUUGUUGAAUCAAAUGAAGAGAAAAUAUAUUAUUUGACAAAUAUUUUACAAUUAGAGGCAAGGUUUGAAAUAUCAGUAAAUACAAAUAUAUUAGUACUUAGAUUUUACGGUUAUAUCGAAAAUAUUGAAUAAAUAUCGGUGAACAUUUUGACAAAAAUAUAGAUCUUGUUUUAAAAUUCAUGAAAAUACUUAAAAAAAACUUUCAAAAAAAUGAUAAAAUAAAGAAUAAUAUAUAUUAAAGUUAUUUUGUAUGCUUAAAUUCUUUUAAUAUAUUCGUAUUUAUUUAUUUUUAAAUUUUAAAAAUACUUUUAUUGAAAGAUGUUUUAUUACAUUUUAAAUAAAAAAUUAAAUUGAUUUAUAUAAAAUAUCCAAAACCAUUACCCGAUAAAGAUGUCUUUUGUGUGGGGAAGUAUUCGUUGCCAUCCAUGCAAAUCAAACCCACCUUUGAUCUUUAUUCACAAUUUCAUAUAUCAUAUAUAUGUCUACUAAACUUAUGUAUGUUUAUAGCUAUAUAUAUAUAUGGGUUUGUACAUGUGGAUGUGUGAAUGAAAAGUUGGAAAAUAGUCUCUAUUGUUCUUUAUCGAAAUGAUAGCUAGGGUUUCUAUUCGUCUCUCAUUCUCUGUAUUGUUUUGUUUCUCUUUCUUGGGGACUUACCUUUGUUUGUGAAUCGGAACCUAUGCUCAAUCAGCUUAAGAAUUACCCAGUAGUUUGUUUGAAUCAGGGGGAGUUUGGGUGGGAGAGUCUUAAGGUUUGUGAUUUGGGGGGUUUUGGUGUUGUGGGAGCUGAUUGGUGUCUGGGUUGGGAGGAAUCUAGGGUUUGUGAUAUGGGGUUUUGGUGUGGUUGAGGUGGGGAGGGAAAGAUUGAAUCUUGGGGAUUGUUUUUGUUGGUGGGGUUUGGAAGAUGGUGGAGAAUCGUGGAUCAGGUGUCGUCUGAUCGCCGCUUUUCUGGUGGCAAGCAACCAUCCGAUUGGAGGGGUGGGGGCUUUUGUAUGGAAACUCGGAGCCCCAAGUGGGCGGAGGCGUCCUCAACAGCCCGUUCUUCUGGACCCACUACCCGGUCAACCAAGCGAUCUCGUAUCUCCUUUUCUUCUUCAAUGAUCCCAAUUUCAUCGAACCCCAACGCCCAUGCUACAGUGAAAAAUUAAUUUUGAGGGGAGUGGAGCUACACUUUGACCGAAGCCAACGUUGACCGAUAGAAAUAUCGGUAAAUUUCCCAACAAAUCGGCAAAAACCGAUAUUUCGGCGACAAUUUCAGAAAAAGAGCAAAAUUCCUUCCAAUUGAUUAUCUGUCCUCAAUAUCGUAUCGAGCUUCACCGAUAACCGAAAUAUCGGAGAAAUUUCGUCGAUAAAAAAGACAUUUCAAUCACUGACUAGAGGUGAUGAACACUGAUGUUAGUAAUUAGGUUUGCCAUAUUUUUCAAUAAUGUACAAUUAGCUCAAUCACUUGAAGCUUAUACCAAAAAUAUAUUUGAAUCAAUAAUGGACAAAAAUUUCUGACUGGUACUUAGUGAUAAUCAACUACCAAAUUAUCAUAAACAUAGAAGUUGAAAGGAUAAUUUUAAGGCACAGAUGACUCUAAAAUAUCAAAACUAGGCUGAGGUGGUGUUUGUUUUUUUACUUAAUUCUAAAUAGAACCUUAAUACUUAAUAGUGUUAAAUAUUAGGUUGUUUGAUUUUGUAAUAUUUUAUUUCUAUUAAGUAUUAAAAAGUAAAGAAAAAUCAAUAUGUUAUUUUUUCCGUUUAGAAAAAACUAUAUAUUUUAGCUUUUUCUAUUUAGUAAAAAGUCUAUAAGUCAUGAAAAAGUAGAAAAACAAACAACCUAAAUUCUGAAAACAAAUUGCUUUCAGCAAAAAACAAACACCAUCUGAGUAUCCAACUUAAUAUUACAACUUUUCUUACUUAAAUGACAGUUUACAAAUAACAAACCUACCUAAAGAAAAAUAAUUGCUUGCCAACAUUUCAAAGAUAAGUUCUCAAACACUCGUGCCAAAGAAAUCUUCAUUACCACUAAGAAUUCAUCAUUGUAUUCAAUCUGAAACAAGUAAAUACACAUAAUUAGCUUCAAUUUAAGCAACAUUUAGAUUUUCAUCAUGGAAUAUAAAUAGCAUGUUCAUUAUAUAAUUAAUUAAUUAAUUAACAACAUAAUAUUAACAAACUUGGUUAUAGAGACUAUUUAAAUUCUUAUAGUUUUCAUACUUAUGGUAUUAACCAUACUCAAAUGAGUAUAUUUGUCAAUAAAUUUAGAGUUUCAACUAACGACCUAUAACAAUCUAUAACCUUAGCUGCUUGUUUGUAUAUUUUUUGGAAUUCAACCUUGGAAAAAAUUUCAUGUAUCUUAAUCUUUCCUAUGAAAAUCGCAUUCUAUAACUUCAAAGAGUUGAACCCAAUUAUAAACUUCCUCAAUCCUCUUUCUAAUGACUCAAACUAAGAAAUUGAUUACCCUAUGCAUUGUAUUUAGGAACUUAAUUGUAGUAAGGAAAGAGAAACAACUUAUAUUCAUAUGCAUGGUUGAAGGGUCUAAAAAUAUGCCCCUUACUAUAACAUGCUUUGAACAUUUAAAGCAAUAUACUUUUAGUAAAAUCUAAGUCCAACAAGACUACAAUUCAAUUUCUUUUGUAAAUUUAAAUCAUUAUUUCCAAUUCAAGAAUUUAAGAAAUCAUAUAAUAAAAUAUAAGUAUAAAAUGAUUAAUAGCUAACAAAUAUGUACCUAAACGGAGAUGACCUUACAUUACAUUGUAAUGAAAUUCAUCUUACCUUCUUUUUGUAUGAUGUUUGUUAUUUUGAAACCUUAUCACCCUCUGCAAAAGAGCUGAAUUCAUUGUGAUGAUAAUCAUAACACACCAAAAAUACAAUGAAAUUAAAAAACAAACAAGGAAGAAAAAAAGAAGGAAAAAGAAUGGGAAGUGAUGUAAGAUAUUUCACCUUUUUAGCCAUGAACUCCAUUUGCUUCCAUCUUCCUUUUCAGACAAGCCGCAUUCACUGCAGUGAAGACAUAUAGCCUAUCUCUGGUUUCAUCAAUGAACCGGAAAUAUGCCUGCCUCCAAGACUUCUUUAGAACCAAACUGCCACAUACAGCCCAAAAUCCCACCGGAAAGCCCAAUCCCAUGCUUAUGAAGAACCAUGACAUGUCCCAUUCAUCUUCAUCUUCCUCCUCAUCUUUGUGAUCUUGAUCAUUUAAAGUGGAGCAGUUGGUGGAGCAGUUGGUUGACAAUGGAGGCCCAUAAAGUCCCAGGUUCGCCUCAUAAAUGGAUGGAUCGUUGAAUGUCGAGAACUGGUUGGUUGUUGGAAUUGGUCCUGACAGGCGGUUAUGCGAUAGGUUCAAAUGGUUCAAUGAGGUUAUAGAAGACAUGCUCGGAGGAAUUGGGCCUGACAGGCAAUUGCAUGAGAGGUCAAGAGUUUCUAGCCCUUGCAUGGCUCCAAUCUUCUCAGGUAUCUUUCCAGUCAACUGGUUUCGGGACAAAUUCAAGGUACCCAGGGUCGAGAGAUUUGUGAUCUCUUUUGGGAUCUCUCCCCAAAUGUUAUUGCUAGAAAGAUCUAUCAACUUCACAAUUGGCAAUAUGCUAUCAAAUUCCAUAUUUUGUCCCUUUACAACUAGCUCCAUGCGCUCCGAAUAGGCGGCACGACCACUGGGGUCGUCAAAAUUUUUGUCUAAUAAGGUCACAAAACUUAAAGCAGUUAAAUUGCCUACGCAUUGUGGGAUGGAUCCUGAUAAAUUGUUCACUGCAAGAUCCAAAAUGUGGAGAUCAGAAAGCCAACACAAUUGCUCAGGAAUAUCUCCUGUCAACAUAUUGCCCCGUAGACGCAGCUGCUCCAGUGUUGGCAUUCUUUCUCCAAUCCAUUUGGGUAUCUCCAAUCCAGUGUAGACAAGCUUGUGCAGUUUUGUAAACUUGGAGCGAGUUCCCCAGUAAGAUUGUUGUCACCCAAUAUCAACUGAGUAAGUGAAGAUUUUGAACACAUCCAACUCGGAAUCCCACCAGACAGUUUGUUCUUGGAUAGAUCUAUGGUCCUAAGCCUGUGCAAAUCAUUCCAAUUCUUUGGAAUCUUUCCAGAUAAAUGAUUGUUUGAGAGAUCAAUUACUUCCAAAUCCUUCAGUUUACUAAUUGAUGAAGGAAUGCUGCCAUUUAACAAGUUACAAGAAACAUCAAGGAUUUCCAAGCUUGAUAAUUCCCCGAUGUUCAAGGGAAUUGGACCUGAAAAUGAAUUGUUUCCCAAAUACAAAGAUCCCACAUUAAGUCGAAGUGGGAGUGGGCCCCCCAAGCGGUUGAAACUUAAAUCCACCAAUGCGUCUUGGCUAAAGGAUGAUGAGUUGGGAAGCGUUCCAUACAAUUGGUUUCUAGAAAGAUCUAACCACGAAAAAUCUUGUUUCCAAAGCAACGCGGCUUCAUUUUUUAACUAAAGCCGCGAUUGGCAACCGCGGCUUUAGUUCAUUUUUAUUUAAAUUUAAAAUUUAAUUAAAAAAUUAUUAAAUUACAAUUUAUGAAUGAAAUUUAAAAAUAUACUUAAAUAAUAAAUUAUUUAUAUUUAAAUUUAAAAUUCUAGUAUUACUUCAACAAACAUAAAUUGAUAAAUAGAAGAUAUUAUAAAUGAAUAUUUUAUUUAUUAAUAAAUUAAUAAUCUUAAAAUAAUAAAUUUAUAUAAUAUAUAAAUAAUAUAUAAAAUUGUAUAAUUUAUUAAUUUAAGAUAUUUAAUUUGUUAAUUUUUAAGAUAUUAAUUUAUUUAUAUUAUGAUAAAUUUAUCUUUAUCGAAAUAAUAGUAUAGUAGUUAAUAACUGAGAUUUCAAUUAUAAUAUUUUUUUUACUUUCAAAUUUAAUUAAAAACUAUUGAAUUACAAUUUAUGAUUGAAAUUUUAAAAAUAUACUUAAAUAAAAAAUUAUUUAUAUUUAAACUUAAAAAUCUAGUAUUAUUUCAACAAACAUAAAUUGAUAAAUAGAAGAUAUUAUAAAUGAAUAUUUGAUUUAUUAAUAAAUUAAUAAUCUUAAAAUAAUAAAUUUAUAUAACAUAUAAAUAAUAUAUAAAAUUGUAUAAUUUAUUAAUUUAAGAUAUUUAAUUUGUUAAUUUUUAAGAUAUUAAUUUAUUUAUAUUAUGAUAAAUUUAUCUUUCUCGAAAUAAUAGUAUAGUAGUUAAUAACUGAGAUUUUAAUUAUAAUAUUUUUUUUACUUUCAAAUUUAAUUAAAAACUAUUAAAUGACAAUUUAUGAUUGAAAUUUUAAAAAUAUACUUAAAUAAAAAAUUAUUUAUAUUUAAACUUAAAAAUCUAGUAUUAUUUCAACAAACAUAAAUUGAUAAAUAAAAGAUAUUAUAAAUGAAUAUUUGAUUUAUUAAUAAAUUAAUAAUCUUAAAAUAAUAAAUUUAUAUAACAUAUAAAUAAUAUAUAAAAUUGUAUAAUUUAUUAAUUUAAGAUAUUUAAUUUGUUAAUUUUUAAGAUAUUAAUUUAUUUGUAUUAUGACAAAUUUAUCUUUAACAAAAUAAUAACAUACUCUUAAGCCGUAGUUGUCAUAUAUAGAUUUUUUUACAAAAUUAGUUAAUGAAAUUAAUUACAAAAAGUCUACUACAAAAUGUAAUUUUUAAUAGUUUAAUUAAAGUCACAAAAAAUAUCCACUAAACAUUAAUAUAGUGGAAAAUAAAAAACAUAUAUAAUCUCACAUGCCUCCACAAAGAGAGAACCUAUGUGUAAUACUCUCUUCCUUUUUGGACGCCCCUCUCUAACUGUAGCAGGUACUGCAUGUGACACAUGAAUAACAUCUGUCUGUGAUGGGGCUAGAGCUGGAAAUGGAGGUGGUGGUGGAGGUAGCAAUCUAGGUCGACGUAAGCCCCGCCUACCCCUCGGAAUGACUGGCGGUAAAUCUAGCUGAGUAGUCCGCCUAUUUGAUUAUAGAAAACCAUCCUAGUGUUGUCAAAUAUCAAGCAAUCAAUUACACACAAAAUGUAAUCACAGCAUUCAAAAGAUCACCAACCAAAUCACAAAUGAAAUUUAAUGUCAAUGAAAGUACGUAUUUUCAUCUUUUGAAUGGCUCAUAAUGAUCAUGAUGAUACAAUAAGUUUCUUGAUGAACUUAACACUAUCAAAGAGUUCUAAGCAGGAUGAAAAAUAAAUAAAAAGUGAAACCAUGACUAGUUAGCAACUUAGCUUACCUCAAGUGAAUCAAGAUGUUCCAAGGUUUCAAUAGUUAUAUUAUUAUCAUCCAUUAUUAAGUAUUUACUUUGACUUUUCCAAUCAAUAUAAAAAACAAACAAUAAAACAACUAUUCCAAUUCCAAAGUUUCAAAUUUCAAACCAACCAACUACCCUUUUGAUUUGAAUAAUUAACAAUUACUAGGGUGGGUCCCCUUUCUUAUUCAAAAGCCAACAAUUAUCUAAUUGAAUUUUUUUUUUUUGAUAAAUAAAGAGAAAUUUUUCUAAUUGAAAUUUGAUAAUUGAUUAAUGAACAUCAUGCAUAACUGUGGUAUUAUGUUGACUUGUUAUGAAAUUAAAUAAUAUUUUUUAACAAAAACAAGAUAUUAAGUAAAUUAGCAAUUGAAAAUAUGAAAAUAAAAAUAAAUAACACUAUAUUUUAUAAAAUUUAUUUAAAAGUGAAGUAUUUAAAUAUGAUAUAUUUAUAAAAAUGACUCUACUACACCUUCAAACUUUAAUUCUUAUAUUCAUUUAUUCAUUUAAAUAUUCAAAUAUAUAAAUAUUUUAUAAAUUUAGUAAUUUACUUAAUAUCAAUAGGAAAAUUUAGUAAUAUUAAUAUAAAUUUAGUAAAUUCAGUUAAUUCCCUAGGAAAAGUGAUAAGCUGAUGUACCAAUACCAAAGCAAGCCCAUAAUAAUAAUUCCACAGGAAAAUUUCAUAAUAAUAAUAUGAUAAAAUUAUUUUUAUUAAUAUCUUUUUUAUUUAAUCUUUAAUUUUAUUAAAAAUUAUAAUAUAUUCUAUUAAGAUGAGAUAAAAUUGUUCUCAUGAUUUGUUUUUUUUUUUUUUAACUCUAUUAAAUCUAAAAAUCAAAAGGCUACCCACUUCUCUCACUCGGGCAUGAAGAACCCCUUUUCUGAAGUUGCCCUCCAGCCGGGAGAAUCCCUAAAAAAGCCCUUCUCUCACUCUGCCACUCUCAAUCCUCGCAGGUACUAAUCUAAUCAUAUUAUUAUUAUUAUUAUUUGCAACCCCCCUUUGAUUCCCAAUAAAAUCCAUGCCCCAUUCGAUUUCCGCGAAAAUUCAUCCUCGUUUGAUUUCCGAGAAAAUCCAUGCAAAACCCCCAAGGAAAACCAAAAAAAUUGCUUUUCUUUUGCUCUCUGUGUUUUUUGGAUCCGUUUUAGGGGUCUCUUUGCUGUUGUGCCAUUGGAUUUAAAUUUCAAGAACCCUAAAUCAAAACUGAGAAACGGGAAAAAUCAAGAAUUUUUUUCUUUCUGUUUUCAUUCUCGUUUCCCACUUUUCUCAGCAUCCAACGGGAAAAAUAAAAAUACUAACAACACAUGAUAAAAAAAAGCUCAGAUCUAAAAAAAAUUAACACUAACCUCAACCUCCAACGUCUCCCUCAGUGGCCCACUGGUGGGGCUAGGAUUUUUAAGGAAAAAUGAGCACGGGCUAGGAAUAGAGAGUAGCUCGGAUGGAAGUUGUAGCUCCAACGUCUCCCUCAGUGGCCCAUUGAUGGGGCUAGGGUUUUUAAUGAAAAAACCACACGCAGAGCACAGGGGAAGAGAGCAACUCGGAUGGAAGUUUGGGAUUGGGAAAGAAAAAAUGCAGCUGAAGUUUGGGAAAGUAAAAAAUAAAAGGAAUAAAAAAUUACUUUGUAUGCGGACUCAAAAUGGUUAUUUUGAACAAUUGUUUGAAAAGUAGGUCAUUCUGAACAUUAUGUUUCAGCGGAAGGCUAUUUUGACCCAUUAUUCUUGGUUGAACCAUGUAGAUCUUAUGUCAAAGGAAAUUGGGCUGUCGGGAAGCCAUCUUCCUCUGUGUUGGUCACCGUGCCUAGAAGUGGAGAUAGUUGAGUCGAUUGUAUCGACCAUGGCCUAAAUGAAGCUGAUCCUACAGCGUGAACCAUUAGUUACAGGGAAGAGCAAUGGCAAAUGGAAAGCAGUACCGUCUUAAUCCACAUGCACAAGAACCAUGCAAGUGUGACCGUCCAUCAUUUCUAUACCAUUAUCUCACAACACCCCCCCCCCCCAUGCAUUUCAUCAUCAUCAUACCCAUGUAGCCUACCUACCAUCCCAUUUCGUUUUUCAUCUACCAUCUACUUCCUACUCGUUUAUCUCUCUACACCACAUAUCUAUGUACCCCAUCUAUCUUUUCAAACCUCUCUCCAAUCAUACCCUAUACCCGCUCUCUUUGCCUCAUUUCUCCUUCCCCAUCUGCAUGUCUAUAUUUCACACCCGUUUACUUUAUCACUCCAUCAUCACAUCUCCUAUACCCAUCGCUUGUAUACGUUCACAUCCAUCCCAUUUCACCAUAUCCAUCUACCCGUAAAUCCCAUUCCAUAAUAGCCAAUUUUCACUCCUUUAUUAUCCUUCAAUACCCACUGUUUGUCCCCCACCGACUUGAUUCCUAUGCUUACCCAGGAGCAUGCAACUACUUUUCUUCACAGCCACCACCAUUGCCAGGCUGCUCAGCAACUGUUGAACAACACUUUCAACGAGGAACUAUCCAGCUACCAGCGAAGCUUUCUCAGAAGCACCAUCAACUCUGGGAAAAUCAAUCAGCACAGAAUGUUUCAAUUGUGGACUGUUAUUAGUCAGUUGCAAUCAGAAUUGGCUGAUUAUAAGAGCCAUUUAUGGAAGUUAGAAGCAGAGGCGUCAUCUGCAAAAGUGACAAGGACAGAGUCUCACUCUCCCUUUCUUUCUCUAUCAAGAAAUCACGGGUUGAGAAGAGGUGAAGCAUGGGAUCAUUGGCGAAGAAGGGUUUGCAGCAGUACCUUUGACAACUUCAGUGUCACCCUUUGAGAACUAAGACCAUUAUAGCGGCUAUGUUGUCAGUUGUCAGUGACAUAGUUUCUCCAAAGCUAUCUGGUAUGCAGAAACUUCAACUGAAGCGUCUUCUUCUCAAAGUGCUUCUUGGAUCUGGUUAUCUUAGGCCCUUCGGACAUUUUCUGCAUACACUAUUGGAUAGGCUUUUUAAAGGGAAGAAAGAUUCAAAGACAGUGGCCAAGAAGGUGGUCCUCGAACAGUUGACUACUUCAACUUGGAACAACUUUGUAUUCAUGAUGGAGAAGUGGUUGGAGUUGUCAGUGAUUAAAAUAAAGGUGUUUUCAAUAAUAAGUGGGCUUGGCACGAAGCAGACAUGAAUAGGGUUGUUGAUGACCUGGUUGCUUUCUCUUCAUCCUACAGUACAAAUGGCUUGGCUUCGCCUAUUGCCGUUUCCUUUUGCUCUCCGUUUGAUACAUUGGAGGCAGACCACCAACCUUUUGGUUAUAUCAUACCAGGAAACGAAGGACCUGGUAAGGUGCUGCAUUCUUCUUCAGCAUCGGCAGAUACAUUGUCAGAGAAGAAAGUUUCUGGAUCUUUGGCAAAUUUACCUGUUAAUGUUGAAGGGAAAUCAGGAGAUCCACUUCCUUACUCCCUCUUGCCACCAAUUAUCAUUCCCAAUAUUAGCUAUAGUUUGAGAUGGUAAUGGUACCCCAUCACCCUCUUCAAUGAGCUCCACCAUCUUAAUUCAGAGGAAGGCAUGAUAGAGAUCUUGAAGGAGAAGGGGAAGGAAUUAUUGGUGCUGCGGGGACUGCUUGCCUUGGAGAUAAUUCUGUAGAGUGCUGUCAAUGGCGAUCUACACUGCGCUGUUAGUGGCUUUCUCAUCGCUAUUUCUGUAACAGCUGGAGUACAAAAGAGGUGGAGAAUGCUAGUAACCAUCAUGAAGCUUUCGAUACAUAUGGCUUUGAAGGAGACUCACCUUCGGGCUAUGCACAGAUGCAGUUGAUGAGCUAUUGGAAUGCAACUCUUGCUUUGCCAAUUGUACUAACUUGCUUGAAACAAAGUGGCGAGCGAGAGAACCACCCUGUUUUAUCAGCUGUCACUGUUUCUGCUGCUCAAAUAAUAAAUCCUUGUCUCCACAUUGAGGCUUUACAAAGUUAUGUGGGACCCUCAUGACAAUAGCUUCCAAAUCGAAAAUCCCAAGAUAUGAGGCACUAAUGCAACAAAAUGCUGCAAUAUCUGAGCGUGGUAAUGCUUUUCUGGAAUGCGACAAUGCUAUUGCUGCCCUUCGAUCUUUAGAAAGUGUCGUCUCAAUUCCACGUGGAACGAAAUGCAUGGAUCACCUCCCAAGUCACGCAGCUAAUGGAGGGGUGGAACUUGUAACUGACAGACAAGAGAAAACUCCUGCCAAAGCAGAAACUGCAGUCCUGUUUGAGGAUCUUCGAGAGCUCGGUAUUCUUAUCAGAAAGGGAGAACUCCAUGGAAACGUCUUCAGAAUAAAGCCACCUAUGUGUUUCUGCAAAGAUGAUGCUGAUUUCCUUGUUGAUGCUUUAGAUUGCAGCGUAUCAAAAUUGUGAGGAUCAAAUCUUCCAAGAGCUGGAGGUGAAGUCUUCACGCCCUUUGGCACCCUUACAUCCCUUCUUUAAUUUCGAAAAUAACUUUUUCUAAAUCCCUCUUUUCAAAUAAUUUUCUAAAUUUAAUUUGUUUUAAAAUAAUUUCAGACUCUUUUAUAUUUCCUCCUUAGCAUUAUUUUUAGGUUCCAAAAAUCCAUUUUUUUUAAUAAAAUUCUGCUACCAUUUUUCUUCAUGGCGAGCAAUUUUCACAUUUUCUCUAUUCUUAGAAGGUUUUGAGAUAAGCAAGGAUUCAAUUUUGUAAUUCCAAAAUAAUGGGGUUAUUGGAAUUAAUUCAUGCAAAAUAAAUGGGCUUUGGUGGGGGCCCCACAUAAGUGACUUUAUAAUUGAUUUAUGGAUUGAUUGAUUUAAUUGUCCCGCAUGAUUGAUUUUAUUCUACUCUAUAACAUGCUCGAAAUUAUUUCUUAAUUGUGCACUAACCUCGCUUUUUGAUAGCAUAUUAUGGCUCGUCGCCCAGGUACGUAUCUAUUACCCUUCUAGUCUUUCUAUAUGCAUGCUCUAACUCUCAUACGUGCAUCAUCGGUCUGGGUAUUCAUUGAUUUACGCAUCAAUUGCCACAUCAGCUUUAUUUUAUUAGUAGAGACCCGACUUUAGGGGCUUAAAAGGGUGUUACGAUCUUUACCGUACCUUCCCGAUAAGUAACCUGACCCCCGAGCCCGAUCCGGUUUCUCACAGACCACCUUUUCCUAAAUAAGGAGUCACAUUUAGGGUUUUUCUUUCUUAUUUUGUUUACCCUUUUAAAAAUAAAAUAAAAAUAAGUGGACUCCAAGUCAUUUUCUAAUAAAUAAUAAAUCAUUUUUUUUUAAUAAAAGUCGAGUUCGCCAUCGAGUGGGAAACACAUGAGCCGAAAUGCGGGGUCCACAGCAAUAUUUUUGUUUGGGUUACAAAAAAAAAUCAUAUUGAACACUAAAAAAAAUAUUUUUUAAAAAACCAUUCCAAUUAAAUAUUGUUUAUUUUAAAAUUUUAAUAAUAAUUUUUAUUUAAAAAAAUUGAGUUAUGAAUUUCACAUUAAAACAUUGAAUAUAAUAAAAUCAUUUUACAUAAUAUACUUUUGGUGAAAAAAAUAAUUUUAUAAUUUAUUAUUUAAAGAAAUUAUUUUGUUUUAAAAUAUAAGAAGAAUAUGAAAAACAAUUGAGUGUGAAAAAUAAAAGAAAUGAAAAGAAAAAAAAAACACAAAGUUUACGUGGGAUGGGAGGUUGAGUAGGUAGAGAUGAAAAGGAAUAUAAAAAUAAAAGAAAAAGAAUGUUAAAAUAUGGGGUGGGGGUUGGGAAAAUGAAAAGAAAAGAAAAGAAAAAUAAAAAAGGGGUGCGGGACGUGAGAUUGGGGAGGACAGAGAGGAGAGGAGAGAGGAGAGAGAGGAGGAAGAAAUAAGGAAAGGUAAUUUAGGAAUGCAAAAUGUCGUAUUAGUAAAAAUGGUGUUACGAAUAGCAAUUGAGAUUUUUAAAUAUAUAAAUUUUUAACUAAUUUUAAUUAUAUUUGAUUUUUAUUGAUAUUUUCGAUGAUAUAACAAUCCAUAACAUAAUCAUUUUUCCUAUUAUUAUUUUUUCUUUUCUUGGCACUUUCAAGGAAACAAAAAUAAACACCGAGUAAAAUUAUGAUUUUAAAGGUAGCUUAGUUAACAUUGUGUGUACUUUUUGUUGAACUCUUUUCGAAGUGGAAUUUUUGUUAUAAAUUUAUCUAAAUACCUAAAAAAUCUUGUAAGCAACAACAAUUAGGUUUCUGUUACAUCUCAUUUAACAAUUAUUGUAAAGCUAUAAUGACUAGAUUGGGUUAGAUAGUUCACAAUUUGAACCUUUGGUUUCAAAAUUUAAUCAAAGAAAAUUUAGUAACCAAAUGUUUAAAAUUUAGGAAUGAUGAUGGACAGGUUUUGAAACUAUUUCAAAUUUUGAUACAACUAUAAAUUUAGAAGAAAUGAAGACCUUUUAGCAUAUAGAAGAAGUUUCACCAAACUAAUAAUUAACAUAUAAAUAAGUAGGAUGAGUGUUUGAGACACUUCUCUUUUUGUUGGAUUCGGUUCUAGUCCGACUCAAGGUUAAUAUAUUUUUAAUUUCCACUUUGUUCAUUUAUGCAUUGAUUCAAAAAAAAUAUGUCAUGUACUAAUGUUAAUUCAAGAUAUUAAUUACCAAGUUUUUGAAACAUGAAGUCAUGGUCCAAAGAAAACGAUACAAUAUUUUAUUUUUUAUUUCUAUUCCUCCAUUCUUUUGCUUAACUCACACGAAAUUUGUUUUAGUCAAGCAUCAAGAUGUCACAAUCAAAAAGAAAAGAAAUUCAAAUGUUGUGUAUAUUUUCUCCAAAAAGCAUUUUAGACUCUUGUUAGAAUUUUCUCCUACGGAUGUUUUACUAACUUUAAUUAAUUGAAGAAAGCUACAUGAAAUUUCCUACUCCAUGUUAAAUAUUAUAGCCUAUAAAGGAAAAUAAAAUAUCAUAAAAAUCAUUUAAAAUUUUAUAUAUAUUCAAAUUUUUUAUUAUAUAUAUAAAGGGUUGGAAAAAUGUAUAACAGGUUAAUGUGGUAUUUAUUUUCGGUCUAAAAUUUGAGUAGAUCUAAGUUUGACUUAAAUCUACUUAUAUUAUUAAGUUUUUUAGGUUGUUUACUUUUUAUCAAUGUAUAAAUAUUGUUAAGUGUUAAAUUGCUUUCUUUUAUUAAUGUCUAAAGAGUUACACUUAUUUAUUUCUACAUGUUAAAAAUAUCUAUAAAAUUAAUUAUUAUAUUUUUUCUUAUUUUAAUUUUAAAAUUAACAAUUUAAGAGAUAUUAAUUUAAUAUAUUUAUAAAUAUAAAAAAAAUUUAUAAUUUAUUAUCAUAAUAAACAUUUUAUAAUGACUAAUAAUGCAAAGUGUAAAAAAAUAACAAUUAGAUAAUUAUUAGGAUUUCUAAUUAUGUUUGGUUGUUAAAAAAUUUCUAUGUUAAAACUUAUUUUUAUGUAACUAUCUUCAAAUUUAUGAAUAUUGUUGAGAUUAAUUUAUUAAUUUUUAUUUUUAAUUUGGAAAAAAUGUAAAAAUCUAAAUUUUAUUUUUUAAAUUAAUUGGAUUUUUCUAGUUAAUUACUAAAUGAAAGUAAAUUAGAAAUCUAAGUUCAAGGACAUUAGCCAACCAAACUGACUUUAAAUCUAACCAAUCCAAUCUUAUUACUUUUUAUUUUCAUUUAAAGAUGUUUGUUUCUAUUAAAAAAGAAAUGAUUACAUUGGUUCAGUGUUCAUGAACCAAUCGAAUCUAUCUAUUAUAUAUAUAUAUAUAUAAAAAAUGAUCACAUUGGUUCGGUAUUCAUUUCAAAACAAUGAAUCAAUAGAAACCGAUUCUAAUCGAACCUAUCUAUUAUAUAUUCGACUUAAAAGAUGCAAAAUUUGAAUUUUCAAAAUUUGAAGUUAUUUUUUGAAGAGACUUCAUAUUUUGCUUCUCAUAAUUUACUAUAAAUUUAUGAAAUUAUUUUUUAGUUGUCAUAUUUUUUAAAAAUAUUUUAUUUUUUCAAAGUAAAUUCACUAAAUAUUGUCUCACAUGUAUUUGUGGUUCACUAAACUUUUAAAAUCAAAUUAAUAAAUUUGUAAAAGAAAAAUAUUAUAUUUUCUCCAUUUUGUUCACUUGAUAAACAAAUCUACAAAAAUGUCAAGCGAAUGUUUGAAAUUUACCUCUUUUUUUUUUUUUUUUGUAAUCUUUGGUUGAUUGUGUUUUUAAAAGCAUUAUAAAUCCCAAGAAAGUAAUAUUUUUUUCUUUACCAUUAUAGUUCCCAUAGUGUUUAAACUUAUCUUUACCAUUUUUUUUCUUCUUGAUCUAACUACAAGCUUGACUGCACAAACUUGGUCAACAAUGAGAAUAAAAGAAUAAAAGUGAGGAGGGUGAUGAAGUUCUCCCUAUACUCUCCUCUCCCUUUUUAACUUUUAUAUCCCCCCUCAACAGUAUAGUUUUAAGGUAUGUACACUUUAAUCCUGAUGGACUAAAGGCCCAUAAUUCAUCUCAAUGGGUCAACUAAAAUAUUAUGAGCAAGGUGAAGCCAUGGGCCUCUGCACAAUACAUAAAUUGAUUAUGGCCCAAAACAAUACCCAUGCACAACCAAAUAUAGUUUACAAUAUACGUAGUCCACAAAAAACAUUUGACAUUAAUAGGUGAAUUUAGGUGAUUAUGCUAGUCCAAUAACAUAAUUUCAACAUAUGAUUACAUUUUACUCUCCCUUUAAUGUUAAAUGACCAAUCAUGAAACAACAAAAAGUUUUAUUUGAAAAUUUAUAUAUUUUUCAAACUCUUGAUUCCCCUUUAUAAAUAAUGUGGAUAAAGUUAGAGAAGUAAUGAAAAUAAUUAUUAAAAUUUACUAAUCUUUAAGAGAAGUAUAGAAAAUGGGAAAUUAAUAAAAAAAUUUAUUAAAAUUUGCUGAGGUUGAUAUUUUUUAGUUCCUUUAAUUUUUUUUACUUUAAUUUCCUUCAAUGUUAUCUUUCCUAGUAAUAUAAAUGAGGAUUUGGGGAGUAUAUAUGCUGUUAUAUGACCCAAAAAUUAUUGGUUAUAGAAUAGUAGAAAUUCCAUAAGAACAAAAUUCACAUACAUUUUAUCUCAAAGUUAAAAUAGUCUUACCAACUGUUAUGUAUCUAAUGGUGCAGUAGAUUUUGAGCUUGUCUAAAAAGCUCUCGCCUAUUGAUGCCCUUAUCAACUACUUGGCAAACCAAUUUGCCAAACUUGCAACACAAGAUGGUUGAGUGGUCAUCCAGCACAUCACCUAUGGUCAAGUCAAUGGAUAACAAGAAAAUGAAGUGUUGAGAGUAGAUGCAAAAAUAAAUAUGGGAAUAUGGGUGAGAGAAUAUGAUAGAUGAUCGAAGCUUAUUCUCUUUGCUAGAGCUUGUUCGGACCUUUAUAGUUCAUUACCCAAUUAUGUUAAGCUAACCUUACCAUGUUAAAAAAUUGGAAAAUAUUAAGGAAUUGAAUUGGUAACUAUUGACUUCCAUCUUGAUUGUUGACUUUGGCAAAAUUAAUUUAGAUUGUUGGACCAAGAUAUAAAGAAAUAAGGUCAAAGUAUAAAUGUAUGAAUAAAUAAAGGUACCAAGUGGUGACCAAGACACCGAUUGGUGAUGUCUUUUCAAUAUCUAUCGGAGAAAAAGUACCUUUCAGUAUUAUGGUAAGAUCCUAAAACCCUUCUGUAUGUCUAGUGAUUGUUCAUUUUCUGGGGCAUCGAAAAGAAUUGUUUCUCCAACUACAUUACUACCAUCAAUGACGAGGCCUAGAUCAACGACCAACUCUGAUUCUCUCUUUUCUUCUCCGAAAUACUCUUGUGUAUUUCAAAUUCGGAGCCGAAAUCUGGUCAAAGAGAAACAUAACCCGAAAUUCAACCCGGUUGGCCAGCCAUUGAUGAAAGGUCUCUAAAGAUUGUAGUCUUCUUCGCUUCACAGUGAUGAAAUGCAUAGCCGGGGACGGAAUCACCUACUAUCUGGUUCGGCUUUCAAAUCUCUAGUUUCGGUUCUCAUGCUAGCCAUGUUCGCCACCAUGGCAUCGAUUUAUGUCACCGGCCCGUGAGUUCUCACACUGUAUCGUAUUGUGAAAUGAUUUUCAUUUCUUAGCUGUAAUAGUGUUUAUAGUGUGGUUAAUUUCGUUAAUUUAGGUUUUUGUUUUGUGAUGCUUUGAUUUUGAUUAUAAUUGGUCUAUGUUUUUCAAAAGAAAAAUUGUUUUUAUGGAAAUCUGUUAUUGGUAGGCUGUGGUUGGAUUCUGAGAAUAAGGUUUAUUUGAUUAAAGAGCUUGAUAUUGUUAUUCAAUUGUAGCUUCAACUUUUCUUCCCCACAGUUUGUUAAUGCAUUUUUUGGGACUGUUUUGUUAUUGAGACUAAAUUAUAGUGAUACAAAGAGGGUCUUGACAUUGAAUGGAACCAGAAUCAGUCCAUCAUGGUAUAUGUUCUAUAGCAUUACAUUACAAUGCCAAAUAAACUGGUGAUGUGCAUAAGCUCUUGCCUUUUUCUUUCUUUUAUUGAAACAAUCAGAGUUGAUACCAGCCGAUUUUCAUUUUUUGAAAUUAAUCAUUCAUAGUAAAAGAGGUAAAUAUCUAUACUUACCAUUUUAAUAGUUUUCAAGUGGAAUCAGCCAAUGACACUGAAAAUUACAGAGUAAUUGGGGUUCUUUUUUUGGGGCUUUUGUUAUAAUAGACAAAAUAUAAUCUAGAGGUCAUGGUGAUGGUUCUUCAAUUUUAUAGGAACAGCAGAAGUUAGCAGCCUUUGAGAUGGAGUUACUUGCAGUACAACAGGAAGAUUUUGUCUCAAAGAACUUGUCAGAAAAGAAGGAACUCCUCCUAAGAAAAAACAUUUAGCUGUUGUAGGAAUUAUAACAAAGUUUGGCCACAAGAACAAUAGAGAUGCAAUCCAUAAGACAUGGAUACCAACUGGUAGAAUACCCUUCUUUUUGUAAGUUUCUCUCUUUACUCUUUCUAUGAUUUACAUAGAGAAUGACCCAGUUGGCACUUAACAAAUUGACAUUUCUGUUAUAAGCAUAUAAGGGAUAAAAACAGGAGGCUUGUAGGCUGAACUCUUGUUAACAUGAAAACUUUUAGGGAACUUCCAUUUGUCUUCUAUUCUUUUUUCAUUGUUUUGUUUAUUUUCUCAGUUUGCAAUAGUCAUCUUUCAAUAGUUUGCAAACUCCAUCAACCAAUUUGAAAAGCCUUAGAGCUAACAAGUGCAAAUUAUGAGAAGCUAAAAUCUUGUUUCUCUAGGAUUUUUCUAAAGUUGCUCAAUUGAAUGGAAAGCAGAAAACCAUCAAGAGGCCCUGCCCUUGCCCCUGCCCUGCACCCUCUAUACUCCUGUUUACAGAAAUUUGGAGUUUGUCUUUAUUGUAAUAAGGGAGACAAUAGUCUGCAUAAUAAUGGAACAAAAAGUAAUAUUGUGAUUCACUGCUUCAAAAAGUAAUUUUGACAUAACUUAUGUGCUAAACUGCACUAAAAUGCUUAGCACAAAAAGUAUGUUAUUCUUCAUUUGAGAGCAUUACAUUGAACAUCAUAUGUUAGCAUCACUUUUGCCAUAACUAAUCUUUCUUUCUUUCUUUCUUUCCCCUUAUCCAAGACAAUGCAUAUUGAGUGAUUGAUACGUAAGUUAAUAGCCUUAGCACCCACAUGGGGUGAAGUUUGAAUCCAAAAUUUCCCAAUAGUCUUAAUACGCUUCCUCGGGUGUGUUCGAACUUAAGACAUCAAUGUUAAACCACCACCUUACCCAAAACCUUUAAGUUGCUCGGUAAUAGGCCAACAAUGGGAUAUUAAGGCGACUAAUAGGUAGGCUAAUAGCCUGAGCAAUUCUCUUAUAAUGUUUAAUGGUUCAAAUGUUGACAAUUAAAACAUUUACAAAAGCAUGAUGACUUAUCCAUCGUUUUCAUACAGAUACUCUAGAAGCAGCUCUUGCUCUACCCAUUUGAAUAAGCCUUGAGUUUAUAUUGGGUGUAUGAAAUCAGGUGAAGUUUUCUCAAAGUUGUGAGUAUAAUCAAAGGGUUUUUUUUUUUUCUUUUCUCUAAUGAUGAGAAAACGAGUUCUUUAUGAUAUUCUAUUUUCACAUAUUGUAUUAUCUUUUCAUAUUGUCUUAAUUAUGUAGGAUCCACAAGUAGUAAGAACUAGACUGGUAGAAAUUUGGUGAUGGAAAAUCAUGAGUAAUUCUGUAUUGAUUUCAUCUUGUCUCUUAUAUUAAGAUAAGUAAUUAUUACUUUCUAGUUCUGUUAACUAGUCAGGAAGUCUCUUAGUAUCUCCGAAUUCAUCUGAUAGGUGAUAGAAGUCCCAAUGAAUAACUAGGGCAUUGUCCCAUAAGAGGCUUGCUUGAUAGAGAGUUAGAGCACCAUUUCUGAAGUUUUUUGGGCAUUUAAACAAUUUAUCAUUCCAUCAUAUUCUUGACAUCUGUUACACUUGAUUUGCCCACCCUAUGCACCCAUAUUUAAACCAUCUCAAACUCUGAUUUGUGUUGAGGUAUCCUGGAGUUUGCAGAGGGACGCCUUCUCGGGAAGUCAGGCUUACAUUGGCUGAAUAUACAUUUAGAAAAUUUAUAUGCUGGUCGACUGGACAAGUUAUCAUACGAGGGUUGGGUAGCAUUUAUUGAGAAUCAUUUAGAAGAUAUAUUUGAUUCCACAGACAGACCUCUGGAAGGAAGACGUUGGUGGUUGUCUGCUGAGGAUCCUUUCCAAUGCUUGGCUGCAUGUAUUAAUCUCUCAGAAGCAUUAAGAAGCUCCUCUCCAUAGACUACUAUUUCACACAUGCCUGUCCACCAGGUACUUCAUUCUCAUCAUGGUCACAUUCAAACUGAGAAAUGUUUACUACCGAGUGAAAUCAAAUUAAUCCCACCUCCCUCNNNNNNNNNNNNNNNNNNNNNNNNNNNNNNNNNNNNNNNNNNNNNNNNNNNNNNNNNNNNNNNNNNNNNNNNNNNNNNNNNNNNNNNNNNNNNNNNNNNNACUAGUUUUUAUUGGAAUUAUGUUUCUAAGCAUAGGCAUAUCAUUUGUUGCUUGUGUAUUUUGUAUAAAAUCCUCCAGGUAACUAUAUAGUUCUUCUGCAUUUACACAUGGAAAAUGACAGUCACAUGAUUGUUCAGACCCUUCAGAGUACCCCAUUUGUUGCGGAGCAGAAAUAAUGGAUCUACCACUUCUUUCAUAGCACUACCUUAUGUUUGCGCUAUCCUAUUGAAGUAGGCUUGAGAGGAUAACAGAUAUUUCCCUGACUUUACUUUUGUUUUCAUAUUAAAUGCUUAGAUUCAGGUCAUUUGUUUGUCCAAAACUUAAUCUGAGAUUGUAUUGUUCUAUCUUUUUCAAGGAUGGCUCGUGCAAUGGCUUACAACACUAUGCUGCCCUUGGAAGGGACAAGGUAGUGGAAUUUUCCGCUUUUGGUUGAUCGUUGUGGAGUUCUAAUUAUGUGAUAUGGAAGCAUGGUUUUUGAUUAGUUAGGCAUAGCUUUUCACUCUUUUUCUGCUUUGAGGCUAAAUUUGUCUCAACUUUGAUCUUCUCUCAUUUUGAUAGGAAAAAAAUGAACUUUGUUAAGGAAAGAUAGUACGAGGAUAAGGAACUAGAAAUUGAAACCCAAGAAAGAAACCAAACUUUGUUUGAGUUUGGUGCAGUUUAUUUAAUUUGAUUUUUUUAAGUCAUCUCAAACUUUGUUUAAUUUUGUUGCUUCAACUAAAGUUUUAUAUAUGUAAUAGAAAAUAUAUACCGGAAAAAGUGGUAGGACCUUUUCAAUUUUGAAAUGAGAAUUUUAAUUAAAAUAUUUGAAAAAAAAAUUUCAAGACUUCAACUGUGGCCAAACAUAAGUUGUGUCAAGAGAAUAAACCUAUGGCAGCAGGCAAGGAAAAGUGGCAUCCAUAUGAAGCCCUAUAGUUGCGGCUGACAAAAGGCCAUGUCUAUAAGUACUAUAUAGUAUUAAAUUAUGUAGAUAUCACACCUUUAUAGCAGCAACUAUCAGCUGUCCCAACCACAUAUGGAGCUUUUAGUUAAGGAAAAAACAUGACAACGGGGAUAGCUUCACAACUUCUACUUGUGUGGGGUGGCUGCAACUAUAGGAUUUAUCUGCAUCCCUAUGGCCUUCGCCGCUAUAAACUUACCUUCUUGUAGUGUGUAGCACUCUUGCCUCGUGUAUGAUUGCAACACAUGUACUGCACAACUCUUUGUUAAUGGUUGUUAAAAAUAGGUUUCUAUUUUUGAAAAUUGAAAAUAAGAAAAUCUUGUUUGACAAUAAGAAAAUAGAAACCAAUUUUUAAAAAAAUAGAAAAUAGGUUUUGUUCUUAAAAAAAAAAAAUGUUUUCAAUUGUUUUCUAGGGUUAUUUUUAAAAAAAUAAUAAGAUAAAUAUGAAGAAUAAUUAAAAAUAAAAUGCUACAUAUAAAACUUACUUUUUUGAAAAAUAUUUGAAAGCAAAAAAUACGUUAAAAGUAUUUCAAAUUUUCAAACAAACAUUUAUCAUAUAAAUCUCAUAGAAUUAUUUUCGAAAACUAUUUUCAAAAAAUAUUUUUUUUUAAUGAUUUUCAAAAUUAUUUUCAAACUAACUUAAAGUAUGUUUGACAGUGAUUUUAUGAAGUAUUUUUAAUCUUUUUAAUAUUUGAAAAAUAAAAAAUUAUAAGCGUUUCCUAAAAUCAUUACCUAAUAAACUCUAAUUCUCUUUACUAGAGGCUUAUACGGGUUUUUAUAUUUUGCCUCCUAACCAUGUUAGAUAGGUGGUAACCAUGUUAUAAGAUUUUGGGCUAGCAUUGGCUAGUCUACACUUGUAUGUACUUAAUUUUUGUUUUUAAACAUAGAAAAUGAAAGUAACUUGGAUAUAAAAUAUAAAAACUUUUAGAGACUUACAUUAUUUCAAAUUUCAAAAUUUUUUAUAGUGAUUUUUAAAGAUAUAAGGUGAGUUUAUACUUUUGGUAAAAAAAAUUUCUAUUUUUUUAUAUAAAAAUUAUUACUACUUUUUGUGAUAAAAAAAUGUAUAAAAAAAUGUCAAUAUACAAAUAAUAAAAGUUGAAAGAACAUUUUCAAUGCAUAGAUUAUCUUAAGGGUUCAAAUGUGGGCUAAGCCUAAAACUUAAUAUUAAAUCUUCUCUCAUUCAAAUAAUAGUCUUUAUAAAUACUAGAAUAUCCUAAAUAGUUAUGGACCAAUAUUUCAAACAAAUUUCUCAAACAUUAGUAUCAAAAGAAACUUUCAUUAACCAUGACGAGCUCCCUAUUUUAAUCUAAAACAUGUAAAUAAACAUAAUUAACUUCAAUCGAAGCAAGAUUUAGAUUUGUAUUAUGGAUAAUAUAAAUCUAAAUAUUUUCUUAAAAGAUGAUCAUAAGUUUCUUAGUCCAUGACUUCAAUUAAUAGAAAAAAUAUUUAUAAGCUCAAUUUUGUUGGAAGACUUUUUAUAUUUUCUGGUAACUUACACUCCAUUAAAGAUUCAAGAUUAUUUAGAGUUAACUACAGAUUGGAUAGCACAAGUAUAAAGUUAUGAAAAGAACAAUAACUUUUAAUUGAAAAAGAUUUUGGAGAUCUAGUGCUCAUGCACUUGAAUCUAGCUUUCAAGGCUUGGAACACUCAAGUAUUGCUUGAGAGUACCCAAUAGCAAGCACUCAAGUAGUGUACUUAUCUCAUACUUGAGCACUCAAAAGAGGGGUUUCCAAAAAAUAAGUUUGCAUACAACACUCAUUAAAAAAAAUGAUUAUAUAUAUAUAUAUAUAUAUAUAUAUAGGGAGAAUUGUGUUUUGGGCCCAGCUGGGCCCAAAAAUUAACAAAUGGUCCAUAUAUGUUACAGAAUUAAUAGAAAGGCUAUGAGAUAUUGAGUGACCUAUAUACCCUUCAAAUUUCCAAGUCAGAUUGCUGUAAAUUAAAAGGGAGAAUUGUGUUAAAUGUGAAAUGCCAUGUCACCUGACUACAAAAAGGGUCACCACCAUCCUACCCCUUUAUCUCUCUUCGUAAACACCAUGAUCAAAGAGGAUGGCCACUGUGAAUGUCCCCCAACCGAUUUCUUCGGCAGGCGAGGGUUGUGAGCAAGUCAAAAAUCAGAAAAGCCUUGCAUCUAUUUUAUCAUCAUCAUCAUUUCAAAAUCCAAAUGACAGUGGGUGUAAAUUAUUUUCUCUCACAUUUUGAUUUGAUCAUAUCCAUCUUGGGUCAUAGGAAUGAAGCAUGAGGUAAGUAAAUUGAAGAAACUUACAAUGAAUAUUUUCGAAAAGAUCUCCUAUUAAAUGGCAUUUCACCUGUUUGAAAAUUCUUCACUUUAUAAUCUGGUUGUUGGCUUUAUAGUGUAGGCAAUAAAUGGGUAUGGUGGAGACGGUGAGCUAUGGGGAUUAGUUAGCGUACUUAUGAUGAAUAGGAAAGUAAAUUGGGUUUCAUUUUCCCCCUUUUCAGUCAGCCAUGACAUUGGGAUGUGGUUAACCUGGCCAUAUGCACUCUUUAAGUUAUAGGUAGGUCAAAUUCCUGCAACUGUACAAGGCAUUUACACCAACUGUACAAGGCAUGUACACCAACUGUACAAGGGUGUGUAUCUUAAGGGAUUUCGAGUGAUUUUUAAGAACUUGCUCAUUUACUUUUUCCAAUCGUGGGGGACAUUCCUCACACUUAUUGGUUGACAACAUACUCAUUGCAUGCAUUUUAUUUGAUAUCUACCAUGUUAAUUCAUUGUUUUAUCUCCCCUACAUUACUUAUGCGUAUGAACGGAAAUGAGGGUUCAUUUUUUCCUCCUUUUCCCUCAUCCACGAGAAUGGAAACAUUGUUGCCCCACCCAUAUGCACUUGUUCGGUUGUCCCUUCGGUGGAUUGCAUAACUGUACAAGCCAUUUACACUAACUGUACAAUCCAAAUGUGUUAACUGUACAAGUGUGUUCAACCCUACCUAUAUUGAAGGAUUUCAACUUUUUUUGAAAACAAUCGUUGCUCAUUUCCUUCUUUUUUUUUACUAGAGGGACAUCCCUCAUAGUCAUUCCUCAUUUCCCUUUGUACACAUUCAAAUGCCUUGUGGUAGCCCACUUAUGUUGCAUAGGAACCUAAAUUGGGUUUCAUUUUCCCCCUUUUCACUCAGCCAUAUCUUUGGAAUGUGGUUAACCCGCCCAUAUGCACUCCUUUAGUUGUAUUUAUGUGGAAUUGCUCCAAGUGUACAAGGCCUUUACACCAAGUGUACAAGGCCAAUGUACUAAAUGUACAAGGGUGUGUAUCUUAAGGUAUUUCAAGUGAUUUUGAAUAACUUAGUCAUCAACAUUUUCCACUCGUUGUGAACAUUCCUCACACAUAUCGGUUGACAACACACUCCUUCCAUGUAUAUUAUUUUAUUUGUACAAUGUUAGUUCAUUGUUUUAGCUCCCCCACAUUACUUAGGCGUAGGAAUCGAAAUGAGGGUUAAGUUUUUCCUCCUUUUCCCUUAUCCAUGGUAAUGGAAACAUUGUUGCCCCACCCAUAUGCACUUGUUCGAUCGUCCAUUUGGUGGAUUGCAUAACUGUACAAGCCAUUUACACUAACUGUACAAUCCAAAAGUGCUAACUGUACAAGUGUGUACAACCCUACCUAUAUUGAAGGAUUUCAAUUUUUUUGAAAAAAAUUCAUUGCUCAUUUCCUUAUUUUUUUGCUAGGGGGGCAUCCCUCACAGUCAUUCCUCAUUUCCCUUUGUACACAUUCAAAUGCCUUGUGGUAGCACACUUAUGUUGCAUAGGAACCUAAAUUGGGUUUCAUUUUCCCCUUUUUCACUCAGCCAUUUCUUUGGAAUGUGGUUAACCCGCCCAUAUGCACUCCUUCAGUUGUAUUUAAGUGGAAUUGCUCCAACUGUACAAGGCCUUUACACCAAGUGUACAAUGGCAAUGUACUAAAUGUACAAGAGUGUAUAAGGGUGUGUAUCUUAAGGUAUUUCAAGUGAUUUUGAAGAACUUAGUCAUCAAUAUUUUCCACUCGUCGUGAACAUUCCUCACACAUAUCGGUUGACAACACACUCCUUCCAUGUAUAUUAUUUUAUUUGUACAAUGUUAGUUCAUUGUUUUAGCUCCCCCACAUUACUUAGGCGUAGGAACCGAAAUGAGGGUUAAGUUUUUCCUCCUUUUCCCUUAUCCACGAUAAUGGAAACAUUGUUGUCCCACCCAUAUGCACUUGUUCGGUUGUCCCUUUGGUGGAUUGCAUAACUGUACAAGCCAUUUACACUAACUGUACAAUCCAAAAGUGCUAAUUGUACAAGUGUGUACAACCCUACCUACAUUGAAGGAUUUCAACUUUUUUUGAAAAAAAUUCAUUGAUGGUGGUGUUUACUUAUUGUUGGUUAGUGUUAUGACAAACAAUUUCUGUCUCCCUCUAUUCGCCUUGUUAUCUUGGGUAACAACACAUAAUUUCAAUAGACCAGUUUGUUGCCUUUAUGAAAAACUCUCAUUUGAUGUUGAUGUGAGGACAAAUAUCUUUGAGGUAUUUAAUUCAACAGCUUCAUGCAAAAUCAGAUAGUUAAUUCACAUUCUAUGGCUUUAGAGGUUUAUUUUCUCUUAAUUUUCAUCCUUCCAAUAUUCUUAAAUUAUGAGUAUGUUCACUUCUUUUGUUUGUAAGACGGAUUUAUGACUCUGCAUCAAUGGAAAAUUAUGUGCACAAUAUGGAGUGACGGAUAAUAGGAGAACUUAAACGAUUACAUGAGGGUGUCGAAUUGCACCUUUUCCUUUUCGUUUUUAGAUGAAGCAAAUAAAUGAUCUUUUAUCCUUGAACUAAUUGUUUUUCCCUUUAUGUGUGCAGGUGGGUUGAUUCUUGAAGUGGGAACUUUGUCACGAUUAAUACAAAUAAUUCAAAAUAAGAGGCUUAACAUCAGAUGAAAGAUGAGAAGAGAAAAACAGAGAAGUCUAGAUGAUCAAGAUAGUUUAUUUUAUAGGAAGCCAAUCUAUGUUAAGAGUUGGAUAAUAAGAUACCAACCUUCUUUUAAGUUUUUACAUUGUAACUAUUUUCAUUAAAUAGUAUCAUAUACGUUUCGGGACAUGUAAUUAUGCAUUUCAUUCCAAUUAAAAUUCCAAUGUAUUGAACUUAAAUUUUGGUUAUUUCGCAGUUUAUCAGCACAUGUUUCUUGUUUUUAAAUUUUGUUUUUCCUCCGUUUAUAUUGGUUGUUGGACAAAUAAUGACUCAUUCUCAUUUCAUGUCGUUCUCCAAGUUUGCUGAAGAAUUUCUUUACUUGAUAAUUUUAUUAAGUCAUUAAAUACAUUAAUCAUGUUUGUUAAGAUAAUUUCAUAGCCCAUAUUUUUAAUAUUAAAUUCAUUUCAUUAAUUAUUUACUAUUUAUAUCUCUAUAUCAUUUUAUAUGUACACCUUCAUAUUUAUUACAUAAUUUUUAUAGUCAAUAUUGUGUAGUACUAUAUGUUUGCAAAACUUUAAUUAUGAAUAUGUAAUAAAACAGUUACUAAUUAAAGAGUAAUAAAGAUAAAUGUCAAACUCAUUUACUUUUUCUAAAAGGGACAUUCCUCAUUUCCCUUCGUACACAUUCAUUGGAUGAGAUAGCGCGCUUAUGAUGAAUAGGAACCUCGAUUUGGUGUCAUUUUUCCCCAACUCGGUGAGCCAUGACAUUGGAACGUGGUUAACCCAGCCAUAUGCACUAGUUAUGUUGUAUCUAGGUUGAAUUUCUGCAACUGUACAAGGCAUUUACACUAAGUGUACAAGGCCAAUGUACUAAAAGUACAAGGGUGUACAAGGGUGUCUAUCUUACUUUUUCCAAACGUGGGGAACAAUCCUCACACAUGCUGCUUGAUAACACACGCAUUGCAUGCAAUUUAAUUGAUGUCUACCAUGUUCAUUCAUCCUAUUAGCUUCCCUAGUAAUGAUGAAUAUGAACCGAAAUUAGGGUAAACUUUUGUGUCAUUUUCCCUAGUCCAUGGUAAUGGAAACAUUGGUUACCUACCCAUAUUCACUUGAAAAUAUGUACCUAUUAGGGAUUUGGUGACUGGACAAGGCAUUUACACUAAGUGUACAAAGCAAAUGUGCUAACUAUACAAGUGUAUACAGGGGUGCCUAUCUUGAAGGAUUUGAAAUGCUUUUGAAAAAAUUGCUUGCUCGUUUAUUUUUUCUAAGAAGGACAUUCCUCAUUUCCCUUCGUACACAUUCAUUGGAUGAGAUAGCGCGUUUAUGAUGAAUAGGAACCUCGAUUUGGUGUCAUUUUUCCCCAACUUGGUGAGCCAUGACAUUGGAACGUGGUUAACAUAGCCAUAUGCACUAGUUAUGUUGUAUCUAGGUUGAAUUUCUGCAACUGUACAAGGCAUUUACACUAAGUGUACAAGGCCAAUGUACUAAAAGUACAAGGGUGUACAAGGGUGUCUAUCUUACUUUUUCCAAACAUGAGGAACAACAACAGCCAACAUACGAACCCAGAGGACUAUACAAAAUUCAUUGUGCUGAAACUUAUGGAAGAACUCACAAAACAUCAUUAUGGGGUUGAGCUGCUUUAGUUCAGGAAUCCCAGCAAGAGAGACAUCUUGCUUUGUAUGAAAAACACGUCCUUCAAUAAUUGUAACAGUUGUAAAUUAUGAAUUAUAGAGGUAACCUGCCUGUAAUCUAAUGAGAAUUGACUUGAUAGAUUAGCUUUUUAACCAAGUACUUAGUGAUGAAAAUGUGUUUUGUGCUUGAACGGUGUCAUUCCCAUUAGUCCAAAAUUUUGGGAUGAUGAUCGCCAUUUUUCGAUGUGUUGAAUGAUUACUUUUAAGGUGUGGAGCUACUGCAUUCUGAGAAUGGUUAAUAAUAAUUUUUAAAAUCAUACAUAAUAACUUCCAAAAUAAAGACUAAUAAUUUUCAAGUGAUUGUGGAUUAUUCUUGAGUUUCCCUUUUCUCUUGUCUGAACUUGCUAGUUCCCAAUACUAAAGUAGGAGUCCAUUGAUAAUUUAAACACAAAUAUUGACUAUAAGUCUCUGAAAAACCUUAUUACUAUAAUCAAUCAAGCCAAUAUCCACCCAACUAACCCAAGGGCAAAGUGGGUUCUUAUUACCAAGCCAUGAGCAAUUUUGCCCACAAAAAAAACCUAGGACAAAAAAGGGAAAAAGCCACACGAAAAAAUGUUUUAUAUAUAUAUAUGAAAAAAAAAAAGAUCUCAAACCACAUGGCAUCCACAUGAUUGAGAAACACCAAUUUAGAAUUUAUUUUGAUAGGGGAUUUACUUUAUAGAAUAUUUUUUUAAAACAAGUUAUUUUUGUUCAAAACCCCCAUGAACAUGCAGUCUGAUGAUGUACAAGGCAUAAGAGUAGAGAAAUGAAAGGAAUGGAUAUUCAUGGCAUAUUUUCUAGUGCAAUUUUCUAAAAGAAUAAUGGCGUAUUUUCUUAUGACUGUAGACAGUUGAUGGAUGAGAUCAAUUAGUCAUAAUUCUACCCUUAUUGCAAGAUCAUUCUUCGCCGAGAUCCUUUUGCUUUCCCUUCGGGGCUUUGGAUUCCUGAAUUGUAAUCCUUUUCCUUCUCCCUUCCAAUUAAGGAAUGCAAGCACGCAACCUGGUUUCACCCACACAUCUUGCCCUCUUAUAUAAAGCCACCACCGAAGGCCUUAUGAACUAAACAGAGAUAUCCAGUUUAAUUUAAGAACUUUGUCAAAUGAAGAAAGUAAUUGCUCUGGCAGAAAUAUCAACUGAUUUAAUUUCUGACAGUCGUACAUCAACCUCCAUAGCAUUACAUCUACUAAAAGGGUUCCUAUUCUAGUUUCACAUGUAGAAUUGCAUUUAUAAUUCAUACACUACAUUCCAACUUCAACCAAACAAAAGCUAAAACAAAAGGCCUAAGCUAGAGCCAUUUGCAUUUCAGCACCCAGAUUGCCUAAGCCUGCAUUGAGGCUGUGUACACCCAAGGUUGCCAGGAUUGAUGAUGAGCCCCUGAUGAAGCCAAGGUUUCCAUCUUCACCAUUGGAACAACCAACAGCAAGUGAUCAGAUAUUCAAUGGCAAAUCGGGUGGGCACGACACUACCAACAGGCACUGCAUGACUUGUGGGCACGUCGUGUGACACUGGCAACAUGUGAUGGCAUGCUCAUGUGCUUCAAUUAAGUUACGGGCUCCGACACUCUGAAACUUUCCCUAAGUCGCUAGAGGCUUUAGACGAAUUUUUCAAGUGAUAUAACUUUCCCUUCGAAACUUUCACCGACUUCUAUUGAACAGCAGAAGCUAAAACGGGCACAUGAAAAUAUUUUGUAUAACACAAAAAAAAAAUACCUUGCGCUUCCAAUAAGUAUAUCCAAACAAGACUUAUGUCACGCAAAUUGUGCGACAUGCAGGAAAAGCUAGAGAGGUAGAUGUCUAAGGUGAAGAGAAGUGAUGAAAAUGUACAACAAACAUGAAGGAUGGUUUAAUUCAAGUCAAUCAGAACCCAGUUGACCCAACUAAGGAAGAGUAUGAUGCAUUCUCAUCACUGGCUGUUGGCCUCUUCUCACCAUCCCUGUUUGAUGCUCCAUUCCCAAUUUUGGGAAGCAGCCCUGUUUCUAGACCAGCCAUAUCAUGCAACUCUAAUCGUCGCUGUUUUGCUUCUUCUAUAUCACCUUCCCAGCAAGUUUCGGAAAUAAUUUCAAGCGCUUUCUCCAUCUUAUCCUCUGUCACAAGCUCUCCAUUUUGCAGGAGGACAAGGUAAAUUUGUUCAGCAGAAGCCUUCCGGAUCUAAGGGAGAUAGCAAAAAACCAAUCCAUCAGCAAAGGACGAUUUAUUAUAUAAUUGAGAGGCAAAAUUUUUAAGGUUUAAAAUUCAGUAAAAGUGAUAAUAUUUUGUGUGCACCACAUACCUUGGGAUAUCUAUGGCCCAGGAAAGUGAGAAGAUGAGAAAAGGCUCAGGUGUUGACGGAUUCUGGAACGGAAGCAAUAUACCCAAGUAUUGCAAUGCCAGCAUAUAACUUGGAGAAAUCCUUUGUCGCUUUCAAUUCCACUGCCAGAGAAUCCAAAACACCAGCAUAGAAGAUUGGAGUAUGGCCCUGGAAAUUGAGAUAUCUUAAAAAUGUGUUGACACCAAAGAAUUAAAACUACUGACAUAUAAUUCCAUAAAGGAAUCAGGAUCAUGCAAAAACCAAUAUUAGCUUAAUCUUUCUGAUUACAAGAAUUUAGUCGGAUAGAAAAUUUUAUUAACAAUUCCAGAAUUGCAUGAAGGGUUCAUUGUUGUCCUGGAACAUCUAACUGUCCUGUCAUUUUCACCUUGUUUCUAUUUUUUGGUCUUGGUAUGGAUUGAAGUAGAACAGAAAAUAAACUAACCAAGUCCAGGGAAUGCAUUCAACCAACAUGGGAAGUCAAAACAAAUAUAAAGUUCUCUUGAAUGAAAUGAUAAAUUUUCCACUAACAUUGCCUGACAAGGGACACCAUUUAUCUGGCAUGCUUUCACAUCUCAAGAAAUUGAGACUUCUGAAUUCAAUAUUCUAGGGAAUCAUGAAUUUAUGAACCAGUCUAUAUGUCAGCACAAAAACUGAGCUGAUAAGAUCUAGAAAAGAAAAAAUAAUGCAAGUGAUCAAAAAACUACUUUGAUUAAAUUAGUAAUUCUUUUGCAUCAGUAAGCCAGAUUUCAAUUUAAUGGCUUGAAAGGUCAGGAUUGUCUGUGUAUUAUAGAAAAAUGCAUAGAAUUGGAGAAACUCUUCUGGUUGGAUGAAAUGAUAGAUCCUAUUACAAAAAAAAUUAAAUUUUAAUAUUUUAAUAAAUGCCUCUACAAUAACCAUUCUUUCAUACAAUUAACAAUGAUGUACCAAUAGAAUCAAACAGAAAUCUUCAAAUUGAUAGCAAUGAACAAAAAAUUGAAUGGGAAAAAAAUUGAAACAUUCUAUCAUCUGUGAAUUAGCAUAGCAAUAAAAGGAGAGUGUCAACUAACCUCCAUGUUCAAUAAUAUCUUUUUGCUGAAAAGAAUCUCAAUGGUCUGAAAUACAGAGGUAAUUUCAUUAAAAAUAAUUCAUCUGAAAGAAGAUAGGGCCUAAAUCUGAGAAAAAAAUAUCUAUAGAAGAGUGGAAGUAGAGGUGUAAACAUGCAAAAGGAAUCAUGGAAACCCAUAUAAAUGCACAAUAUGCAACAGCAAAGUAUAGGCUAUUGAAAUGCAAAAGAUGCAAUAAAUACGAAAACAGAGAGAAUCUAAAAGCUGAAGAUAUAUCUUUCAAAAGCACAUGGGAAGGGCAUGUUUUUGUCUAGGGAUGAACCAUUGCAGAGUCUAGGACCACAAGAUAUAGCAUUCCACUUGGUUGAAUUUCUCAUCAAUCACAUUUUUCUUUCAUCAGUUUCAAUUCUCAAUUUUCGUUAAGAAAUCUAAAUAGUGGAGAAUGGCAACCCUGUACAAGAAACAGCAUAGUGGUGAUUAAAAAGUGCCUUUUGCAUUAGGUGAAAUAUGGAAGUAACCUAUGCCCCAAUGGGUAAGGAGAGAACAACGCAUAGACCCAACCAUGGCUAGAAUAUGGAUGUCUAGAGAUGAGCAUUAAUAUAUUCUUAAGGCUUCGUUUAAAGCAUUAUGAUUUGUAACAGAAGUUCCUUUGUGGUGAUGGGUAAUAGAUUCAAAACCAACAAACUCACUGGCAGAGUAACAUUGAUAAGCAUUGGAAAUAUGUCUAACUGCAAAAUCGAACCCAUAGUGCUAGUUGUUCCAAAUGAAAACACAAACUACUAAAAACAUAAGCUGUGAAAGCAAGAUAUAGCAAGAAAGUGAACUAUAAACAGUCCCCACCAGAAUGCCAGCAAAAUGAUCCUAAAAAUGUAGGUAUAUACUGACUUUAUUUCUGGUUAAUUUUAAUAUGAUAAUGUAUUGGUCUAGUUACUAUAAUGGUAUAGUGGGGGUUCAGUAGAUCUGGGUUCUAUCAGUGCAUGCAUGCACAAAACAACAGAACAGACUUACUUCCAGGGAUCAUCCCCAACAAGAAGUACAUCAUUCUCAUAAUCCACAUACACCAUUUUCCAACUUGAGCCUUUCUCGUCGUUGAGCACAUCUUCAACUCCAAGCAUGCAUUCAAUUGCCUAGCAUAAUUCUUCAUAAUUCUUAAAACUUGCAACAUCAAUUGACCUCCCAACUGAUCCCAUUUUUUGAACCUGCCAUAGCAAAAAAUGCCAUCAAAACCAGAACUCCCUGUUUUCUAAGAAAAAAAUCCACCAAAAAAGAAUGUAAAACAGUUCGUUGGCAAACAUAGAAACGUCAAUGUGUAGCGAAAUGGAGUUUGCAGUGACAUUAUGGUAGUAACAAUAUGUUAAAACUAAACUGGGCACACACUGGAUCAAGGAGGCAUGUAGGAGUGUUGUUGACUUGUUUCAAUAUACUUCAGGUGGUAAUGAUGGGCAUGCCUCAAUCUUUUUGAUGAAAAAGAGACAAUGUAGUCAUUUAAAGAUAUACAAAUUGUUAGUUAAAAAAAAUUUGUAUCAGCAGAAAUAAUACAUGGUACUGUAAAACAUACCACAAGGUGAGUCUACCACAAACCAGUACGCAUGUGGCACACAUAUAGAGACCAGGAAUCAAUAAUAAGUUAAUGUCUAUAUGGAAAUGAGCUCUCAAAUACUACUCUAUCAUGAGACAUUGCAUCUAUGAAUUUACUUGACACAUUGUUCUUAACACAAAUUUUUAUGUUUUAAACAAAAAACAAAAUUUGCCGAUGCUAAAUAUACUGAUCACUUCCAAUCAGGCAAGAAAAUAUUCAACCUCAGAUACUAAGUCACACCAAAGCUUAUGGGGAUCCCAAUCCAUUUAUAUGGAGCCAGGAUUGUGGCUCUACAAUGAUUGGCCAAUGGUUAUUUAGCUGAUGAUUCCUAUACAAUAUCCUAAAUUAAAAAGACCUACAGGAGAAACAAAUUAGAACAAGUGAUCUAGAGUUAUUCAGUAUUGGGGCAGAUUUAGUCCAGCGCCACCCAGAAACCAUGCUUGCACUUUUAACCGACAAAAUAAUUUAUUACAGGACAAAAUAAGGAGAGUUGAUUUCUAUAGUAGGAUUGAUAAGUUACCUUCUCAUUUACCAAUUCAGUGAUGACAGAUGCACAUUGCUGCAAUGACUUAAUCCUUGUCAUGCAGUGAGUUGAUGGUUGCUCUAAAGCAUCUCCUAUAUCCAUGGAUCCUUGUGAAGUCCCAGAAGAUGCCGAGCUAUGACUUUCCAAGCUUCCAGUAUAACAUGUGUUAGUGAUUCCUGCACCAGCAAUUGGCAUUGGUGCACUUGAUUUGGUCUUCAUAUUUACAGAUGUUAGAGGGGCACUCCCUGAUUUGCAUUGUGAAUGACUUGGCUUGGAAGCAAUAGCUGAGGAAGAUGAUACAUCCAUUGGGGGUCCAGAUACAAAAACAUAAUCUUGAUCAACCAACUCCUCCAAUGAAUCCACAACUGUGGAAUCCAUACAAAUAAGAUAAUAAAAAAGAACAUAAAUUUUAGCAACACGUUUUUUUUUAUAAUAGAAUAUUAAAAUGAGCAAUGAAAUAUUAUUGAAAACAUUGGUACCUCUUGAACAACUUCUCAUUGGUCUUUGUUCCAUGGAUUUUAGAGGUUCUUUGACAUUCUCAUUUGAAGGCCUAAGAUUGUCAAUCCUAAAGCCAGUAAUUUCUGGUUUAUGUGAUGUACUGUUGUAUUUAAAAGCAGGAUCCGUGUUGUUCGAAGUGUUAAAUAUUGUUUCCCUUAUAUCAACUUUGUUAUCAAGAGAAAAUCCAUAGGUAGACUUCAUUGAGGACCUCUUCCUCAAAAAUGAUGGGCUCCCUUCAGCACCACUAGAAUCAUCAUCUAGAGGAAAAGACAUACAAUCCUCUUGAGAACUUGCCUCUGUUUUUCUCACAGGAUUGCAUUCAGAAAAAGGAAACCCAUCAUUUAUUCUUGAUGAUCUCCUACUAUUGCAUGCCACGAAGGAUUUUAACAUGAGUAAAUAAUGAAAAUAUCAUAUGCCAAGAUCGAGAAGAGUAAAAAAAAUUUUCUCCUUUACCUUAACGCUUCAUCUGGUUGCUUUUGAGAAAGGAAUAGGUGGUUAAACAACUCUUCAAAUGUUAGUCGUUCCACUGCAUAUACAAGGACAUAGAAGGGUCAAAGAGCUAUUCAACCUCAAUAAGCCUUUAGUUUUAGAACUACAGUGAUUUCUUUUUGGCACAAUCAGAUAUCAUAUAUGUUUCACUUUUGUAUCAUCUUUAGUUGUUUUAGGCUUUUCACUUGGUGCCAUUAAGAAUUCCUAGCAACAAACAGGUUUCCCCAAUAAAACACACACACACACACACACACACACACAUAUAUAUAUAUAUAUAAAUGCUGCCAGUUUCGAGCUAAAUUCUGUGAAAUACCUGGAUUGCGGCGCAGCAAUUUCUGACACAAAUCUUUGCAGUUAGCACUCAAAGCAUUAUUAUCAGGAGGGAAAUGCAAUUCACUAUAUUUAACAAUGUUUUGGAGCAACUGCUCAAGAAACAAGACAAAAGGUUAAUCAAGGAAAAGUUAAGGGCACAAAGAAAGACAAAUUAAACAUAGCUACAGAAUUAUUACUACUUAAAUUAAACACAAAAAGAAUCAAUAAUUAAACCAAGUUGAAAACCCAACCACUACAAAUGAUUAUUUCAGAUGUGCUAAAAAAAAUAAAAAGAAAAAAAAAACCUGUAUAUGAUUGUUUCUUGUAAACGGUGUUCUUCCAGUCACAAGUUGAAAGAUAAUGGCACAAACACUCCAGAGAUCUGCCUGCGUAUUUGGUUGAAGUUAAUAGGAGAAGGUUAUGCGAGAAAAUGGAUGGAUUCUUACAGAUGGAGAAAGUAAAUAUCACCUUUGCGUCAUAUUUCUGAAGUUGCAUUAUCUCUGGCGCCAUGUACAAUGGUGAACCACACAAUGUUUCUGCAAGACCUCUAGGUUGUAGAGAUCUGCCAAAAAAGAAUCGGAACAUAUAAACUUAUUGAAAGGACCUUAACUAUAUAACCCAUUUAGCUGUACUAGAAACUAGAAACGUUAAACAAAAGGAUUUUUAAAAUGAAAGAGAACAGGUUUCAUUUCAAUGAAUAUUUACACCCUUUGAAAUCAGCAAUCUUCAAUACUGAAUUGUUGUCAUUUGUGGAGAGAAGAAGAUUUUGUUCCAAGUAAUACAUAUGCCAAAUGGAAUUAGAUCUUAUGCAAUGCCUCUUUUGCACAGGAUGUACAACAUAAAGAAUACCCAUCACUAAAAUUCCCAUCGUAUUUGCAGAGGAUAUAAAUUUUGAUGGGCAUGCCCUAUAGAAAAUUUAAAAUCAUGACAAAGUCAAACACAAAACAAGAGCCAAUAUAUAUAUUUAUAACUUUUUUAUUAAAAAGAAAAAGUAGACAAGAAAAAAAGCAUGCCUGGGAUUGUAGAAAAUGGUAAAUGGGCUUCGGUUAGCCGCAGCAUGAGAUGUAGCUGCAAGAACUCCAAUAUGCAGGCUAUCAGUGGACAGAACUGAUGAUGGCAAUGAUGUUUGUUGACGGUUUGCACGCCUCACACCAAACAAUAGCUGUGAUUUCUCUUCUCUUGUGAUGACAAUGAAUACAAGAUAAUGAGGUUAGCUAAAAUAUAUUUUUUAGAAUGCAAUAUAUUAUUAAACAAGCAUUAAACAUGUGCCUAUGAAAUAGACUUGAGUGAUUGUCCAAUAUGGAUACAUCAUACAAGGGUCAAAACUUUCAGAUGUCCUAAGAGUUUCUUUCGACAGUUUCAAGGAUGACAAACCACAUUAGAAACUUUCCCAAUAUUGGCACAGGUUGUCACCAAUCUCAUACACAAGAUGUUAAAAACAGAAUAAGGGAAAAAGAAAAAGAAAACCUAAUUAUUGCGUGCCUACAUAAUCAGAACAUCAAACUUGAAUUCUGGUUUCAUAAAAACUUGGAUGCAUAAUAAUCAGUCAACUAAAAUGAAGCCAUUAUUUGACGUCUACCUAGACCACAUCUAUGUGGAACCUAAUCAUACUUAAGCUAGAAAUAACUUUUUAUGAAAAUUUCCAAUGAAUGUUAUAUAGUACCUAGUUUAUGAUCAUCUUCAAACUUAAGCAUGGCGUGUCAUGAUUAUCAAGAAAUAAAGGUUCCCUCACCAUCAGCAAUUUGCUAUCAUUCAAGUUUAAAUACACUUAUGUUAUUAUUCACAGCCAAAUAUCAAUGAUUGGGGUCAAGAAAGGGGAAUAUCUCAUCAUGAUUAACAAAAAUAUUUACCUCGAUGUUGCCUACAUCCCACAUUGGUUGCCUGCAGCUAUUUUGAUCAUCUAACAUAUUUCCAGCCUGCUUGUUACAAUGAAAAGGUGAUAACUCACUGGUUUUUGUUCUCUAUCUUUCAGAACUGUUGGAAAAUGAAUGUUGAAUGUCCUCUGGUUUUCCUUUUUCCUUGCCAGAGCUGCCUUCAAAGUACCAAUCUGAAAUAAUAGUUCAAAGUUUUCAGAAUAAUAAAUAAGAAUUGAGAAGAAUGAUAAAUAAUGAGAGCAUUCAGAACCUGUUCUUUCAGCUCUUUCACAUCUGCACUAUCCUUGUUUACACGAGCAGCAUCAAGUUCUACAGUGGCAAAUCGCUCUGCAAAUUUAACUGUGCUAAUUGUUUCUCCAUCAGCAUCCGGUUCAGGGCUAAUGUGAACAAACAUUAGUGUCUUGGCUUGCCCCCCUAAAGAGAAUUACAAUCCAAAAGCCAUAUUAUAAUUUAAAAAAUAAAAUUAAAGAAAACAGAAUCAAAUAUGAGGUUCAUACUCUGAAAAUGCAUUAGUUUAUUCUUACCAAGUGAGUCUUGAAGAAGUUUUGUUACUUAACUAUUCCUGUAAGGGACAUGUGGACUCUUCUGGGCAAGGGCAGAGAUGACAUCCCCUAAAACAGAGAGAGAUCUGUUAAUAUGCUGUGCCUCCUUUAGUCUAUCUCCAUUGACCUCAAAUUUGUCUACUCUCUCACUGUCGGCCUGAUCAACAAGAUGCAUACAGCCACGAAGAAUAGUUCCUGACAUCAAGUCUCUUCCUGAUUCAUUCUAAUAAUAUUUAAUUCUCUCUAUUUACUUAUUAUGCAAUCACAAUCAACUUAAGUUAAAAAACAAUCAAACUCUGACUAAUCCCAUAAUCCCAGUGUUCAUUUCCGCAUAUGACACCAAAAAAAAAUUUAAAGAACUACAUUUGUCCACCAUAAAUUACAUACAAAUGUUAGCACUUUAUACAGUUUUAUCACAAAUUACAAUCCCCUUUAAUCUCUCCGGACAUGGUCUCGGUGUGCAUUUUGUGCUGAAAGCAACAUACUCCCCAUAAUCUUCAACCUGUAAUGUUUCAAUUUCCCCUGCAUUCAUUCAAGUUGAUAGCAACAAAUCAGCAAAUUAAUUAAUUAGGCUUUUCUAACUAUUUUAACAUUAAUGAGAUAGUCAUAGAUAAUUCCUCCUACGUACCACAUCGAUUGAUUUGGAGAACCCCCCCAUUGACCACAAUUCCAUGAAUUUCAUUACAAAAACUCCGCAAUCGUGCCUACGUCAAUAUAAUUACCAAAACGUUAUUAAGUGUGGAAUUAUAAAUAAGAGAUGAACUUAAAAUAAGUUGCAAUCCUAUACAAUAUCCCGGACUGCAAGGUCAACACUCACUCAUUAGGUUGGAGGGGUACAUCAGGUGUUAUGAAAUUCAAUGUCCUCAAAUCAUAAGGUGAUACCUCUUUUUUGUGGGCAGCCAACCACAAGACAACCUUGGCCUGAAACAUUUAUUAACGCAACAAUUGAAAUUUUUAUGGGAAGACAUACCUAACAAAUUAUUAGUUGUUGCUUGUUACUUUACCAGAUUUUGUUGAACUCCACUCAACAUUGUCUUCUUCCUACCAGGACGAGAAUCUAGCAGUUGGAUUCUCUUGUUUGCUAGGUCAUAUACGUACAAUGUCCAAUGGUUCUUUAUGAGAACCGGUAAGAAGACCUGCACCAAUAGACUGCCAUUAAACAUACAUCUAAAUAUUGUACCUUCAUGCAAUAAAAAUACAAAUCCAAGCAUUAAACAUAGGAAUCCACCUCGUUAACAUUGACAUAUGGAAUAUCCAUCUGAUACAGAUGUGGUUCAAAGUGUCCUAUAACUACCUCCCUCACUAAGUGUUUUGCUUGGGAGUGGAUUAUCAUUUCCUGCAUGUCAAAUAGGGGAUAAUAUCAGGUUUGUCAUUGUAGGUGAUGCUUGGUUCAAGACAAAAAAUAAAGUUAAGCAAGGAUUUAAUGGAAUAGUAAUCAUUACAGCUAUGUAGGGGGAUAGAAACAGUUUCGACUUCGAUUCAUGUUCAUACUGCAACAAUCUACAGUAGGCAUCGACGACCUGAUUUCAUAUAUCAUAAAAGUGUAAGCAACUAAUUAUAUUAGAACCACACUUUCAUUUUCAAACUUAAAAUAAUGCAUAAAGAGGGAUAAGAAGUGAUAUGCACGUCGCUUCCUAUCCACCCAUUCCCUUCGAAGCAGCCCAAAUUACCUCUGGUUAGGAUAGUGUCAUGCAUAGACACUAGUUCCUCAUUGUUACAAACACAUACAAUUUAGUUUUUAUGUUUUCACGAUCAUACAAUGAGAGGAGUGUCAUUGAAGUAUGUUACCUAGCAUCCAAAUCCUCUCCAAAUACCAGUGCAACUGCUUGUUUUAGGUCGAUUUUGAUGGCAGAUUGUUUGGUUUGUGGUUGGGAUAUGUAUGGGGACAACAGGUUUGGAGCCAUUCGACACACUCGACGUUUUCGGACGUUCCUAUUUGUGGGGACAACAUUACCUUCUGGUUGUUCUUCACCAUCUGCAAUACGAGAUUUAGAACUAGUCAGCAAAGGUAUACAUUAUGAUUGGGUACUUGGGUUGUUAACCAUAUGGGUGUUUGCAUAAAUUUUAUCACUUACUGCUUACUACAUUAAUGGGUACACUGGACUGCAACUCAUACUCAGGGGCGACAACGCGAUCUGGUGUGUCUAGCACAUGGUUUGCAGCAUGCGAAGCCAUGUACUCAUCACCAAGAAAUGCAUGGUCAUUGGUUGUGGGAGUGUUGGCUGGUGCAUAGCUAGAGUGACCACCCACAUCUGAAUUUACCCCACUAUGUCUUCGAGUCCCUAACUUAUGCAUAAGGCCACACAUUAUUCUCAGCUGCUGCUGAAUGCCCCGUUGAUAUUGGUCAAUUGCUCGUUCUGCAUCAUGAUAUUGAUGCCAUAUUUCCUAUGACAUGAUAUUGAUGUCAAUUUUUGAGAACAAAAUGUGACAACAACAUAUUUCUUUGUAGUUAAGAAGUAAAAAUAAAUUACAAUGACAAUGAAAUGAACAUUUAUUAAGUUUUUAAAAAAUUAACAACUUACAUCACUAUUUUCAGCAUCAACAUUUGUGUCAUGGUCCACAUUAGUCUCUGGCUCCAUAGUUCUCUCUACGGUUGGAGAUCUCUAGGACGCCUAUAAUUAGCACUGAAGAUUAGUACUUAAAUAAUGAGUGUUAUGCUGGUAAUGACAAUAUAUUUAUGCAUGCAUCACUUACAAAAUCAAUCUCAGCAUGUCCGAAUGCUCCAAACUCCUUUAUCUCAGCGACUAGUCAUCGCUUAAUCAAAUCAUCGGUCCAUGCCAAUGCUGGGGGCACUGUAAUGGGGACUUGGACUGAAGGAAUUUGGAAUUUAAUGACAUAAUGCAGCUGCAUAAUAAAUACAAACAUCAGUAGGCAAAUGUGACUAUGUUGUGCAAUAAAAUUAUAUAACAAAAUGGAAGACAAAGAUUGAAUAAGUUCACUACCUGUAGAAAUAAAACGCAGCCAUGUACCCAAGAGGUGUUAGACUGUUGGUAUUGCCUAAUUCCCUCAAUUAGUUGGUCAAGCACAAACUGGGCCCAAUUAACGUCAUUUCGGAAUCCAUCCUCAUGGAUGGUAUGCCACAAGUUACGGCAACCAUUGAGCCUAGAUGUGGGGGCCAACAAUGUGGCACAUGCGUAGUAAAUGAAUGCUUUACGGAACUCCUCGCCUAUAGGUAAGUUCAGGAGUUUCUCCUCGCAUGCCCGAAUAGUCCCAAAUGGAUGCUCUGAUGAUGUAGAGGUCACCUGCAAAAUCCGCCCUUCUGUUGGGAGGCCGAAAAUGAGGCCAACAUCGGUGGCUGUAACAGGAUAGUGUUUCUGGGCUGAGAACUCUAUCCGUCUAAAUCCAACAUUGAAAUGUUGGAUUAGAAAGAUACAAAUGUUGUGGCGCACCUCUAUGCAGUCUAAGUUUAAGAGACCUCCAAAUUGGAGGUCUCUUAUGGCUUGUAUUUUUUCCUCUGGUAACCGGUUGUAGAGUUUCUUAAAUCUUGCAGCUGAGCAUCGUGUAAACAUUGAUGUGCCCUGCAUGCAAUGUUUGACAACAUGGACAUGUUAGGAAUAGCGACAUUUUUGCAAUUGGUAAUGCAAAAAAUAAGUGAAAAAGUAAAGCUGUCAUUUCUCAAAGUUACAAAGACUUGUCUGCUUGUAUUUAGAAAUAAUAUACAACAGGGUAAGACAUUAGAUGGGGUUGGGUGCUACUGACAGUGAGAUAUCCUGUAAGAAGGAGGAUUGUAAAUUUAUGAAUAAGCCUAUAUAGAAUAGACAAUAACAGUAAAAAUGUACAGAAUAGACUAUAAAAGUACAAAACUAAAUAUGAGAAUACUACAUGAUAUAUAAAAGAAAGAAAUCAAAUCAAUUUAUGGAAAUAAAUUGACUAAUUCUAUUAGAGAAAGAAACCAUCAAAAAAUCAAUGAAUAAUCCUAUUUAAUUCUCAUUUAGAUUGUAAGACAACUUGAUAGAACAAAAAUCCUUGGUAAUGAAUUUGUGAUCUUCAACAACAACUAACAAAUGGAGUGAACAGAAAAUGCUAUGGAAAAGCAGAUUUCUUUCAUUGCCUUAACAUGCUUACAAUAAAAUGCUUGAGAAAGUGGAAAUAAAAGCUCACAAACUGAAAGGCCUUGUAUUCGUAUUCCCUCGCACACACUGGGUUUUGUGUCAGGAAUCAUCUUUACAAUAAUUCUAUUCCCCCAAGUGUUUUCCACUAUAUUGAACAACAUGGUGGCUACUAAGGGUCUUGCAUUCAUGGAUGUGAGCAAGAGAAAAAACUCAAAGAGAUCUCUUUGUUUUCCCUGUUCUUUUCAUUCUUCUGGCUAUUUAAAAGGGGUUUAACCUGCUCCUUUUGAUACUUCUGACAUACACAAAAUCUAGAGGAACUGCUAGAGCAAGCACUAUUAUGUGGUGAAGCAUUACACUAGGUAAGGAAGUUCAUUUUGACUUAAAACUUUUAUAGGUUUUAUAAAAUAUGGUUUGAGGUGACACAACCGAACAUACUUUUAGUAUAUCCAUUAGCAUUAAUCCCAUCCCCAUCACCAUUCCUACCACAACACCUCUCUUUAUCCUUUCCUCUACCCUCCUCCCUCCUCCUAGAGGACAUGGUUUUUGCCUAUCCCCACAGCUAUAUAGCGAAGACCAUUAGAUCCCUAAAGCAUAAUUUUAUAUGGCGUUAGUGAUUCGUGCCCAGUCGGUGUAUCAACUGAUUCGUGUCCAGCUGGUAUCCUUGAUUGCGGGAGUAAUCAACAAAAUUUAUAACCUAUUACACCAUGAACUAGGGUAGCAAAGACAAAGCUACUAAAGCAUAGUGGCUUUAGGAUCGUUCAUUGGGAUGGGUUUUCACUUCACAAUUGAUAUUAAUUCAAAGCUGAAUUGGUGUCUUUUCAUUUCAAGGUUAGCUUUAAAAGAAAACAUAAAGAUGUUUGAAUGAAAAAGGUUUGGUUUUAAACUAACCAAAAAUUAGUAACUGAUUUUACUUACAAGGAAAAGUGUUUCUUGGAGUUUAGAUCACUAGGAUCAGAUUCCUUGAACAAAAAGGGAGUUCCGGUCACUUGUUUAUUUUCCUCGCAUUGGGGAUUUAACAUAUAGUUAUUUCCCAAAUCGGUAUUGUACAGAUGCUUCCCAUUAAUGGGUUCAAACACUAAAUCUCUCUCACUUAUGCACCUUGCAAUGGCUCAUACCUCUCACCUAGCACUUGCCAUUCAAGGUGAUCUUUAACCUUGGAUUAUCCGUCAAAAGCUCACAAGAGAUAACUAAUGGAUGUCUCCUUAGAGUCCAAAAGCUUACCAAGUGUUGGCUAUUCUAGAAAAUCCUACCUUCAAACCACCUCCCAAAGGCUCGCAAGAGAUAAACUAGUGCAUCUCAAUGGAUGGAGAUCACUUGCCUUAUCAAGUGUUGGCCCAGGUGAUUUAAAGGCGUUUUAAGUUAAACUAAAAAGAUAAAAACCAUUAACGGGUCACACUUUCUCUUCAUUAAAAACUAAAACAACAAAACUUCCAAUUUAUGCAUGUGGAAACUUACCCAACUUUCCUUACUCCAAGAGACGAAGAGUCUAGCCUCUCAUCCUCUGAGGAAAAAUCCUCAGAGUUUGAUUGGCUAGAAAGAAAAAGAAUGAGAAAACAAAAGCAGAGCAAGUGCUCUGUAUUUUACUUCCUUGCAAAACUGUACAAAGGAUUGAUCUCUGAGAACAAACUCCUAGGAUCUAUGAUCGAUAAUAUAUUCGAUAUAUUUUUUAUAUAUUUCAUGUAAAGGAAAUUACAAACUAUAUAUAAGGGUUUAUUCACCCUUUUUCCAAACUUAAUAACUAAGGAAUCCUAUAAUUGGUGGGCUACAAGGAGACUUUGGGAAUUUAGACAUAAAAUAUCUAAAGCAAAAUAUCUCAAAAUAUUUAGAGCAAAAUAUCCCAAAGUGUCGGUCGUAAAUAUCUGGAAGCUUCAGGAGAACACCGCAGCACUGUGCAAAAUGGCUGCUCUCCCAUUCGGGUAGGCGGCUAUCAGAUGAUCCGGAUACGUCCGUCCGAAGAAGUUGAAACACUCUCCUUUUCUAUCCGGCGUCAGAAUUCCGGACGUGAACAUUCGGGUGGAAGUGGCGGCAGCCAGGUACAAAUUGGCGGCAGCCGGGUACAAAUUGGCGGUAGCCGAGUCCAAAAUGGCGGCAGCCGGGUGCAAAUCCUAUCCAGAUAUGUGGUCCGGACGCCCUCCGAUGGUGUAUCCGGACGCCCUGUCCAGGUAUACUCCUUACAUGGAUUCCAAAGAACUCUCCUCCAUCUCAGAUUUGCUUUGGUGAUCAAAAAGCUAUCAAAACACCAAAACUUAACAUACUUUGAUUAGAAUUGAUUGCAAGGGUCCUUAACAUGCCAAUUGAGUUAAAAGGUGGUAACUACUACUCAAAAGUGUUUAAAAGAGUUAGUUACAAGCUAUGAAAUAUCACUUUUUGAGUAGUAAUCAUUUAGUGAACCACAUUUUCCAUAUUACCAAAUUGUACACAAAUAUUACCCGACAACUUACAAAACUGAUAUAAUAGUAUUUAAUAAAUAAACGUUGAAUUGUUAAAACUUCAAUAUUAGAGAACUUUCCAACAUAACUUAUACAUGGUAACUAUAAUAAGGGGAGAUGAAAUUUUAUGAAAUUUCAUGCAUAAUAUAUAUAUAUAUAUAUAUAUAUAUACUAACUUAAAAGGUAUCUCAAAAUGAAAAUUUCAUAAAAUGAUUUCAGAUUAUAUAUAAACAAGGGAGUCAUUUGUUCACACCAAUUCUAAUAUGUAAAAUAUCAUAAAAUGAAAUUUUACCCAUUUUGAUACCAACAUGCAUUCUGAUUUAUGUUCUCACAAUACAUUAAAAUUGCAUGACUAUAGAUUAUAAGUUCUUGUGGCACUCUACUAGAGAAGCCAAAACCUCUCAAAUAGUAUGUUGGCAACGGAAGAAUGCAAAAAACAACAAAGAUAAGCAAGUAUGAUGAACCAUACCGAGAGUGGGAGUGAACUGGCAGCAGAACCAUCUAGGUCAUUACCAGCCAUUGUUAAUAUUAUAACUGCAUCAUUGGGCAUAGAAAAGUAGAAUGUUAUGCACAGCUAAACUGACCAACUGAAUAACUAAACAGCAAGUAUAGUACAAUACUAUGAAAGUUCAGCUAAGUGACAAGAAAAAUGCACGCAUCCAAUGAUGUGAGUAGGACAUACUUAAAAUAGGGAAGUGAAAGUAUACAUCAAGUUAAAAGAUACCACAUUGAAAGUGCAAUUUCAAAUUAAAUCAGUAAUGAAAGCAACUCCAAAUAACGAAAAUUAAAAAGUAGUCUUAUAAAAAAAAAAAAGUAGUGCAUCGUGUCUAUAAUAAGGACAAUACAUAACAUCCAAAAGCAACAACCCCAUGACCAUAAAGCAAAUAAUGGAACAAUGAGGGAUCGUACACAAAAUGAAAACCUUACAAGCAAAGAAAUGAACAUGUCACGACAAUGGAUUAUUACAUUUAGACCGAUUGUGACCUAUGCCAUUGCAUCGAGAGCAAUGAAUAGCUCUCUUAUGGCUAAAUUGUGACUCAAUACGCCUUUGUCGGGGUCUUCCUGGAGGACGUCUCACUUGCGGGGGUUGGAGACUAGGAAAUACGUUGCCUUGGCCAUCUUGCAAAGUCCCAGCCUCACAAACUUUAGGCAUGUUGUGUGUUGGUAAUGGUUGAAACUGACCCGAGUAAAUCAAAUGUUGGGUGGAGACUUUAAAACAUGGGUCGAUAUAGUCAUACACAUCGUGUCUCAAUGUGCGGAUCACAGCACAUACAUGUGGACAUGGCAACCUGGACAUUUGCCAUGUUAGACAUGUACACUUAUGUUGCUGCAUAUCCACAACCAAAUAAACAUCUCCAGUAAAAACCUUGAACGUCCCACCCAAAUAGGGCAUCACAGUAAUCGGAGCAGAUCUCGUGAUAUUUGACAUUAGCUUUUCCUCUGUUUUAGGUCCAACCACGCUCUUCCACUUAUCUGUACCACGCAUAUGGGUGUCCAACAUGGCUACAAGCUUAUCCAUGUGCAUCAACAACAACAUAUAAAUUGUUUGGUGUCGUUCCUCUCUUAACCACGCAUUGAAGGACUCUGCAAUAUUAGUUGUCAUUUUAUCCCAAUGUUUUUUAAGGAACUUUGAUAUCGCCCAAUGCUCCGGACUAUUCUCCGCAACCCACCUUGCUAGGUCGCCAUUAAAAUGCACAAGUUUUUCAAACGCCUCAUUGUAGUCUAUAUCCAACCGAGCAUAUGCAAUGUUGUCUAAAAGCAGCAAAACAUCUUCUUUCCCUUUCUUUUCCCUAAUGUUUUGCCUAUUGAAGAAGCUUGAAAAGUUCUCUUUCACAUGUCAAUAACAAUAGGCGUGAUUUUCUACCCCAAACAACUCCGAAACACUACGCAAUAUCCCUUGAUGUCUAUCUGAUAUAAUAAUUACUUCUUGACCAUCUAGGAUCCCCUUCAAUUUCUCCAAGAACCAAUACCAAUCCUCAUAAUUUUCUGAACCAACCACACCCAAGGCUAGAGGGAACAUUCCAUCAUCUGCAUCAUAUGCAAUGGCAGACAAAAGAGCUCCUUUGUAUGGACCACUUAGGUGGCAAGAAUCAAUAGCCAAUAUCGGUCGAUACCCCAUGGUGAACCCUUGAAUUGAAAAUGCAUGGGCAAUGAACAAUUGCUUGAAGUGGCCUUCAUGAGAAGUGUACUCGACAAUAGUUCCAGGGUUAAUUUCCCUUAGCCUAUGGCAUAACCAAGGCAAAAACGCAUAGGACGCACGUGGAGAUCCAUAUAAACGCUCUUUUGCCUUCUCUUUAAGAUGCCAUGCUUGGUUAUAAGUCAAUUGAACUCCAUGAUCACGUUCAAAAUCCUUGCAAAUUUGUCGAGGAAGGUAUUCUGGAGUUGUUCUAAACACGUCUUCAACAACAACAACACCUCUCUUGGAAGAAACCCGCACCUUAGAUGAACACUCAUCUUGAGCUAUAUGAUUAUGAUUAACUUGGUAAGUAUAAACUCGCAAUAUUUCAUUUCCUUCAACAGCAUGAGCUGUUAUCUUCCAAGGACAAUCCUCAACCGAACACUUUACUGACAUAUGAGUAGGUGAAUUUUUCUUGUACUUGUAUUGAAACCUUCCAGCUAAUGACAUUUGGUAUAUUGCAUUCCGAAACUCAUCUUCAUUCUUAAAUGUAUGUCUGGAACCUAAUAUUGCCUCACGAAACCGAUUCGAUUCCAAAGGGGUGUACUCACUAUCUGCACAACGCGAUGCAAAACCUCUUGAUAACAUCAUAGUAUUAGGACUUGCAUCGCAUGAUGCAUUAGACGAAGGAAACGUAGGAUGUGGACCUCUGCAUUUACAUUCAUAACCAAAAUUAGACUACAUAAUGCGUAAAAUUGAUAUUCAUAAAAUUUUAAAUAGACAUCCAAGUGAAAACGCAUUACCCAAGUGCCAACUGUGUAUUCGGUAUAUUUGCCUCUAUGGCUUCCACAUCGGGUGACUCGACUAUGUACACAUUUGCAAAGUCAUCACUGUGGGAAACCACGUUAUCCAAGUCAUCCUCAUCUUCUAAAUCUUGGAUGACUCUAGGGUUAAACUUGAGGGUGUAGUGCAUCCUCCUCACAUGAAGGGAAAUGUCGAAUUUUUCUAAGACCUUGUGAGUGAAUUCUUCAAAUGCCAUUCCUUUAUAAAUGUGAAUACCUUUGCUUCUUCCACCAACAUAUUCCCAAAGGCCAUCAUUUUUUUGGACAAGUUUGCCUCCCACGAAAAUAUAACAGUAUAUUCUAUUUGUGGCAUCCAUCAACCUAUUGAAAUAAAGCACAAAUUUAUAUUGUUGAACAAACAAUAAUGCAUAUUCAAUGUGAUCUUAAAAGUUUUUUCAUCUCACAAUAUACUAUGUUCCCAUAUGAAAAAGUUAUAUUUUAAAAAAUGUAUAUACAAAAAAAUGUAACUUUAAAGUCUUAAAAAAUAAUUUUUGUUGCUCCUUUUGAUUAUUCUAACCAUUGUCAACAGUAAGAUUAUUUUAAGAUAGGCACUAAUAAACAAACAGUGAGUUGAACUAAGAUAUGAAGACCGAGCUUCUCUCUUCUCUUGGACUGAUAAAUACUACCUAACCUAAACAAAACUAAAAAUAAUAAUAAAAAUAAAAAACAAAAAUGAGAAAUGUAAAAUUGGAAUGGAAAUUAAAAGAUUGAAAUUAAUAGAUUAAAACAAAUCAUUAAAUUAAAAACUAAGAAAGGCUAUAAAAGGAAAAAAAAUGAAAGAUUACAACUAAAAACUAUGUUACUUCUACUCCUACUUCUAAAAAAAAAUCUCUAACUUAUUUUCCCUAUCAUUCCCCUUUACUUAUAUAUUCAUAGUUCACAUUUUUAUAAGCAAAAACCUCUCUCUCCAACUACUUUAGUGCUACCCAAUUUGACACUACUACUUACCUAUGCUAAUAAUCUAAUCGUGUCAAUACUUGGAACUUUAAGACAAAACAUCACAACAAUAUCUAGUAAAGUAGGAGGAUUUUGUGUCUGAUUUGACAUAAUACUCCAGAACAUAUAUAUAUAUAUAUAUAUACACCAAAAAUAUUGGAAUUAUGGAACUAUAAGACAUUCAAUAGGAAAUAAUCCCCCACGUUUUAUUAAGCUCUGACCUAUACUUACACUAGGUAGAAAACAAAUUCUCAUUCUCACUCAAACCCUUAGACAAUUUCUAUUGGUACUACUAUAUCAGACAUGCCUACAAACUUAUUCAAAGAGAAUGGAGAUAUUUAAAUAUUAAUUAUAAAGCGUUGCUUUGCAAAAUAAUAUGAAGAGAUAAUAGCCUAAAAAAUGUAACAAAUAUAGAAUUCUCUUCUAAACUAUCAUGUCCUACUUUAGAUGAUUCAUACAAAACCAUAAGCAAUAGUUUAACACAUUUAAGGUUUAAGGGUAAAAAAAACUAAUAGAUAAAAAGAGAUAAAUCUGUUACUUGUGCCUACAUCUCAAGCCAAGGCACCAUAAGAAAACUUUAGGGUUUUUAGGUUUUCCAUUUCCCCUUUCCAUUUUUCCUCUCCUGGUUUCUAGCAACCAAUUAAACAAUUAUAAAUUAUUUUCAAGUAUAUAUGACAAUUUUUCACAAAUAUUUUUUUGAAUUUAAAAUAUACAAAUAGCAUGAAAAAAAAAUCUAAAAAAAAUUACAAAAAUAAAAUCAGAUCGAUUAAGCCAUGAAUCAUGAGUUGCAGGUAAAGUGCAUUUUCUGUAUUCUCAAGGCUUAAAGAAAAAAUUAUGGUUCAAAAUUUUUCCUUCUUUUUCUCAUUAUUUUCUCAGCAUCCGAAUAAUAGUAGCAAACCAAGAAGUCAAUUAUUGAAUGGGAAUAGUAACUUGAACUCCGGAGAUCAAGUUGAACACAGUUUAGAGAUUUGGACUAAGAAAAUUUUAGGUCGAGAUUUAGGCAAUCUACUAACCUCAAAUAUGCAACAAGAGAGACCCAACUGAAAUCCAUACCUUAUUCAAAUUUUCGAGAGAGACGAAUGCGAAAAAAAAUGAAAGAGCCACAGAGAUUGAGAUGCAAGCGAUGGAGGUGCUCGGGAGGAAGAGAAGAAAAAGGCUUCUAGGCUUGAAAUGUUGAAGAGAGACCAAAAUUAGGGCAAAUUUCCAAAAAGCCGCAGAGAUUGAGAUGCAAGCGAUGGAGAAACUCGGGAGGAAGAGAAAAAACGGCUUCUAGGCAGAGAAGAAAACGGCUUCUAGGUAGAGAAGAAAACGACUUCUAGGCAGAGAAGAAAAUGGCUUAUAGGCUUGAAAUGCUGAAGAGAGCAAAAUUAGGGCAAAAUUCCAAAGAGCCGCGGAGAUUGAGAUGCAAGCGAUGGAGGAACUCGGGAUGAAGAGAAGAAAACGGCUUCUAGGCUUGAAAUCUGAAGAGACACCAAAAUUAGGGCAAAAUUCCAACCUGGAUUUUUUUGUUUAUUAUUUUUUUUUCAUAAUCAGCAAAGGUUAUUUUUGGAAUUAAUAAAAGUGCAUAUCCUUCUUUUUAAUUUUGACACUUCCUAUGGGUUUUCAACUUAAAUGGGUCAGUUAGAUGGACCUUCUCUUAAUUUUUGGGCCCAACUGGGCCCAAAACACAAUUCUCCCAUAUAUAUAUCUAUACACACACAUGAUCCAUGGUUUAAAUAAAACAUUUCUUACAUUUACAAUAAUUUUAUUUUAAAGUAUUGUUAUUAUAUUACACCAAUGUUGUUAGGCCAUAUUUUGCUAAACAAAAUGAAAAAGAAAACACAUUAUUUGGCAAAUAUUUUACAACUAGAGGUGAUGAAGACUAAUGUUAGUAAUUAGGUUUGCCAUAUGUUUCAACAAUGUACAAUUAGCUCAAUCACUUGAAGCUUAUACCAAAAAUAUAUUUGAAUAAUAGACAAUUUUUGAAGGGUACAUAGUGAUAAUCAACUACCAAAUUAACAUAAACAUAAAAGUUGAAAGGACAAUUUUAAGGUAUAGAUGACUCUAAAAUAUCAAAAGUAGGUUGAGUAUCCAACUUAAUAUUACAACUUUUCUCACUUAAAUGACAGUUUACAUAUAACAAAACUAUCUAAAGAAAAAUAAUUGUUUGCCAACAUUUCAAAGAUAGAAUUCUCAAACACUAGUACCAAAAGAAAUCUUCAUCACCACUAAGAAUUCAUCAUUGUAUUCAAUCUGAAACAAGUAAAUACACAUAAUUAGCUCCAAUUUAAGCAACAUUUAGAUUUUCAUAAUGGACUAUAAACAACAUGUUCAAUAUUAUUAUUGCAAUUAUUGUUAUUAUUAUUAUUAUUAUAUAAUUAACAACACAAUAUUAACAAACUUGGUUAUAAAGAUUGUUUAAAUUCCUAUAGUUUUCAUACUUGUGGUAUUUAACCAUACUCAAGUGAGUAUAUUUGUCAAUAAAUUUAGAGUUUCCACUAACAACCUAUAACAAUUUAUAAUUUUAGCUGCUUGCUUGUAUAUUUUUUUGGAAUUCAACCUUGGAAAAAAUCACACGAAUCUUAAUCUUCCCUAUGAAAAUCACAUUCUGCAACUUCAAAGAGUUGAACCCAAUUAUAAACUCCCUCCAUCCUCUUUCUAAUGACUCAAACUAGGAGAUUGAUUACCCUAUGCAUUGUAUUUAGGAACUUAAUUGUAGUAAGGGAAGAGAAACAACUUAUAUUCAUAUGUAUAGUUGAAGGGUCUAAAAAUAUGCCUCUUACUAUAACAUGAUUUGAACAUUUAAAGCAAUAUACUUUUAGUAAAUCUAAGUCCAACAAGCCAACAAUUCAAUUUUUUUUUUGUAAAUUUAAAUCAUUAUUUUCAAUUCAAGAAGUUAAGAAAUAAUAUAAUAAAAUAUAAGCAUAAAAAGAUUAAUAGCUAACAAAUAUGUACGUAAACAUGGAUGGCCUUUCAUUACGUUGCAAUGAAAUUCAUCUUACCUUCUUUUUGCAUAAUGUUUAUUAUUUUGAAACCACAUCACCCUCUGCAAAAUAGCUGAAUUCAUUGUGAUGAUAAUCAUAACACACCAAAAAUACAAUGAAAUAAAAUAAAUAAAUAAAUAAAUAAACAAGGAAGAAAAUAAAGGAAAAAGAAUCGUAAGUGAUGUAAGAUAUGUCACCUUUUCAGCCAUGAACUCCAUCUGUUUCCAUCUUCCUUUUCAGACGAGCCACAUUCACUGCAGCGAAGACAUAUAACCUAUCUCUGGUUUCAUCAAUGAACCGGAAAUAAGCCUGCCUCCAAGACUUCUUUAGAGCCAAACUGCCACAUACAGCCCAAAAUCCCACCGGAAAGCCCAAUCCCAUGCUUAUGAAGAACCAUGACAGGUCCCAUUCAUCUUCAUCUUCCUCCUCAUCUGUGUGAUCUUGAUCAUUUAGAGUGGAGCAGUUGGUUGACAAUGGAGGCCCACAAAGUCCCAGGUUCGCCUCAUAAAUGGAUGGAUCAUUGAAUGUCGAGAACUGGUUGGUUGUUGGAAUUGGUCCUGACAGGAGGUUAUGUGAUAGGUUCAAAUGGUUCAAUGAGGUUAUAGAAGACAUGCUUGGAGGAAUUGGACCUGAAAGGCAGUUGCAUGAGAGGUCAAGAGUUUCUAGCCCUUGCAUGGUUCCGAUCUUCUCAGGUAUCUUUCCAAUCAAUUGGUUUUGGGACAAAUUCAAGGUACCCAGGGUCGAGAGAUUUGUGAUCUCUUCUGGGAUCUCUCCCCAAAUGUUAUUGCUAGAAAGAUCAAUCAAAUUCACAAUUGACAGUAUGCUAUCAAAUUCCAUGUCUUGUCCCUUCACAACUAGCUCCAUGCGCUCUGAAUAGGCAAAAUGACUCCCGGGGUUGUCAUCAAAUUCGAUGUCUAAUAAGGUCACAGAACGUAAAGCAGUCAAAUUGCCUAAGCAUUGUGGGAUGGAUCCUGAUAAAUUGUUAAGCGCAAGAUCCAAAAUGUGGAGAUAAGAAAGCCCACACAGUUGUUCAGAAUAUCUCCUAUCAACAUGUUGCCUCGUAAACGAAGUUGCCUCAAUGAUGACAUUUUUUCUCCAAUCCAUUUGGGUGUCUCGCCCGAAAACCUGUUAUUUCCAAGAUCAAGGGAGUGCAGCUCUGUGCAGUUUUGUAAGCUUUGAGAGAGUUUCCCAGAAAGAUUGUUGUCGCCCAAUAUCAAGUUAAAUAAAGAUAUUGAACACAUCGAACUUGGAAUCCCACCUGACAGUUUGUUCUUGGAUAGAUCUAUGGUGUCAAGAUUGUGCAAAUCAUUCCAAUUCUUUGGAAUCCUUCCAGAAAAAUGAUUGCUUGAGAGAUCAAUUUCGUUCAAAUCCUUUAGUUUACUAAUUGAUGAAGGGAUGCUGCCAUUUAACAACUUACCAGAAAUAUCAAGGACUUCCAAACUCGAUAAUUCCCCGAUGUUCAAGGGAAUUGGACCAGAAAAUAAAUUGUUUCCCAGAAAGAGCUCUAUCACAUUAAACCAAAGUGGGAAUCGGCCCACCAAGUGGUUGAAGCUUAAAUCCACCUCGACUGCUUUUCGGCUAAAGGAUAAUGAGUUGGGAAGCUUUCCAUACAAUUGGUUUUUAGAAAGAUCUAACCAUGAAAAAUCUAGUUUCCAAAGCCAUUCUGGUAUUGUAUCUGAAAUCCCCACAUUUUUAAGAACUAUUGUGUUAAGUCUUUUUUGAGUUCUAAGCCAGUUGGGGAACUUGGGAGAUACAUAGCAGUUGGAAAUACGGAUAUACAAGAGGCUGAAAGGAGGAAUCCAUUCAGGUCUCACGUGAAAACGGAGAGACUGGUUUUUGGGUGAUAAGUGUAAAGAGAAAUACUCCAGUUUUGUAAGAUUACUGAAAUGAAUUUCAGAUAUUACCCCUUCCCAAGCAUUCCAAUUAAGAUACAACUCAGUCAGCUCUCUAAGUUGUCCAAUACUUUCUGGAAUCGUCCCAUUCAUUAGAUUGAAUGACAAGCUAAGUCUCUUCAUCCGCAGCAAGUUUCCAAUCCAUGUUGGAAUUGGACCUGAGAUGGAGUUUUUUCUCAGAUAAAGACUCUCUAAGUUGGUAAGGUGUUGAAUUGAAUUGGGGAAGGGACCAACAAAACUAUUAUAGCUCAAGUCCAGGGAUUUUAAAUUCUUAAAGAGCCCUAAUGAAUCUGGCAACUGACCACUGACUUGAUUACCGCCCAAGUUUAACUCUUCCAAGGAAUUAUUAGUGCAUGCUGAUAAUCGAUUCAGGAAUUCAAUUCCUUCACCUCCAAUACUAUUGUAUGAGAGAUCUAAGGUCACCAAGUUGCGAAGGCAUCGUAAGUUAACAUGGGGAAUCGGACCUUUAAUUGUAGCACCAUUUAAAUAAAGAUCUGUAAGGGUACUGAUGUUAAACAACCAGCCAGGCAAAGUAGUGUUGAAAUUGUUUCCGGAGAGAUCAAUGACCAAAGCAGAAGUCAAAUUAACAAACGGAUUGGAGUACUGAGGGAAGUGACUGAGUUCACAAUGGGACAAAUGUAAUUCUAACAAAAAUGGAAGCAUGUUUACAGCUUGCAUGCAAUUUGAGGUUGCUUUACUAAGGUUCACAUUCCCCAGAUCAAGGUAUUUUAAAGAAGAAAGACCAGAAAGCCAAUUUAAAUUAGAAACCCUCAUUUGAUAUUCUCCUCCAUGAAGGUCAAGAUAACGUAACUGUGAUAAAUUUCCAAGAAGAGGAGGAAUCAUUCCACCUUUCAAAUGAGCCCAAGAAAUUUGGGAUUGGAAUUCCUUGAAAAUCAUUAAGACUUAGGUCCAGGUAAGUUAAAUGUUUCAAGUCAAGUAAGGAAUCACUUAUCUCACCACCCAACGGUAAGAAGUCAUGUUGUCUGAGGUCAACCUUGACAACAUUUCCUGUUUGGUUGUUGCAAUCCACACCUCUCCACUUGCAGCAAACAGCACCAACCCAGGAAGAAAGCCUACCUGAAGGAUCUUUCAGACCAUGUUUAAAUUCAGGAAGCGCUUUCCGCUCUACCUCAAUGCAAGCCAUGUUGAGAUCACUGUCAUUAGAAUUGAUUGUAAGAGCUUCAACCAUGAGAAACUUCAAAAACAGAGAAAGCAAAAGAAUAAGGAGUGGAAUGGUGGUUUUCCUACUUGCCAUUGAUGAAUGCAAAGUUGCACAAUUCUGAAUUGAUACCAUAUAAAUAAAUAAGAUUAGAGUCUUGGUCUAAUUUGUUUAACUAUUUCAAGUCUUCAUGCCAUCUAUAAAUAAAUGCAACAAAGACCCUUCAGCCAUAUAUGGCCCAUGUACUCCAUCAUAUCUGCAAUUAAUUUUACAUGUCACUUCUGACCAUAAUUUUAUCCUUCUCUUUCUUCAUAACAUCUUACGGCUAUUGAAACAUGUAUUAUUAAAGAAUCUAGACGGCAAUAAAAGCAUAAUUUAUGCCCAAAAAUACCCACAAAGUAAUGGCAUAUUAUAUGAUUCAAGUGUCUAAAGCUCUAUGCUAUGUAAGUGGAGUAUUAUCUUUUAAAAAUAUUUCUUGAAUGAGCCACCAUCAUCACAAACUUGUUAAAAUAUGAUCACCUUAAAACUUGAAAGUGAUCCAAAUAAUGGAUGUUUUCACUGUUUUUUUUUUUCUCUCUUUCAAAAAUGUGAUUUUUUUUUUUUUUUUGAGAAAUCGUUUCAUUUUUUCUAUCAUGCUAAUCCUUAAAUUAUAUUAAUCAAUGAGCAUUUGGCACACUAAUUCUAUUUACAUUGGAUUCAGUUUCAAUCCUUCUCAAUGUUAAUACAUUUUUAAUUUUGAAAAAUAUAUGAUGCACGAUAAUCUAAACAAAGAAUAAUUUUUUCUCUAUUUUAUUGAUCUAAUAGAUUGAUUUAGAAAAUAUGUUAGGCCAAUACUAGUGUUUCAAAUUUACAAAUUUUUUUAAAGGAUUGGAUCAAGGUUCAAUCACAAUUGGAUCACACAUUUCUCUUGUCCAUGAGUAAAUUAAGCUCACAAUAUUAAUUACCAAGUUUUUGAAAUAUGAAAAUGUAGUCCAAAGAAAAAGAAAAAGAAUCUUCUUUUUAUUCUUUUUUUAUUUUUUAUUUAAAUGGAAAAAGCUUUAUUUAUUUAUUUGCUUUUACAUGGAGUAGACUAAAGAGUAAUGGCUUUGUUUUAGUCAAGAGUCAAGAUAUCACAAAAAUCCUUUAAGUCAUUGUCUAAAGAAAAACAAUCACCAAGAAAAUAAAUUUAAAUAAUAUUUUAAUGUAUGACGUACCUAUUUUAUCUAAAAAAACAUUUUUAGACUCUUGCUAGAGUUUUCUCAUAUGAACCAUUUACUAAGUUUAACAUGGAUUGCGUAGGAAGUAUAAUUAAUUGAAGAAAACUAUAUGAAACUUCCUACUCCAUGUUAAGUAUUAUAUAUGUUGAAAAUAAAAUAGAAAUUUAAGUAAUAUUCUAAUGUAUGAUGUAUAUAAUUUAUCUAAAAAAAUAUUCUGAAACUCCUACCAAAAUUUUCUCAUGUGGACUGUUUACUAAGUCUAAUAUGGAUCAUGUACGAAGAAUAAUUAAUUGAAGGAAACUACAUGAAACUUUCUACUCCAUGUUAAGUAUUAUAUAUGGUGAAAAUAAAAUAUAAAUUUAAAUAAUGUUUUAAUGUAUGAUGUAUAUAUUAAAAAAAAAUUAAAUAAAACAUUUUUUGACUUUUGCUAAAAUUUUCUCAUGCGGACUAUUUACUAAGUCUAAUAUGGAUCAUGUUGAAGAUAAGUACAUGAAACUUCCUACUCCAUGUUAAGCAUUAUAUAUGGUGAAAAUAAAAUAGAAUUUUAAAUAAUGUUUUAACAUAUGAUGUAUGCAUGUAUUAAAAAAAAACAUCUUUUGACUCUUGCCAAAAUUUUCUCUUGUGGACCGUUAACUAAGUCUAAUAUGGAUAGUGUAGGAAGAAUAAUUAAUUGAAGGAAGGUACAUGAAACUUUCUACUCCAUGUUAAGUAUUAUAUAUGGUGAAAAUAAAAUAGAAAUUUAAAUAAUAUUUUAAUGUAUGAUGCAUGUAUUAAAAAUAGAAAAUCAAAAACAUUUUUUGACUUUUGCCAAAAUUUUCUCAUGUCGUUUACUAAGUCUAAUAUGGAUCGUGUAGGAAGAAUAAUUAAUUGAAGGAAGGUACAUGAAACUUCCUAUUUUAAGUAUUAUAUAUGGUGAAAAUAAAAUAAAAUUUUAAAUAAUAUUUUAAUGUAUGAUGUAUGUAUUAAAAAAAAACAUUUUUUGACUUUUGCCAAAAUUUUCUCAUGUGGACCAUUUACAUGGUUUAAUAUGGAUCGUGUAAUAAGAAAAAUCAAUAUUUUCAAAAUCAGAUCGGCCAUUGAAGUAGAAAAGUUACCGAUUCAUGGUUCACUAGUCAAACCGACGGUCGAACCGAUGAUGUCAUAAAUAUAUAAUUUAUAAAUUAUUAAAAUUUAAAAUAAUUAUAAAAAUAAAAAUAAUAAUUUAUAUAUCAUUUUAAAAUUAAAAUUUUAUUUGAAAAUCAAAAAAUUAGUUUCAAAUUAGAAAUUCAAAUUAAAAUCAUAAUUUUAAUUUUAAUUUUGAAAUUUUGAAAUUUAUUUUUAAAUCAAAAAAUUAUUUUAAAAUCAUAAUUUAUUUAAAAUUGUGAUGUUUUGAUUAAUUUAAAUUAAAAUCAUAAGUUUUAAAAAUCAUAAAGUAAAAAAAUAAUAAAUAUAAAAGAAAAUAAAUUAUAAUUAGAUGAGGUAAAUAAAUAAAUAAAUCAAUCUAGAAAGGAAGGGAAGAAAUGGUGGCCCAAAAUGGGAAGAAUGAAGGAUUGGGAGGAGGUGGUUUUCAGAUGGGGGUGGGACUUCUAGUGGGGAAGGGUUUUCGCCGCAAGGGGAUAGGGGGUUUUGCCACUGAGGGAGCGACGUCUAACCGACCAGUGGCCGAUGACAGCAACUCGGUGUCGAUGAUAAUAGGAGGUAGUAGCUAGGGCAACCGUGCGAGAGGGGUUGUUGGGAAGAAAAAAAAAUGAUUGAACCGGAUGAUUCGGAGGGAAUCGUUUGGUUAGUCCAGUUUGUCAAUCAAACUGUCAGUUCAAUCGAUCCAAUUCUGAUUUGACUACCUUCCAACCUAAUAGACCAAACCGAAUAGAAAUUGUUACUGACUGGCGAUCGAACCGAUUAGACCAACCAGUCCGAAUCGAUUUUUAAAAACAUGAGAAUAAUUAAUUGAAGAAAGCUACAUGAAACUUCUUACUCCAUGUUAAGUAUUAUGGUGAAAAUAAAUAUAAAUUUAAAUAAUGUUUUAAGUAUGAUGCAUGUAUUUUAUCUUUAAAAAAAAAAAAAUAGUGUCUUGCAAGAAUUUUCUCUUGUGGAUCAUUUACUAAUUCUAACAUGGAUUGUGUACGAAGUAUAAUUACUUAAGGAAGCAAAAUGAAACUUCAUACUCCACGUUAAGUAUUAUGGCCAAAUAUAUAUAUAUAUAUAUAUCAUGAAAAUUUAUUUUAUUAUAUAUAUAAAGGGCUAGAAAAAUGCAUAUAUAGUGGGUGUCAUUUUUUUUUGUUUAAAAUAUGAAUACACCUGAAUUUGACUUAAUCUAAAUAAAAUUGAAUGUUAUUAAGUGUUUAAAUUAUGUGUUUUUACUAAUAUUUGAAGUAUUAAGCUUAUUUAUUUUUUACAUAUUAAAUAUAUAUAUAUAUAUAUAUAUAUAUAUAUAUAUAUAUAAUUACUAUAUUUUAUUAUUUUAGUUUUAAAAUUAAUAAUAUAAAAACAUUAAUUUAAUAUAUUUUUAAAUAUUCCAAACUAUCAUAAUUUAUCACCAUAAUAAAAAAUUUAUAAUAAUUAAUUAUAUAAUUAGUAGGCAAUUAACAAAUAGAUUUCUAGUUAUGUUUGGUUGUUAAGAAAAUAUUAAAAAAUUUCUAAGUUAAAACUUAUUUUUAUAUAACCUAUCUUUGGAGAAAGAAGGGGUGAAGGUUUUAAUGAAUUUGAAAACUAUAUAUUUAGAUUUUGAUACGUUUUCCUAAAUUCAAAAUUCUGAAAUUAAAAAAUUGACCUAAAAAAUAUUCAUAAAAAUAUUUUUAUUCUAGUGAAUAAUUGGUGAGUGUAAAUUAGGAGUGUAAGUUCAAAUGUAUAACCCACCAAACCAACUUCAAACCUGUCCAAUCUAGUUGGGUUUGUUCAUUUUGGCUUUUCAUAGCAAUUCAUGAGAAUAUUUUUAUUCUAAAUUAUCUUGAUAAACAAUAGAGAAAAUAAAUAAAAACAAAUUUAAGUCAUACUCAUAUUUUUUUAUGACAAAUUUACUAAUUCAUGGUAGAUUAAUUUAUUAUUCUAAUUACACAAUGUUUAAGUAGUUUAAUUUUUUAUUUUAAAAAACAAGAAAUAUCUAAAAAUUUUAAAAAUAAAUUUAGUUUAUUUUGAAGGAGGAAUUAGAUUUGAAUAUUAUAAUAAAUUUAAUAGUUGAAAAAAAUGAAAUUUUAUUUUCUCAAAAAAUUUCACUAUUCCUCUUAAAAUAAAAUUAUCUCUGAAAAGUAAUAACCUAAAAAACAAACCAUCAUAAAAAUAUAUUAAUUAUAUUACAUGGAAGUUAUGUUUUAAAGAAAUAAUAUCAAUAUAAAUUCCAAAUUUUGAAGUUAUUUCUUUAAUAAAUAACUUAAAAGUUUGAUAAUUAAAUUGAAAUUAUCUUUUGAAGAAAUUUCCCAUUUUACUUUUCACAAUUUCCUACAAAGUAAGAAAUUAUUUUUCAAUUAUCAUAUUUUAAAAAAUAUUAUAUUUUGUUCAAAAUCCCCAAGGAAUAGAUCCAUUGAAUAUUAUUUCACACGUGUUUAUUGUUCACCAAAUUUUCAAUUAUCAAAUUAAUUAAUGUAAUGAAAAUUAUUGAAAUAUUACUUCUUGUUUUUUUAAUCUAACAAGUACCUUAUGUGCAUAGAUUAGGGUAUUUUUAUAUACCCAGAAAAAGAACACCUUGUUGGUCCAGUUAAACAGUUCAAAUUGCUUGCCUUUUUUUUGUAGUGUCUAAAAUGAUGGUUGUUUGCAAUUCAGAUGUUGCUUUCGAUUUGUUCUCUGUUGAUGUACAAGACGACUGAAGCAAGUAUGAGACAACUGCAAUGAACUGAACCCAAAAGUAGGUCAUGAGUCAAGUUUUGCAUUUUUAUGUGUGGGGGCAGACCCUUUCUGUCUCUCUCUCUAAUCUCUAUCUCUCUCUUCAAUCCUAAAAUGGACAAAAAAGAAAGGUCCAAAACAUGCUUUCAAUUGAAAAGAAGAAAUCUCUCUCUAUGUCUCUCUAUCUCUCUCUUCAAUCCUAAAAUGGACAAGAAAGAAAGGUCCAAAACAUGACGGCCCUCAAUUGAAAAGAAGAAAAAACAAAGACUCAACUUUUAUAUUGUUUGAAUGCAAUCACACUCGUGGAUUUUCUAAUGUUUUGAUUCUAUUCUAAUCGAGCACUUACCAAUUUUGAUAAUUAAAGAAGACAAAUUUUCCAUUAUUAAAGUUUAGGAGUGAAAGUGUGGACAAUUACCCUGGUUUGAUUCGUUCAAUUUUAAGUAUAAAAUCAAAUCAAAUCAAAUCAGUCUUACAUGCUUUUAUGUAUGAAUGAAGAAUUGAACAAGUUAGUUACCAAAUCUUUAAAGUUUAGUCUUGCCGACAUGAGAGAAAAAACAAAAUUCCUUGUCUUGUCCACAUGUUGUGGACAACUUGUUUGAAUGAGGAAUCCAUAUGUCACCAAUUAAGCUCUAAGGUCACUGUCCCAAGGAAAGGUUCGAGAAAAGAAAAUGAUGAAAAAUUCAAAUGGUGGUUUAAUAUAUAAUAUAUAAUUUAUUAUUAUUAUUACUUUAUUUUAUUUUAAGAUGAGAGGUUCUUCAAGCAAGUGUAUUAGGCCAAUUUCUUCUUUUGUUACAUCAUUUAUUUAUAAAAAAAGAUAGAUAUUUAAAAUAAAAUACAUUCAUAUAAGAUAAUAAAUAUGAAAAUAAUAUAGGAAAAAAAAUACACUAAGAUAAUAAACAACCAUUGGAAGUAAAAUUUUAUUUUGCUUAUAUAUGGUAUAUCUUAUUUAAUAAUAAAUACUAUAAUAUAAUUAUUUAAUAAAUUUAGAAAUAUUAAUAUAUUUAUGUUUUAUUGUUAUAAUAUGGCAAAGAUAGAAACGCAUUUUGAUUAUUUGUAUUUUUUAAUUUUAUGAUGAUUAAAUUAUAAUAUUAUAAUUUGUUUUCUUCUACUUUCGUGAAAUCAAAUAUAGGAAAAGUACUCUUAGACAUUUCAAAGCGAUGAUUGUUGAUUUUAAACAAGAUAAAAAACAUUAAUAGUUUGUCAAAAAUUGUUAUUCGAUUUUCUAUUUGCAACAUGAAGAUCCAAAAAAUUCUUAGUUCCUAUAAUGUUUGAACAUAUCUUUACCAUUUUUUUCUUCUUGAUCUAACAACAAGCUUGACUGCACAAAAGUGAUGAGGGUGAUGUUCUUCCUAUGCUCUCCUCUCCCUUUUUAACUUUUAUAUCCCCCCUCAACAGUAUAGUUUUAAGGUAUAUCACUUUAAUCCUGAUGGACUAAAGGCCCAUAAUUUAUCUCAAUGGGUCAAAGUGAAGCCAUGGGCCUCUUCACAGUACAUUAAAUUGAUUAUGGCCCAAAACAAUACCCAUGCACAACCAAAUAUAGUUUACAAUAUACCUAGUUCACAGUACAUGAAAUCGUUUCUCCAACUACAUUGCUACCAUCACUGACGUCCUCAUCACUAACGAGGCCUAGACUCCGAUUCUCUCUUUUCUUCUCCGAAAUACUCUUGUGUAUUUCAAAUUCGGAGCCAAAAUCUGGUCAAAGAGAAACAACAACCCUAAAUUCAGCCCGAUCGACCAGCUAUUGAUGAGAGGUCUUUAAAGAUUGUAGUCUUCUUCGCUUCACAGUGAAGAAAUGCAUAGUCGGGGACCGAAUCACCGGCUAUCUGGUUCGGCUUUCAGAUCUCAAGUUUCGGUUCUCAUGCUAGCCAUGUUGACACCAUGGCAUGGAUUUACGUCGUCGGCCGGUGAGUUCUGGCACUGUUUCAUGUUGUGAAUUGAUUUUUGUUUCUUAGCUGUAAUAGUGCUUUAUGGUGUGGUUAAUUUCAUUUAUUUAGGUUUUUGUUUUGUGAUGCUUUGAUUUUGAUUAUAAUUGGUCUAUUUUUUUCAAAAAAAAAAAUUGUUUUUGUGGAAAUCUGUUUUCGGUAGGCUACGGCUGGAUUAUGAGAAUGGGGCUUAUUUGAUUAAAGAGCUGGAUAGGAGAACUAGUCAGGUGUUAUCUUUACUUUUAUGUAUUACCAUUUGUUAUUCAAUUGUAGCUUCAAAUUUUCUUCCCCACAGUUUGUUAAUGCAUUUUUUGGGACUAUUUUGUUAUCGAGAUUAAAUUAUAGAAUUAUAAUGAUACAAAGGGGGUCUUGACAUUGUAUGGAACCAGAAUCAGUCCAUCAUGGUUUAAAUUAAUUACAUGUUCUAUAGCAUUACAUUACAAUGCCAAAUAAAUUAGUGAUUUGCAUGAGCUCAUGCCUUUUUCUUUCUUUCUUUCUGUUUUUGUCUUUUUUUUUUCUUUUAUUGAAACUAUUUGAGAUGAUACCAGCCUAUUUUCUUUUUUUGAAAUUAAUCAUUCAGAGUAAUUGACUAGAUAAUGGGUUUUUCCAUUUUAAUGGUUUUUGUGUGCAAUCAGCCAAUGACACACUGAAAAUUAUAGCAUGCAGGUAAAUAACUUAUACCUAUCCUUCCUUUAUGUGGGGUUCUUUUUUUGGGGCUUUUGUUAUAAUAGACAAAAUAUAAUCUAAAGGUCAUGGUGAUGGUUCUUUUAUUUUAUAGGGAACAACACAAGAAGUUAGCAGCCCUUGAGAUGGAGCUAGCGGCAUCACAACAGGAAGAUUUUGCCUCAAAGAACUUGUUAGAAAAUAAGGGGACUCCUCCCAAGAAAAGGCUUUUAGCUGUUGUUGGAAUUAUUACAAAGUUUGGCCACAAGAACAAUAGAGAUGCAAUCUGUAAGGGCAUGGAUGCCAACUGGUAGAAUGCCCUUCUUUUUAUAAGUUUCGCUCUUUAUUCUUUGUAUUAUUUACAUAGAGAAUGACCCAGUUGGCACUUAACACAUUGACAUUUCUGUUAUAAGCAUAUAAGGGAUAAAAAUAGGAGGCUCGUAGGCUGAACUCUUAUUAACAUGAAAACUUUUAGUGAACUGCCAUUUCUCAUCUAUUCUUUUUUCAUUGUCUUGUUUAUUUUCUCAGUUUGCAAUGGUCAUUUUCAAUAGUUUGCAAACUCCAUCAACCAAUUUGAAAAGCCUUGGAGCUAACAAGUACAAAUUAUGAGAAACUAAAAUCUCGUUUCUCUAGGAUUUUUCUAAAGUUGCUCAAAUGAAUGGAAAGCAGAAAACUAUCAAGAAGCCCUACCACUGCCUUGCACCCUCUAUACCCCUAUUUACAAAAAAAUUGGAGUUUGUCUUUAAUGUAAUAAGGGAGACAAUAGUUUGCAUAAUAAUGGAACAUGAUGUAAUAUUGUGAUUCACUACUGCAAAAAAUAAUAUUAACAUAACUUAUGUGCUAAAUUACACUUACAUGCUUGGCACAAAAGUAUGUUAUUCUUCAUUUGAGAACAUUACUUAUGUUAUUCUUCAUUUGAGAACAUUACUUUAAACCUUAUAUGUUAGCAUCACUUUUGCCAUAACUAAUCUUUUUUUCUUUCUCCUUAUCCAAGACAAUGCAUAUCGAGUGAUUGAUACUUAAGUUAAUAGCCUUAGCACCCACAUGAGGUGAAGUUUGAAUCCAGAAUUUCCUAAUAGUCUUAAUACGCUUCCUCAAGCGUGUUCAAACUUAAGACGUCAAUGUUAAACCACCACUUUGCCCAAAACUUUUAAGUUACGCAGUAAUAGGCCAGCAAUGGGAUAUUAAGGCGACUGACAGGUAGGCUAAUAGCUUGAGCAAUUCUCUUAUAAUGUUUAAUGGUUUAAAUGUUGACGAUUAAAACACUUACAAAAGCAUGAUGACUUACCCAUCCUUUUCAUACAGAUACUCUGGAAGCAACUCUUGCUACUCAUUUGAAUAAGCCUCGAGUUUAUAUUGGGUGUAUGAAAUCAGGCGAAGUUUUCUCAAAAGUUGAGUAUAAUCAAAGUUUUUUUUCUCUAUUGAUGAGAAAACGAGUUGUUUAUGAUAUUCUACUUUCAUAUAUUGUAUUAUCUUUUCAUAUUGUCUGAAUUAUGUAGGAUCCACAAGUGGUAAGAACCAGAUUGGUAGAAAUUUGGUGAUGGAAAAUCAUGAGUAUUUCUGUGUUGAUUUCAUCUUGUCUCUUAUAUUAGGAUAAGUAAUUAUUACUUUCUAGUUAUGUUAACUAGUCAAGAAGUCUCUUAGCAUCUCUGAAUUCAUCUGAUAGGUGAUAGAAGUCCCAAUGAACAACUAGGGCAUUGUCCCAUAAGAGGCUUGCUUGAUAGAGAGAAGUUUUUUAGGCAUUCAAACAAUUUAUCAUUCCAUCAUAUUCUUGUCAUCUAUUACACUUAAUUUGCCUACCCUUGCACCCAUAUUUUAACCAUCUCAACUCUAAUUUGUGUCGAGGUAUCCUAGAGUCUGCAUAGGGAUGCCUUCUCGGGAAGUCAGGCUUACAUUGGUUGAAGAUACAUUUAGCAAAUUUAUAUGCUGGUGGAGUGGACAAGUUAUCAUAUGAGGGUUAGGUAGCAUUUACUGAGAAUCAUUUGGAAGAUAUCUUUGAGUCCGCAGAUAAACCUCUGGAAGGAAGACGUUGGUGAUUGUCUGUCGAGGAUCCUUUUCAAUGCUUGGCAGCGUGUAUUAAUCUAUCAAAUGCAUUAAGAAGCUCCCCUCCAGAGACUACCAUUUCACACAUGCCUGUCCACUAGGUACUUCAUUCUUAGCAUGGUCACAUUCAAACUGAGAAAUGUUUACCAAGUGAAAUCAAAUUAAUCCCACCUCCUCCCUAGUCUACCCAAUCCCACAAUAAAAAAGAAAUCUCAAAACUAGCUUUUAUUGGAAUUGUGUUCUAUGCAUAGUCAUAUCAUUUGUUGCCCUAUGUAUUUUGUAUAAACUCCUCCAAGCAUAUAGCUCCUCUGCAUUUACACAUGGAAAAUGACAAUCAUAUGAUUGUACAUAUCCUUCAGAGUACCCCAUUUGUUACCCCAUUAUUAGGAGCAAAAAUAAUGGAUCGACCACUUCUUUCAUAGCCCUGUCUUAUGUUUGUGCUAUCCUGCUAUAGUAUGCUUGAGAGGAUAACAAACAUUUCCCUGACUUUACUUUUGUUUUCAUAUUAAAUGCUUAGAUUCAGGUCAUUUGUUUAUCCAAACUUAAUCUAUGAUUGUAUUGUUCUAUGUUUUUCAAGGAUGGCUCUUGCAAUGGCUUACAACACCAUGCUGCCCUUGGAAGGGACAAGUUAGUGGAAUUUUCUGUUUUUGGUUGAUUGUUGUGGAAUUCUGAUUAUGUGAUAUGGAAGCAUGGUUUUUGAUUAGUUAGACAGUUUUUCACUCUUUUUCUGCUUUGAGGCUAAAUGUGUCUCAGCUUUGAUCUUCUCUCUUUUUGAUAGAAAAAAGGAACUUUGUUAAGGAAAGAUGGUAAAAGGAUGAGGAGUUGGAAAUUGAAACCCAAGAAAGAAACCAAACUUUGUUUGAGUUUAGUGCAGUUUAUUUAAUUUGAUUUUUCAAGUAAUUUCAAAGUUUGGUUGUUUCAAGAAAGGGGAUUAUCAUCGGUAUUUGGCAAGUUCAAAGGCUAGGGCAGCAAAUCAGUCUCUAAAGAGUGAAUUUUAGUUAGACCUUAGUAUUGGAGGAGAUAAAUUAUUAUUUAUUUAUUUAUUUAUUGAAGUUUCCUUGUUCUUUGGCAAUAGAACUUUGUAUUGGGGAUUAUUAUUUGAUUAUGCAGUUUGGAUACAUAUACAUAUUUGGAUUAUGCAAUAUUGGAAAUUAUAAUUUUGUUGCUUCAACUGCCUAUCAAGAAAAAUAAUUUUGUUGCUUCAACUAAAGUUUUAUAUAUGUAAUAGAAAAUAUAUACUGGAAAAAGUGGUAGGACCUCUUCAAUUUUGAAAUGAGAAUUUUAAUUAAAAUAUUUGAAAAAAAAAUAUUCAAGACUUCAGCUCUGGCCAAAUAUAAGUUGUGUCCACUUAAUAACCUAUGGCAGCGGACAAGAAAAAGUGGCAUCCAUAUGAAGCCCUAUAAUUGCGGCUGACAAAAGGUCAUGUCUAUAAUACUAUAUAGUAUUAAAUUCUGUAGAUGUCACACCUUCAUAGCAGCAACUAUCAGCUCUCCCAACCACAUAUAGAGCUUUUAGUUGAGGAAAAAACAUGAGCGCGGGGAUAGCUUCACAACUUCUUGUGUUUUUUACUGGUGGCUGCAACUAUAGGAUUUAUCUGCAUUCCUAUGGCCUUCGCAGCUAUGAACUUAACUUCUUGUAGCGUGUAACACUCUUGCCUCGUGUACGAUUGCAUGAACUUGCAACACAUGUACUGCACAACUCUUUGUUAAUGGUUAUAAAAAAUAUUUUUCUAUUUUUGAGAAUUGAAAAUAAGAAAAUCUUGUUUGACAAUAAGAAAAUAGUAAACAAUUUUUUAUUUUUAAAAACAGAAAAGUUUUUGUUCUUAAAAAAAAAAAAAAAGAUUUUUAUAAGAACAUAUUUUAGUUGUUUUUAAUUGUUUUCUAAGAUUAUUUUUUAAAAAAAUAAUAAGAUAAAUAUGAAGAAUAAUUAAAAAUAAAAUGCUAUCUACAAAACUUUUUUUUAAAAAAAAAUAUUUGAAAGCAAAAAAUAGAUUAAAAAUAUUUCAAAAUUCUCAAACAAGCUUUUAUCAUAUAAAUAUUAGAGAAUUGUUUUUUAAAACUGUUUUCAAAAACUAUUUUUUUUUUUUAGAAUAGUUUUCAAAAUAAUUUCUAAACUAACUUAAAGUACGUUUGACAAUGAUUUUAGGAAACGUUUUUAAUUUUUUUAUAACUUAAAAGAUGAAAAUUUUUUAGUAUUAAUUAUAAAAAUUAGAAGCCUUUCUAAAAUCACUACUAAAUAAACUCUAAUUCUCUCUACUGGAGGCUUGUAGGGGCUUUUAUAAUUUGUCUACCAAUCAUGUUAGACAUGUGGUAACCAUGUUAUGAGAUUUUGGGAUAGCAUCAUCUAGUUUGCACUUGUAUGUAGUUAAUUUUUGUUUUUAAAAAUAAAAAAUGAAACUAACUUCGAUAUAAAAUAUAAUUUUUUUUUAAACUUACGUUACUUCAAAUUUGAAAAUUUAUAGUGAUUUUUAAAGAUAUAAGGUGAGUUUAUACUUUUGAUAUAAAAAUUUCUACUAAAAAAUAUUACUAUUUUUUGUUGUAAAAAAAAUGUAUAAAAAAAAGUCAAUAUAUAAAUAAUAAAAGCUGAAAGAACAUUUUCAAUGCAUAGAUUAUCUUAAGGGUUCAAAUGUGGGCUAAGUCUAAAACUUAAUAUUAAAUCUUCUCUCAUUCAAAUAAUAGUAUUUAUAAAUAAUAGAAUAUCCUAAAUAAAUAUAGUUAUGGACAAAUAUUUCAAACAGAUUUCUCAAAUAUUAAUAUCAAAAGAAAAUUUCAUUAACCAUGACGAGCUCCCUGUUUCAAUCUAAAACAUGUAUAUAAACAUAAUUAACUUUAAUUUAAACAAGAUUUAGAUUUAUAUUAUGGACAAUAUAGUAAACCUAAAAGAUGAUCAUAAGUUUCUUAUUUCAUGACUUCAAUUAAUAGAAAAAAUAUUUACAAGCUCAAUUUUGUUGGAAUUUUAUUCAAUUCAUUCUAGUUUGAGACUUUGUAUAUUUUCUGUAACUUACCCUCCAUUAAAGAUACAAAAUUAUUUAGAGUUAACUAGAGAUUGGAUAGCACAAGUAUAGAGAGUUAUGAAAAGAAUAAUAACUUUUAAUUAAAAAGAUUCAGGAGAUCGAGUGCUCAAGCACUUGAAUAUAGCUUUCAUGGCUUAGAGCACUCAAGUAUUGCUUGGAAGUACCCAAUAACAAGCAAUCAAGUGCACUUACCUCGUGCUUGAGUACUCAAAAGUGGGGUUUCCAAAAAAUAAGUUUGCAUACAACACUCCCUAAGAAAAACAAUGAUUGCAUACAUAUAUAUGAUCCAUGGUUUAAGUAAAACAUUUCUUAUAUUUAUAAUAAGUUUAUUUUAGAGUGUUGUUAUUAUAUUAUACCACUGUUGUUAGGCCAUAUUUUGCUAAAUCAAAUGAAGAGAAAACACAUUAUUUGAUAAAUAUUUUACAAUUAGAGAUAAAGUUUGAAAUCUCAAUAAAUACAAAUAUAUCGGUACUUAGAUUUUAUGGAUAUAUAAAAAAUAUUGAAUAAAUAUCGGUGGAUAUUUUGACAAAAAUAUAGAUCUUGUUUUAAAAUUCAUGAAAAUACUUAAAAAAACUUUAAAAAAAAUGAUAAAAUAAAGAAUAAUACACAUAUUAAAGUUAUUUUGUAUGCUUAAAUUCCUUUAAUAUAUUCGCAUUUAUUUAUUUUUAAAUUUUAAAAAUACUUUUAUUGAAAGAUGUUUUAUCAUAUUUUAAAUAAAAAUUAAAUUGAUUUAUAUAAAAUAUUCAAAACCAUUACCCAAUAAAGACGCCUUUUGUGGGAGAAGUAUUCACCGUCAUCCAUGCAAAUCAAACCCACCUUUGAUCUUUAUUCACAAUUUCAUAUAUUAUAUAUAUGUCUACUAAACUUAUGUAUAUAUAUAUAUGUAUAUAUGGGUUUAUACAUGUGGAUGUGUGAAUGAAAAGUUGGAAAAUAGUCUCUAUUGUUCUUUAUUGAAGAACGAUAGCUAGGGUUUCUAUUCGUCUCUCAUUCUCUGUAUUGUUUUGUUUCUCUUUCUUAGGGACUUACCUUUGUUUGUGAAUCGGAACCUAUGCUCAAUUAGCUUAAGAAUUACCCAGUAGUUUGUUUGAAUCGGGGGGAGUUUGGGUGGGAGAGUCUAAGGUUUGUGAUUUAAGGGGUUUUGGUAUUGUAGGAGCUGAUUGGUGUCUGGGUUGGGAGGAAUCUAGGGUUUGUGAUAUGGGGUUUUGGCGUGGUUGAGGUGGGAAGGGAAAAAUUGAAUCUUGGGGAUUGUUUUUGUUGGUGGGGUUUUGAAGAUGGUGGAGAAUCGUGGAUCAGGUGUGAUCUGAUCGCCGCUUUUCCGAUGGCAAACAACCAUCCGAUUGGAGGGGUGGGGGCUUUUGUAUGGAAACUUGGAGCCCCAAGCAGGCGGAGGCGUCCUCAACGGCCCCUUUUUCUGGACCCACCACCUGGUCGAGCAAGCGAUCUCGUAUCUCCUCUUCUUCUUCUUCAACGAUCCCAAUUUCAUCGAACCCCAACGCCCAUGCUACACUGAAAAAUUAAUUUUGAGGGGAGCGGAGCUACACUUUGACCGAAGCCAGCGUUGACCAACAUAAAUAUCGGGAAAUUUCCCGAAAAAUCGGCAAAAACCGAUAUUUCGGCGAUAAUUUCAGAAAAAGAGCGAAAUUCCUUCCAAUCGAUUAUCCGUCCUCAAUAUCGUAUCGAGCUUCACCGAUAACCGAAAUAUAGGGGAAAUUUCGUCGAUAAAAAAGACAUUUCAAUCACUGACUAGAGGUGAUUAACACUGAUGUUAGUAAUUAGGUUUGCCAUAUUUUUCAAUAAUGUACAAUUAGCUCAAUCACUUGAAGCUUAUACCAAAAAUAUAUUUGAAUCAAUAAUGGACAAAAAUUUCUGACUGGUACUUAGUGAUAAUCAACUACCAAAUUAUCAUAAACAUAGAAGUUGAAAGGAUAAUUUUAAGGCAAAGAUGACUCUAAAAUAUCAAAAGUGGGCUAAGUAUCCAACUUAAUAUUACAACUUUUCUUACUUAAAUGACAAUUCACAAAUAACAAACCUACCUAAAGAAAAAUAAUUGCUUGCCAACAUUUCAAAGAUAAGUUCUCAAACACUCGUACCAAAUAAAUCUUCAUUACCACUAAGAAUUCAUCAUUGUAUUCAAUCUGCAACAAGUAAAUACACAUAGUUAGCUUCAAUUUAAGCAACAUUUAGAUUUUCAUCAUGGAAUAUAAAUAGCAUGUUCAUUAUUAUUAUUAUUAUAUAAUUAAUUAAUUAACAACAUAAUAUUAACAAACUUGGUUAUAGAGACUAUUUAAAUUCUUAUAGUUUUCAUACUUAUGGUAUUAACCAUACUCAAAUGAGUAUAUUUGUCAAUAAAUUUAGAGUUUCAACUAACAACCUAUAACAAUCUAUAACCUUAGCUGCUUGUUUGUAUAUUUUUUGGAAUUCAACUUUGGAAAAAAUUUCAUGUAUCUUAAUCUUUCCUAUGAAAAUCGCAUUCUGUAACUUCAAAGAGUUGAACCCAAUUAUAAACUUCCUCAAUCCUCUUUCUAAUGACUCAACUAAGAAAUUGUAGUAAGGAAAGAGAAACAACUUAUAUUCAUAUGCAUGGUUGAAGGGUCUAAAAAUAUGCCCCUUACUAUAACAUGCUUUGAACAUUUAAAACAAUAUACUUUUAGUAAAAUCUAAGUCCAACAAGACUACAAUUCAAUUUCUUUUGUAAAUUUAAAUCAUUAUUUCCAAUUCAAGAAUUUAAGAAAUCAUAUAAUAAAAUAUAAGUAUAAAAAGAUUAAUAGCUAACAAAUAUGUACCUAAACGGAGAUGACCUUACAUUACAUUGUAAUGAAAUUCAUCUUACCUUCUUUUUGUAUGAUGUUUGUUAUUUUGAAACCUUAUCACCCUCUGCAAAAGAGCUGAAUUCAUUGUGAUGAUAAUCAUAACACACCAAAAAUACAAUGAAAUUAAAAAACAAACAAGGAAGAAAAAAAGAAGGAAAAAGAAUGGGAAGUGAUGUAAGAUAUUUCACCUUUUUAGCCAUGAACUCCAUUUGCUUCCAUCUUCCUUUUCAGACGAGCCACAUUCACUGCAGUGAAGACAUAUAGCCUAUCUCUGGUUUCAUCAAUGAACCGGAAAUAUGCCUGCCUCCAAGACUUCUUUAGAACCAAACUGCCACAUAUAGCCCAAAAUCCCACCGGAAAGCCCAAUCCCAUGCUUAUGAAGAACCAUGACAUGUCCCAUUCAACUUCAUCUUCCUCCUCAUCUUUGUGAUCUUGAUCAUUUAGAGUGGAGCAAUUGGUUGACAAUGGAGGCCCACAAAGUCCCAGGUUCGCCUCAUAAAUGGAUGGAUCGUUGAAUGUCGAGAACUGGUUGGUUGUUGGAAUUGGUCCUGAUAGGCGGUUAUGCGAUAGGUUCAAAUGGUUCAAUGAGGUUAUAGAAGACAUGCUCGGAGGAAUUGGGCCUGACAGGCAGUUGCAUGAGAGGUCAAGAGUUUCUAGCCCUUGCAUGGCUCCAAUCUUCUCAGGUAUCUUUCCA